GGAGUUCCCGCAACUUCAAGGAAAACUAUCAAUUUUGAAGCUACAAAAUGUAGUUGAUGCGAGGGAUGCACUGCACGCCAAUAUGAAGCACAAGAAAGAUCUCAAGGAGUUAGAGUUUUCAUGGGGUACGGAGGAUGCUGAUGAUUCCCAAAAGGAGAAAGAUGUACUCGACAAGCUCCAGCCUUGCAUGAAUUUGGAGAAAUUAACCAUCGGAUUUUAUGGUGGAACCAAUUUUCCGAAUUGGUUAGGAGACUCGUCUUUUUCUAACAUACGAGUCAUGCAUCUCAGUGACUGUAGUUAUUGUUGGUUGCUCCCACCAGUUGGACGGCUACCGGCACUCAAAGAGCUCUGUAUAGAAAGAAUGAAGUCUUUGAGGACGAUUGGCGUUGAAUUCUAUGACAGAGAUGGAGCUUAUCUGACUCAGCCAUUUCGAUCUCUGGAGAAGCUAGAGUUUAGGGAGAUGCCGGAGUGGGAGGAAUGGGUACCAAGUGGAAGUGCAAGUGGAGGUGAAUAUGGUCCAGACUUUCCUCGUCUCCAGGAGCUGAUUCUAAACGAGUGUCCGAAGCUAAGAGGAAGUUUGCCUUGUGAGUUGCCUUGCUUGAAGAAGCUUACGGUGUAUGGGUGUGAGGUUUUACAUGAUGGAAGGGCGGCUACCGCAACUACCAAUAGUCUUAACUAUAAAUCUCUGGAAGAAUUGGAUAUACAUGGUGGAUGCCAAACUCUGUUAUCAUUAUUAGAGACAAAGCUCCUGUCCCGACUUGACAGACAGUGCUUGCCCAACUGCAAUCGUCUUCAAAGUUUGACUCUUUCGAAUUGUCCAACGCUGUCGUCGUUUCCUAAAGAUGGCCUACCCAGUACGUUGACAUCACUUGAUAUAAACAAUUGUAGGAAAUUAGAAUUCCUACCUCAUGAGAUGUUGGCCAAAUUAACAUCGCUUGACUAUUUGUGCGUACAAAAUAGCUGUGAUUCAAUGAGGUCCUUCCCGUUGGGCAUUUUUCCCAAAUUGACGACGCUUCAAAUUCGUGGUUGUGAGAAUCUGGAAUCUUUUUCCUUGAUUGAAGAAGAAGGAGCUGUUGAGAAUCUUAGCCAUCUCAAUGACUUGCAAGUCUCUAAAUGUCCAAAAAUGGUGUGUUUUCACGAGGGAGAAUUGCCCACUCCCAACCUGAGUCACUUUGUAGUCAGUGAUUGCGAGAAUUUGAAGUCAUUGCCCGAACGCCUUCACACCCUCACAGCCCUUCGAUAUUUGUCGAUAUGGAAUCUUCCGAAUCUGGAGUCAUUUGCAGAAGAUGGGGGUUUGCCUCCCAACCUCCGAUCUUUUAGCAUUUGGAAUUGUAAGAGACUGAGGGCUUCAUCAGUGGGAGAGUACUGGGGUUUGCAAGCACUUGACUCCCUUGAGAUCGAUGGAAGUGACCAUGUCUUGGAGACGUUGCUGUUCCCUGCCACUCUUCACACUCUCCGCAUCUCUGAUCUAUCAACUCUGAAAUCUUUGGACGGAAAGGGUCUUGGACACCUCACUUCUCUUCAAAAGCUAGAAAUUGACAGCUGUCCAAGUCUGGAAUUACUGCCAGGAGAGGAACUUCAACACCUCACUUCUCUUCAAACUCUAAUUAUUAGUUCGUGUGGCAGUCUCCAAUGCCUGCCAGAAGAGGAUUUGCCGUCAUCUCUUUCUCAUCUGAGUAUCUGGCGGUGUCCUCCCCUGGAGAAAAGGUAUAAGAAUAAGACGGGACAAGAUUGGGCAAAGAUAUCUCACAUUCCUUGCAUCAAGAUAGGAUACGAACUGAUCAUAUAAUAUGAGCUAUUCCAUAUUUCAUGCUCAACCCUCAACUCUCAAAUCAAAGUCAGGUGAGGUGUGUGCCUUCUCUUACUUUAAAAAACUGCUUCUCUUCUUCUAAUUGAAUACAAAAACCAAAACACAUAUUCUCUUUCUCUUCCAAAAACCCAAAUACAUGUUGGACAUUGCCCAAAUUUGAUCUCCAAAUUCCUAAUUAUUUCACGCUUUUUGUUAUUUUAUGGUUGCUGGUCACAAAUUAUAUCCUACUUGGAGUAUCAAAUGCUGAAUAAUUAGCAGUCUUUUUGCAGGACGACAUACCUUCUCUUGGCCCUUGGGGAGCUUUUCAAAAUUUGCAAGGUUUCUUUAUGUGGCAUUUCCAGAGGAGGGUCACAGGGCGGAGAAACAGAAAAGGUUUACCUGGAAUAUCUCAUACAUUCCUGCAUGUAGGCAUCAAAUGUACACCAUUUUUAGGUACUUUUAUAUGAAAAAAAUUGUAUUUGAGUCUCAUUUGCACUAGUUUAAAUCAAAUUUAAUGCCUAUGGAUAGUCUAUUAAUAGGUUCAUGCCAUGAAUUAAUCUUUGGACUUUCCCAGGUACUGCAGGUUUGUUAUUAAUGUUGUGGCUAGGUUGUCUUACGUUGAGGAGAGAGAUCGAUCAGCAAUUACAAAAUUGUUAGCGAAUUUAGUUUGUUUAUCAUCUCUCUCCUUUUGUUUGUUAAGUUUUGUUGUUCUAGGUUAAACCCUUGUCCCCGCAUUUCACAGCAACUCUGUGUUAUUCCACUCUGUUUAGAUUUCAUUUAUGUUGUGAUUCGACUGCUGCUGUAUUUUAGAUUUCGUUCAUGUAAUGUUAGGAUGUUUAAUCUCUGAUCUGUGGUGGUAGUUGAGUAGUUGAGUAGUCUAGUUAAUCCAGUAGAUAACUUGUCCCCUGUUUUGUAUUGUUUUUAUUUCUCUGGUAAUGAAAGCACGUUUCUUAUAAAUAAAUAAAAAAUAUUUCAUUGAUAUUCAUUGCUUAUUUUGAACUGCAGAAGCCUACUUUUGUCAGAGUCAGUAGAUGCCAGAAUGAAGUCAUUGCCUAAACACAUUGGCACCCUCACAGCCUUCGACAUUUUGGGAUAUAUGAUCUUCAAAAUCUUGUGUCAUUUGCCUCCCAACCUGCAAUAUUUUCAUAUUUUAAAUUGUGACAGACUGAGCCCUUUGGUGGGAGAUUACUGGGGUUUGCAAGGACUUGGUGGCAAUAUCUUGUAGACGUUUCUCAAGGAACAGCUGCUCAAUGCCACUCUUCGCACUCUAUAUAUUAUGGCCUGUCAGUCUAAAAUUCCUGCCAGGAGAGGAACUUGAACGCCUCUCUUCACUGCAAAGGCUACAUAUUUGUGGGUGUGACAAUACCCAAUUCCUGCCAGAAGAGCGUUUGCUGCCAUCUCUUUCUUAUCUGUGCAUCGACCAUUGUUUUGCCAUGUAGAAAAGGUAUCUCACAUUCCUUGCGUCAAGAUAGGUGAAGAAGUGAUCAUAAGGUAUGAGCUCUCUCUCCCUCUCGCUCACAUACAAAGUACUUAAACACUCAAUCUGAUUUCUAUUAUUAUUUUGCUCAGUAAAUUUUGUUUAAAUUUGCUUUAUUUCUCAUUGCGCUUGUUCUGCUUAUCACAACUUAUAUCCUAUUUAAAUCUCAAAUGCUGAAUAAUUAGCAGGCUUUUCGCAGGACAACAUAUCUUCUCUUGGAGAGAUAUUCAUUUGCAAGGUUUCUUUAUGUGUCAUUUCCAGAGGAGGGUUUACUAUUUAAUAGAAAGGUUCACCUGGAAUAUCUCAACUGACACAUUCCCAAAUACAAGCAUUGAAUGCACAACAUUUUGAGGUACUAUUUUUGUAAUAAAAAUGUACUUGAGUCUCAUUUGAGCUAGUUUAAAUUGUAUUCAAUGUCUAUGGAUAACCUGUGAGCUUAAGUAGUAAGAUAAAACUCACAGUAUAUUAUUAGGGUUUAGGGUUCAACAGGUGAGCUUUAGUUGUACUUUCCUAGGUACUGCAUGUAUAUUAUCUUCGUAUCAACAGGUGGUCUUAUGUGGACGAGCGAGAACAUUGAGGAAUUACAAAAUCUUCUUAGCUUGUUUCAGCUCUGUUUGUCAUCCCUCACAUUUUCUUUGUUAAGCCUUGAUUUUUUAUUAGACAUAAGAAAAAAUGCUUUUAUAAGACAGGAGAUGAAUGCUUUUAUAUGUUGAUGUCAUAGUCAGUCUUCAACCACACUCUGUUUUUAGAAUUCAUUUAUGUUACAAGUGGAGUGCUGCUGUAUUUUAUAUUUCGUUCCUGUAAUGUUUGGAUGUUUAGCUUGAGUAGUCUAGCUUAUCCAGUAGAUAACUUGUCCCCUGUUUUGUAAUGUUUUUGUUUCCUCUAAUGAAAGCAGGUUUUACUUAUCUUGAAUUGCAGAAGCCUACUUUUUGACAUAGGUGGCAUGGCACAAACUCGCAUCCGCAUUUCCUUCCCCAUUGGCAUGCUGUCUCAUCUUUUCUAUUCUGUUACCAGCUUGAAGCUUGUGUAGACAUGUUAUGCUCUUGUAAUUCUGAUCACAAACAUCACUUGACAAAUGGAAAGUCACAAUCAGAUCUUUCAGGUGAUCUGGAGGUUUACUUUCUAACAUUUGUUUUCGUGGGGGGGGGGGGGGAGGACAACAAUACAGAAUUUAAAAUUUCUGAUAAUCAAUAGUAGUUUGCAUAUAUCAGCUGGGACCUGUAUGACUGUAUUAUGUAAUUAAUUAUUCUCUUAUUGUUUUGGUACUGUUAAAAGGAGUUAGCCACACAAAAUAAAAAAGGAGGCCUCUUAUUUCAUACUAAUCGUCUGGUCCAUCUGCUGCUUCACUCCCUAGUAGCUUCAUCUCCUGUCCUUUGCUUUAUUUCUGUUAUUUAUUUUGAUUUCAUGUCCAUUGCUUCAUUUCUGUUUGGAUUCUUAAUUAAAUCUGUCCUGGACUUGAACAAGGGUUAGGUUAGCUGUAUAAUUUGCGGUUUUAUAUACACAACUGUCUACAUUGAUUAAAACCAGCAUUAUUCUAAGGUUCAUUUAGAAUGUAUUAUCACCAAAAUUAUAAAGUAUACUUCUAUUACAAUUAAUUUGUUGAUUCUAAUUUGGACUUGUAGGAACAGACCAAACAUGUUCAUAUGUGGCAUUGCUCAAGUCAUCAUCAUUCGGGACAGAGAAUAAGCCUUCAAAUGUCUGCUGAGUCAAUGAACCUUUCUAGAUAUCUCAAGUGUAAUGGAAAUUGAUGAGUUACAAAGGAUUUGUAAACAUUUUCUACUGGAGGCUAGAAAUGCUUCAAAUAAAUGACUGUGUUGCAAUUAUUUUGUAGGAUCAAAGACUCUGCAAAGAGGUAAGAAAGUCAUCAUCAAAUAACUUUGCUCUUCAAACUUUUUAUUUUUAUUUUUAAAUAUCAGUAAUAACUGGGAAAGCUUGCAUCUCCUUAAAUUGCUCAUUCUUACAUCUUUUAUAGUUUGUUGAUCUUGGGCAAGUGGAGAGAGAGGCGUCAAGUGAUACACAACAACCAUUUUCUGUGAGCUGAUUUGAUAAAGAGAAAUGGUAUGCUUUCUUGUCUUAAGCGGUGUGUUCUGCAAUUAUUUGAAACAAAGGAUGCCGCACUUCAAGUUCGAGAAAAUCAGGUAUUUUAGUAUUUUAUUCUUGAGAAAUUUGAUUUAUGUAGAAACUUGAACAUGUAAAUGAGAGAAAUAUAUAUAUAUAUAUAUUAUAUAUUGUAUAUGCUGUUAAUGAGUUAAUAUGGUGCUUGCUCCUAGUUGGAAAUUUAUGUAGUCAUCUACCUAUGAUCAAAUAAAGAUGAAAAAUAAAAUAAAAUUGAGAGCAUCUUCCUCUCCCCUGCUUUGCUCAUCCCUUGUUCUUCCACUUCAGCCCCACUAUUACACCAUUUUUUCAGCCACAAUUAUAAUAGCUCCAUGAGCAUAUUAACAUCAGUGGCCACAGUUCCAUGAUUUGAGUGCACAGAAAGGUUUCAAAAAUUGUCCCAAAAGUACAGUCGUUCAAAGUGAAAGAGAGUUUUCAAAGCUUAAUUACAAGUUCAUGUUAUUUACAAUAGCAAAAAGCUUUCAUUCUUGCUUACAAACUUGUAUUUCCAAGUUCUGUAAACCUUGGAAUUUCACUUCAUCCAAAUCCCCUUCCAAAGCAGGAAAAAAUGGCAGCAGCUUUGAUUGGAGAGGCUCUCAUCUCUGCUUCUAUCGAGGUGUUGUGUGACAGAGUUACUUCAGCCGAGUUCAUAGACUUAUUUCAGCAGAAGAACUUGAUGAAACACUCCUCAUGAACCUGAAGACAACACUGUUGAUUUUGUUUGCGGUGCUCAAUGAUGCAGAGGAGAAGCAAAUUGUGAACCCUGCUGUGAGAGAGUGGCUUAACAGCUCAAGCAUGCUGUCUUUGAUGCAGAGGACUUAUUUGAUGAGAUUGACACUGAAGCUUUGCGAUGCAAGCUGGAAGGUGAGGAUCAAACCCACAAUAGUUAACCAACAAGGAUCUUUUUGAUUGUUUGAAAGAAGAGUCUUUGAUGAUUUGAAAGGAGAGGGUUGCUUUAUUUCUGUUGGAUGCGUAAUUAAAUCUUAUUUGGAGUUGAACAAGGAUUAGAUUAGCUGUAUAAUUAGUGGUAAACGCCUUUUUCUAAGGGUCAUUUAGACUCCUAUUACGAUUAAUUUGUUGUUUCUAAUUUGGACUUAUAGGAACAGACCAAAUAUGUUCACACGUGGCAUCGCUCAAGUCAUCAUCAUUUCAGACUGAAAAUCAGCCUUCAAGUGUCUGUUGAGCCAAUAAACCUUUCUAGAUAUAUCAAGUGCAAUGGAAAUUCAUGAGUUACAUAGAGAUUUGUAAACAUUUUGAAGAUUGCAACACCUGCAAGUGAGAUAGGCGGUGACGAAAUCAGAGCUGAUUUUGAAGCCUCUGAUGCCCCUGUUGUUGCAAGUUGCACCUGAGAACAUGUUUUUUUUUUCUUUGGGGUAAAAAAACUGGCAACAUGUUCGGAGCUGACAAUUCAAUCCCUGAUGAACUAGAGAAGCGAAGCUCCGGUAAGGAAUUGGUCAAGGUUGUGACAGGGAUGAUUGAUGGUGAAAUGGAUGCUAUUUCUUAUUGCAGCCUGUUCUCAAAGUUCUUGUUGGCAAAUGCAAGAGAUGGAGUAUUUUGAUUGGGAGGAGAUAUAAUGACAUGGCUUGACAAUUCUAGAACAGCCCAUCAUUAAUCCCAGAAAAAAUCCAGUUUCUGCUAAACAAUCACUUAUGGCAAGGCCAACUCUGUAAAUGGAAUUUGUGAUCCCUUGAAAUUGUACACAUUUUUUCUUUUUGAGGAAUUUAAUCAAACAGUAUUCUAAUGUAUUAUGAUAGCACUACACGCUUUUGUUGUAACAAAUUACAAGGAGGAAUUUGGAUUGAGUUUCUUGUAUAAGCACACCUUACACAAAUUUGGUAUAUUUUCUUCCAGCAAGUCUGUUUAUUAACCCCCUUAUCUGAAAUUAAUUGUUAAAAGUUUUGAUUCAUCUUUAAUCAGUGUCUAACCCUUGUUGAAUAACACUCCUCUUUCUAAUUUAUAUUUGAAGUUUGAGGUUUCAAUUUCAAUUGUGGGCUUUGAUUUUACAGAUUUUGUUUGUCAAUUUCAGUUUGGACAAAGCAUAUGCAAACAAAAUAAGCAUUUUAUGUUAUACUUUUGAAAUAGGUGUUGAUUUGAUUUAAUCAUAAGUUUUGCUGGUGCAUUUACUAGGCUAUCAUUCAAUACUUUUGAUCAUAGAACUUCUUUGGUCGAUAUUAUCUUUGUUAAGUUUAACCAUAAAUUUAGAGAGGGGACUUCAACAGAUUUAUAAUCUCAUCAUUAUAGUAUUAAAAAUUAGAGAUUAAGGCAUUGUCUAUUAUCUGAAUUCUGCUUACUUUUAGUUCAUAUGUUUACAUCUUAGCAUAUUCAUGCGAUUAGUGCGGCUCAUACCACAAAGGCAACUUUAGGCUCAUCAAGUGCUAAGCAAUGUCAAGCUUCCAAGUGACAAGUUCUCUACAUAGUUUGAGACCUACACUUACUAGAUAUUAGAUCAUUUCGAUCAUUUCCAUAUGUUUAUAUGUAAUUGACAUGUUAUAACAAUUUUUGUAGCGUUAUAUAAUUAUUUAGCAAUUUAAUUAUUUCUUUGCAUCAAGAAAUAGUUCUUAAGUUAUUAAAAAAAAAAAAAAAGAUUUAAAAAAAAAGAUUUGUUGAUGCUUAAAAAGCAUCAAGAACAGGUAGUUUCUUGACGGUUUAGUGACGUUUCAUAACUGUAGGAGGCUUUUUCUUCCGACAGCUGUAAAUGGGCUGGGUUGCCGUAAAGGGCAGACUGAUGAAAUUGUCCCCUUUUGUCUGAGCUAGAAAAUUAAGCCCCAAAAUACUUCGAAAGGGCAGCAGAGCCUUAGGAAGUAUUUUGGUUACCCUCACCAACUAAAACAACAACAACUUACAGGUAAUUUCUUAAUGCUUACAGAUGAACUCUUGAGCUUGGCAUGAGAGACAUGUGGCAUGGAAGCAAAAUCAACAUGAGUUUAGCACUGAGGGGAAAUUUAGGCUCUCUUGGGGGAAAAAGGGAAGUGUUAAGGUGAGAGAGGAGAAGUUUGUAGGAGAUUUAGCUAAGAAAGGAGAAAUAUAGAACAAUGCUCUUCUGGCAGCUUGACAGAUGCUCUGUCUGCCAGAAAAGGAAGAUGGAGAAGAAAUGUGAAUAGUGCACGAGUUUGCUAGAUUUUUGCAGGUAAGAGAGGAAGCUUGCUCUCUGGGUCUGAGUUGAGUUUUGUUAGGUGGAAGAGACCUCAUUUUAUAGCUCCUGGAAACCAUCACUUCCCAAGAAACCCUAAUGGCUUCUACCCAUUUUGGCCAAGCUUUUCCAUUCCUUUCUCAUUUCCUUCCUUGACUUUACCCCUCUUGAUGAAAUCCUCUCUACCUAUUUGCACCAGAUCAGAGUUUUUUGAAGCUUAAGGCCCCCUUUUCCCGCAGUUGUCUCAAUGGGAGACUUUCAUUCCUAGUCAUUUCCUUUAUUGCUUUCCUUUCUUUUUUUCAUGGCCAAGUCUGGUGGGGAAAGGAGUUGGGAUAAAUAUGCUAGUUUGAAGGGUGCUUCUCUUCUUGGCAUCUUACACACUAAUACCCCUUGGUUCCUUGAAUGUUUUGGCUUUGAAACUUGCUCCCCUCCAUGUAUUGGAACCUCCCAGCAGCCCUGGUCAAUGAAUCUUCAGACCUUCUCUUCGUGGCUUUUAUUUUUUUAUCAACUGGCUAGGGCUUUUGUGGCUCAUUGGGGCAAUUGUAUGGGCUAAGGUGGUUCAUUAAGUAAGUGGGCUAUUUUUAUUAAACAUUGAGCUUUUUGGUUGAGUCACUAGGCUAUUUUGAUUGGGCUAUUGGGCUAUUGUUUCCUCUCUUGUGCUCACCCACAUGUUUGGACCAAAGAAAUGAGCUUGAGUCCUGAGGCUCCCAAGCGACCCGAGACUUUCCAUUUAUCGGUCCAUCAAUGGGCCUCAUGUUGAUUUAUUACCAUCCAUACCACACCCCACUCAAGCAAGCCCCGGGCAUUUGAGUGGCUUGGGCCCACUUAGGCUUGUAGUGUGGUUGGGUGCAAAAUAACGAUUUCGUGCUUGGCAUGUUUUAAUUUUAUCAUCCAUGGGAAAGGCUGCGAUGUUUGAUUUCGGCAUGGGCUUGUAGAGCUGGUAUGCUUUAUUUCAACUCCUAGCAUGACGAAUUAUUUAUUUAGCAUGGCACGUGAAUUACAACUCGCAUGUGGUGGGUUUUUGUGUACUACACCUUACGCCUCUUCUUAAUAGAACAUCGUUUCUGAUAAUUUAUUUGGGCCCAACCGUGAAUUUUUUGGAUCUCAAUAAUAACCAUCAUGAAACAUUACAUUUUGACUGACAUCAAGAAAUGGGGUAUCCCUUUCUUGAUAGUGGCAUCCAUGAUGCCUUCCAAGCCGUCAAUUAAGGGCUAUCGCGAUGCAUUUUAGUUGUCAGCAAAAGGUGUUUUUCUUGUACUAUAUUCACUCAAAAUCGUGUUUCAUUUAAGAUUAGUAGUAUGGUUGAAUACCAUUUGUUUUGUUAAAGAAUAUUAUACAUUAGGGAUUUUUGUAGAAAUGUCAUUUGAACUUAUACCUUAGUUUCAAUUUGUCACCUUGAAGAAAAAUUUAAGAGAAAUAUCACCUUAAUUUUUUAAAAUCCAUGAUUUGUCAUAUGACUUUAAGAUCAUCCAAUUUUCCAUCCAUUUUAAGGGUAUUUUAGACUUUUCAUUUUCAAGGAAAAAAAAGAGAUGAAAAAAGAGACCUCUCUCUUACUUUGUCCCCCAACCCAACCCCACCCGCCCCCAAAAACACAUCACAUAGGAUUGCCUCCCCCUUCCCCACUUUUCUUUUUUCUUUUUGUCAUACUUUUCCACUGUGUUUAUGUUGAAGGAUCUAAAGUUUGCUUGGUCACCAUCUUUUACGUAGGCUUCCUAAUUGUUGGUUUGGGUGGGUUGUGGGAAUUUGUGUGUGGAGGGCAAGGCUCUAUCUGACAGGACCCACCUCGAAUUCCUCGAAACCCGAGACGAAUCUUGUAGAAUUUCCGACAUCACACCGAUGCCGGGUCCACUUCUGAACUAAAUCCUCUUUUCCAAAAUUAAGGAAAAAUAGUACGAGGCUUUCUGCCAAAAUUUCGGCAGUCUUCCCUAUAAAUUUAACGUUUCAGCUUUGGAGGCCGUUCUUUCAUUUCUGCUUUGGUGGCCGGAUGAGAGAACGGCCGGCUAAAACGUGGCCAGCUGGCACUGCCGUCACGAGAGAGAGAGAGAGAGAGAGAGAGAGAGAGAGAGAGAGAGAGAGAGAGAGAGAGAGAGAGAGAGAGAGAGAGAUGUUUAUCAAACCAUUUUUGCCAAAAUUACGAUUAUGCAACUGAGGGUAUUUUGAUCGUAUCUUUUUCGUUAUAACUCCGAUUCAAGCCCACUACAUAUCUACGGACUCAUCUCGCCGUGCUCUAUGCAAUUGUAUAGUUGAAAUUCCCAAAUUCCAUCCCAGUCAAAAAGUCAACUUUAAACCUUAUAAAAUAUUCUAAGGGCAAAAUGGUCUUUUAUCUAAUUAAAUUAAUAAUUGAAAAUUUAUUUAGGACCGGGUCGUUACACUGUCGUUGAUGGACUGUGCGAUGGCACUCACACAAAGUCCUUAAGAAUAAAACACACACACACCAUGAAGAGAGUAAAACAAAUGCACAAAGAUUUAUAAAGGUUUGGCCUCCUGCCUACAUCCUCUUGGUGAUCCACCCGAGAAAUUCACUUGUACGUAAGAACAACUUUGGUUACAACUAAACCCCCUUAGCUUUCAUAAGAACCCUAGAUCUCUUUUCUCCCACCCUUGCUCCAACCCUUUGAUGCCCUUGUAAACACUCAAGAAUUCAUCCUUGAAUUCUAUCAUGUGUUACAUCUUCUCUUCUCCCCUUUGCCAACCUAACCCUACAAGUUAUAUUUAAAAUUCAUUGGACUUUAAGUACAAGUUAACUAGGAAUAGGAAACAUAAAAGACCCCAAAAAUUGGAGAAAAUAUGUCUAGAUCUCAUUAGGAAAUUGCACAACACGUGCGAUCCUCUCGAGCGCCUGCAAAAUCAUCCCUUUGCCGCUCGAGCUGCCGAUAGCUCAUGGGAUGGGGGAAUUAGAAAUUUUUUUUUUUCAAUUUUAAUUGUUUAAAAGAUAUACAAUUUAUUAAUAAUAAUUUUUCCAUUUUUAAAAUACCCUUGAAAAUAGAAAGAUUAAAAUGCCCUUAAAAAUGGAUGGAAAAUUGGAUGGUGUUAAGGUCAGAUGACAAAUCAUGGAUUUUGAAAAAUUAAGGUAACGUUUCUCUUAAAUUUUUCUUUACAGUGACAAAUUGAAAUUGAGGUAUAAGUUCAAGUUACAUUUCUGCAAAAAUUCUUAUACAUUAUGAUAUUCUAACAAUAAUUGGCUAAAAUUGAUAUGUUCCCUCUUUUAUUUUCUUUUUCUCUUUUCCUUUUCAUUUUAUGAUCCAAUCCUUUUCAUAUAUUUUUGUUCAAGACUUUGUUUUAUAAUGCUCUAUUACUAAUUUGGUACAGGUCCCUAAAAUCUCGGAGCCGCCUUAGUACAUUCAUAACGUACAUGUUCAGAGUUCAAGAAUAAUGUAUAGAAUGUGAAAUUGACGAUGCCGGCCUUUAUGAGGCAACAUCUUUAUUUCUUUGGUUAUUCCAGUUUAGAAUAUUUGCACAAAUGAGAUGACUCCAAGCAUAAAGUCACAUUCGACCAAAAAGCAUAAAGUCACACACAAAAAGAACACGGACAAUUGCUAAGUUUAUCCUUGUACCCUUAUUUUAUUGAUCCGACCCAAUUGAAAAAUAAAAAAAGAUGAUAAAAAAUAUUGUUCACUGCUUUAAAAUCUAUGAGUAGAGUCCUCCAUUUGAAAUUUGGUCAUUAUACAAAAUUGGAAUGAAAAAAGAAAAUCCUAAAGCUAUAUUUGAUAUAUUUCAUUUUCAUUUUUUGCUGGGUGUUAGGGCUCGUCAAUGGGCCGGGCCUGGCUAGCCCGGCCCGAAUUUAAUGGGCUUGGGCCAGGCCGGCCCAGGCUUUAAAGAGGAGAGAGAAAAUAUCAGGUCGAGUUUUUUAAGAAAAUUCAAAGCCCAAGCCUGACCCAUGAGCCGGGCUUGAGAAAGCCCAUCGGGCCGGGCCGGGCCUAAACGGGCCCUACUUCAUUCAAAAAAAAUCAUUAACUUAAUCAUAAGGUCAUUUUAGUCCAAAUUUGAGAUUAAACUCACUUAAUUCUAAUAUUUUUACUUCAAACCAAAUUCAUAAAACACCCAAUAAAGUCACACAACUUGUAAGAUUUUCCACAAAAAUAAUAAAACCAAGUAUUAUUUUUGAGGUUAUUACAUAAUUAGAUCGUAAUACGUUUUAAAAAAUAAUUUUUAAAAAUAAUAUUAAUAAGUAUCAAAAAAAUAUUUUUUUAAAGGAUGGUAUGAAUAAAUAUGCAAAUAUUUGGUGAUGUGUUCAAGAAAAGGAUGAUUAUAUUUGGUGGUACGAUUAUGUUUCGUGAUACGAUUAUAUUUAGUGAUGUGAUAUGUUGUUCAUCUUAUAUAUAUAUAUAUAUAUAAUUGUUGAACUAAUAAUUGACACAAAUUAAUGUGUUAAUCAUCCAAUUAUAAACUAGGAGUGAAUAAAGAAAAGUAAAUGAAAUGAAACAAAUUAUAUGUGUGAUUUAAGUGAUAUAAUCCUAAACCUAAACUCUUAUUUAUACAUAAUUAUAUAUGUAUGCGGGCCUAACGGGCCGGACUUUUGUGGGCGUGUCGGGCCGGGCUUUCUUGGGCUUAAUCAGGCUGGACCUAUGGGUCAGGCCGGGCUUCAAACACCCCAACACGAGCCUAGCCUAGCCCGCCUUGGGCCGGGCCAUCUCAAAGCCCAUAACGAGCCGGAUCGGGCUUUUUUCGAUUGGCCGGGCGGGCCCCCUCGACCCAUGAGCCCGCGGGCCAAAUGAUGAGGCCUACUGGGUGUUCAAUUUUUCUUGUUUCUUGUUGAAAAGAAAAAUGAUAAUUAAUAAAAUCUGAUUUGGUGGUUGUGCUCGUCACAAAUCAAUGAAAUGACAGCAGUGAUUUUGCAAGACAGCAUACCUUCUCUUGGGGUGCUUUUCAUUUUGCAACAUUUCUUUACGUGUAAUUUCCAGAGGAGGGUUUAUCAUUGUAUAUAGCUCUUCGGGUGGUUUUUUCUGCAAAACAAAUGUCACAAGGAAGGAGGAGAAACGGAAAAGAUUUACUUGGAAUGUCUCAAGUCUCCUUUGAGAUAAAGGCAUCGAAUGCACAACAUUGUUUUUGUGCUAUUUCAUAAUUAAAGUGUGCUUCCCAAGUCUCCUUUGCGUUUUGUAACUUGUAAUGUUUGUUUUUUUGUUUCCCCUGUUUUGUCUUUUAUAAAAGAAAGAGGAAUGCUAGCAACCUUCUCUCUAAUCUUCUCUUUUGGACCUUCUCCCUUUUCUUUUUGACAAGUGUCAUUUUCCAUACACUUAAAACAAUGACAUUAAUGCAUCACACAAUUUAGUUUUUGUUUUCCAAGUUUACCAUUUUAAAAUGUAUUGGCUUUUAUAUUUCCUUCAAUUAUUCACAUUUUGUUAUAACUUGUUUAGCACAUUAUUUUUUUUAAUUUAAAAAAAGUCAUAUUUUUUAAAAAUAAAAAUAAAGUUUGUUUCAUGACAUUGUUAUCAUUUUUAUUUUGUUUUUAACAAAACACGCAUUCUCUUUGGAAAAAUUAAAAAUUAAAAAACAAUUCAGUUUUUAUUUUCUUAUUUAAUUUUUAACAAGCUAGUAAGAAAGUUAUAAAAAAAAAUUAGCUUGUUAUUAAAAAAAAAUUAAUACAUUUAAUAAGGGUAAAUUUGGAAAACAAAAACUAGUUUGUGUGAUGCAUUAAUGACAUUGUUUUUAGUUUAAGGAAAGUGACACUUGUCAUGAGAAGAAGGGAGAAGGUCCAAAAGAGAAGGUUAGAGAGAAGGUUGUUAGCACUCCCCAUAAAAGAAAUACAGGUCUGAACCACACGGAUCUACUUGCAUAAUAAUGGACCAAAUUUAUGAUUUUUAGAAAGAACCUUCUACUGGUGGAAUCUUGGGCUACUGUUGUGGCUCUCCUCUGUGUGCCUCCUUUUUAGAAUGGUAAAAUAUUCAAAAUACCAGAAAAUGUUCAUGAUUAAUGCAAAUAUUAAGAAUUGAAAUUAUUAAUUAAAUGAAGAUAAUAUGGUAAAUUCACACUUUUUCAUAUUAAAAAAAUUAAAAUUAAAAGAAAUAUCAGAUAAUUACUCUUAUUUUUAUGGAACACAGCUACCCAUUAUCUUUUUUAAUUAUAAAAUAAAUUUAAAUUAUAAAAAAAAAAUCCUCUCACAUGCACGGAAGCGCGUGCUCAGAGGCUAGUUAAAAAUAAUGAACUUUGCUUCUGAUGUCUAUACCAGACCCACUCAACCUGCUUUAUGAUUAUACAAAGAACAAACUCGUCCUUAGACUCAUUUGGUUAAACUUAGAAAAUAAUGAAACAAAAAUAUACACACCCACAAGUAACACAGCCAGGAUUGAAAACAACUGGACAAAGAAAGGCAUGUUAAAACAGAAUUUUCAACAACUCAUCACCAUUAGACAAGAAAAAGAAAAAUCAAUACAGAAACAGAAAGAACAGAGAAUAAAUGUGGUGGAAGAAAAACGUUGAAGCCAUUUGUGAAUCCAACAACACUACCACUCUGUUUCUCUCCUUUUGUUCAGGCGGAUCUGCAUAUAUCCUAAGGCGUAUUACGGAAACAACUUCUUGCCGUUAUACUUGAAUGUUGUGGAUGCUUCAACGUUGCCAUCUGGGUGGAGUGGAUUUGUCCAAUUCACCUUCACUAUGGUUAAUCAACUAGACAGACAUAAGUCAGAAACAAUAGGUAUAUAGGUCCAAAUUGUUGUUAUUUGAAAGGCUUCUAAAUUUUAACAUUUUGAUUUCUAAAUUUUGUUUUAAUAUUUCGGCCCACUUAGUUCUUCUCAAAAUAUGUCAUCAAUAUCGUUGAAAGGUUGAACUUAGUGAAUUAUUAUAGUGCAGUACGGUAAAAUAGGCACAUGAUAUAAUUUGUCCACAUGUUCUAAUAUAAGUGAAUAUUUAUUGAUAUUAUUUUCAAAAAUAAAAAAUAUCAACCAUUACAUCCUCCCAUAUUAUAAUACAUAUACAAAUUAUACCACAUUAUCAUACUCUAAUACCAUUUUAUAAUUUCUCGUACUUAGGAGGUAUAGAGCGAGUCAAUGACAUUACAUAAUAUAUAAUUGUUCAUAUAAUGGGGCAACUAACGUGAUCAACAAGUUGUGGUGAUUAAUUUAACAUAAUAAAAAACAUACCAUUUACUAUGUAACAAUUUGUUCUUUUAAAUUGGAUUGUCAUCACUUUAAUAUGUUAUGUUUCUUAUUCUAGUCUCCCAUGUUAAGUGCUUCAGCAUUGUUUGUGGUGUGUACACAAAUUUUCUUAUAAAAUGUUUUAAUGCUUCUCACAUGUAUAUCAGAUAUAGACAGUUGAUGUGACUUAGAAAUCAAAUUGUCAAUAAAGAAAAAAAAUAUAAUUGGUGAUCGAGGUCCAAUUUAAUAGAAAAUAGUCUUAAUUUGUAUAUUAAAGGUUUCAGAUUCGAAUCCUCACUGCAUUAUUGUUGUAUGCGUACACGAGAAAUUCUAUUUCCCAAUAAUUUAGAUUAUCACUUAUACUAAAAAAAAUAUAUAUAAUAAGUUUUACGAAUGCAAACAUAAAAUUACACCAAACAAUAAUGGAAUAGAAAGAUGGAAGUUUUUUUUUUUUCCUACAUCUAAAGUAUACUUUAUAUAUAUAUUUAUUAUGGGAGUUAUAACCGUUUAAUUUUCAGUUUUUAUUUUCUAUUUAUUGUGUUAAUUUUUAUGGUUUAAUAUGUAUGGAGAUUACAAGUAUUGGAUGUCUAUAAAGGGCCACUCCUCCUUCACAUCUGAAACAAACCACCAUCUCAUUUCUGUAUUUUCAUACUUUCAUAUAUUUUCUACUUUCCAGAUUAUUAUUUUUGGGCAACGGUUUUGUGACUUGGAGAUUUCUAUCCGAUUGUUAACAUGCUCAUAACGGACCUUGAGCUUGCGUAUUGGGGAUCGUAUCUUGGAGCCUUGUAGACCUUUAUUACGUGCAUGUAGGGAGGCUACAAAUGCUUUAGGUCAGCGUCUUUGACGUACUUUUGCUUUCUUUUUUUACUUAUUUCUUCGUUUCUUUAUUUUUACUUUACUUUUAAAUCUUUAUUUUAUGUAUUAUUUAUAUUUAAAAGUUUUGAAUAAGAGUUUUACAGAAAAGGAAAAACACAAUUUCAAAUAACACAAAUUUCUCGUUUUUUGUUCUUAAAAAAGAAGAAGCAUUGAUUGGGGAGUUAUGGUAAACUCAGUUUCAAUGGUUGCGAUGAGAGGCGGUGGCGGCGAGGAGAGGACGAAGGCUUUGCUGCCGACGGGGUGGUGUGGCUGGCUGCUUGGUCCUGGGUUCUCCUUUAAUUCUCUGUUUUCUUUUUUCAUUUUCUUUUUCUCUUAGAGUUAUUGAUGUUAAGUGAAUGGACAGAUGCCAAAAUAGGGACAGAAGAUGUGAACCCAAUUAUAUACAGCUGCUGCUAUAGCUGAUUACAUAAAGUAACAAAUUAAUUAAUGCUUGAGUGGAGGACAGGCUUGAGUGGAAGAAUUGAUUAAGGCUUGAGUGGAAGACAAACUUCAGUGGAGGAAAGUAUAGAUAAGGAAAGCAUGCCUCGUUUAACGGCUUUAUCUAAUAAAGAUUACUUGUUGGCACUUGGAGUUUCUUAGGAAUGCUGGUUUUGUUUCCUUGGUGGACUUGAAAGGUGGUGCCUUGGCUCGGACAUCUCCCAAGACAUACAACUGCUCAUUAGCUGAAUAUCUCGCUCUCUUUAAAGAGAUCGAAGCAAACACAAUUUGCAAUUUGUGUGAUUCAAGCAUGAAUAUCUGAUAUAGUAACUAUACCAUUUGUUGGUUUGAUAAGAAAAGUUUGGUUAGCGAGGAUGAAACCAUAAAGUUCCCAAAACACACAAAGAACACGGACAAUUGCUAAGUUUAUUCUUGAGUUCACACAUAUUUGCACAAAUGAGAUUAUUCCAAGCAUGAUUAUACCAUUUGUUGGUUUGAUGUGAAAAGUAUGGGCAACGAGGGGUAAAACCAUACAAACACACACGAAGAACGUGGACAAUACUAAAUUUAUCUUUACGUUAUUGAUCCGACCUAACUGUAAAAUAAAAAAGAUGAAAAUAUAUAAUGUUCAGUACUUAGAUCUAUGAGCACUUGCACAAAACAUCACUUUUGGUCUUUGGUAAAUUUUUAAAAUAAAUGAAUUUUUUACUUAUUUGUGAACUGAAAUGCCUCUAAAAAAAUAAUGAUAGUUCGAAGAAUUUGAUAGAAAUUAAAAAAUAUCCUCAAAUUACUUGGAAUUGAAGACCACAUAGGCAAAAACACGAAAUUGAAACCUCACUUUAAUGAUAAAAAUGGUAAACUACAAAGACAAAAAUGACGUCUUGCCUUAUAAAUAAUUGGAAUUUGCUGGUGAUAAUAGUCGAUAUCAUCUUUUGUCGGUCCGACCUAAAAAGAAGAAAAAGUUAAAAGCAUCUUGUACCAAUUUUUGCCAAUGUGGGCCCAAACAAUUUGAAGAAGUCCACCGGCAAUUUCUCAAAAGCUAUUGUGUGAGUGUGAAGCUAAACCAAUAUUAUUUUGCAUAUCCGACCCCACAUCCCCAUGUGAUGUGAGGCUACAGAGGUGUUUCCAAAACGAAAUAUGAUAUUUCAAAACGUAGCUAUGUAUAGAGUCAUUUGUAUUUGCUUUCACAAUAACAUUUGAUUUUAUAUUUAUACAUUCUGAUAUUUUAACAAAUAAAUUGACUAAAUUUGGCCAACAGGAUUUAGCCGAAUAGAAAAGUUCUUAUUUAUGGACUAGUAAUUUUAAAUUUAAAAUUUAGACUAUCGCAUGUAUUUAAAAAAAACUAAACAAUUGGCUUAAUUUGAUAUAUUUCCUUUUUUUCCUUUUUGCAUUUUAUGCUGGUUGCCGUUAUUAAGUUUUAUCCUUAUUUUUUGUUGAAAAGAAAAUUGAAAAAAAUAAUAAUAAUUCCUACAGCUAGCAACUUCUCCACCUACAAAAAAUAAUAUUUUUUGUUUUAUCCUCAUGUGAGGCUACAGAAAAUUUUUGAAAACGAAACUGGAUAUUUUAUCUCUAACGACAGCUUUCAUACUUCGUUUACCCUGUGUUUCCAAGUUGUGCUAGCUAUUUGCAAACCUUGGAAUAUUACUUCAUCCAAAUCCCUUGCAGAGAAAAGAAAGAUAUGGCUUUGAUCGGAGAGGCCCUCAUCUCUGCUACCAUCCAGACGUUGUGUGACAAAAUUGCUUCGCCUGAGUUCACCGACUUAUUUCGGCAGAAAAAGCUCGAUGAACAACUCCUCAACAAGCUGAAGACGACGCUGUUGACCUUGUCCGUAGUGCUUAAUGAUGCAGAGGAGAAGCAAAUUGAGGAACCUUUAGUGAGAGACUGGCUUGACAAUCUCAGACAUAAUGUCUUGGCUGCGGAGGACUUACUGGAUGAAAUCGACACUGAAGCUUUGCGAUGCAAACUGGAAGAAGGUGAAGGUCAAACCCACAAUUUAACCAAGAAGGUACGUGAUUUUUAUCAACGCAUGAAUGUUGAGAUGAAAGAUUUAUUAGAAAGAUUAGAACAAUUUGUACAAGAGAAAAGUGCUCUUGGUUUGAGAGAAGGUGCUGGGAGGAAGGUUUCACGAAGAACAACAACUUCCUUGGUUCAUGAACCUUGUGUCUAUGGUAGAGAUGAAGUCAAAGAAAAUCUGUUGCCAAUUUUGUUAUCUGAUGAUGCAAGUAAGGAUGAUGUGUCUGUCCUCACCAUUGUUGGAAUGGGUGGGAUUGGCAAGACAACCCUUGCCCGACUGCUUUAUAAUGACGAUGAGGUGAAAGAACAUUUUCCACUUCACGCUUGGGUUUGUGUUACGGAAGACUAUGAUUCUAAUAGGAUAACUAAAACUCUUCUAGAGUCAGUCACCUCAAAGUCUUCUAAUAUGACAGAUCUAAAUUUACUUCAAGUUGAACUAAAAGAACAACUCAAGGGAAAGAAAUUCUUAUUUGUUUUGGAUGACCUAUGGAAUGAGAAAUAUGGUGAUUGGAAACGCCUCCAAACUCCUUUUACUUCUGGGGCAAGGGGAAGUAAAGUCAUUGUAACAACACGGAGCCAACAUGUAGUAUCUGUCCUGCAAAGUGUUCAUGUUCAUCACUUGGAACCCUUGUCGCACGAAGAUUGCUGGUUCUUACUUGCAAAACAUGCAUUUGGAAAUGAAAAUUGCAGUGAUCCAAACUUGGAAGAAAUUGGCAAGAAAAUUGCACACAAGUUCAAUGGGUUGCCUUUAGCUGCAGAAACACUUGGGGGUUUGUUACGUUGCAAUAUAGAUUCAGAGGAAUGGAAUACAAUACUAAAUAGCAGUAUUUGGGAGCUACCCUAUGAUAAAUGUGACAUUCUUCCGGCUCUUGGGUUGAGUUACCAUUAUCUCUCCUCCCAGUUAAAACGAUGCUUUGUUUAUUGUUCAAUUUUUCCAAAGGAUUAUGAGUUUAAAAAGGAAGAUAUAGUUCAAUUUUGGAUGGCAGAAGGUUUAAUUCCAAAAGCUGAGAAUGGAAAGAGCAUAGAAGCGGUAGCUAGAAAAUACUUUGAUGAGCUGUUGGCACGAUCGCUAUUUCAAAAGUCAAGCAAAUCCGGUUUCACAAUGCAUGAUCUCAUUAAUGACUUGGCCAUGUUCAUGUGUAAGGCAUUUUGCCUUAGGUUGGAAGGGGGGGAAUCACAUGUCGUAGAAAAAGUUCGGCAUUUUUCAUAUGCUAUGGAAAGAUUUGAUGCAGCUCCAAAAUUUGAGCCAUUACAUAGGGCUAAGUUUAUGCGGACCUUUCUACCCAUAUCAUUAAAUUUUGUUUCCACUUCUUAUGUAACUAAAAAGGUUCUACAAGAUUUGUUGCCGUCACUAAGAUGUUUACGGGUGUUAUCAUUGUCACAUUAUCAAAAUGUUACUGUGUUACCUGAUUCUAUUGCAAACCUCAUUCACUUGCGCUACUUGGAUCUUUCCGGUACCGCAAUUGAAAGGUUACCUGGGGUACUUUGCAAUCUCUACAACUUGCAGACAUUACUAUUGUCAAAAUGUUUCUCACUCCUUGAAUUGCCUGCAGACAUUAGAAAAUUGACUAAUUUACAGAAAUUGACAUUGCUCGGUUGUAGUUCUCUUAAUAAAUUGCCUGCAGGCAUGAAGGAGUUGACUAAUUUGCAUCAUCUUGAUGUCAGUGGAACUAAAAUUGAAGAGAUGCCGGUGCAAAUGGGUAGAUUGAAAAGUUUGAGAACAUUGACUGCAUUUGUUGUGGGCAAAUCUACUGGGUUAGGCAUAAGAGAACUGAGGCAGUUCCCGCAACUUCGAGGAAAACUAUCAAUUUUGAAGCUACAAAAUGUAGUUGAUGCGAGGGAUGCACUGCACGCCAAUAUGAAGCACAAGAAAGAUCUCAAGGAGUUAAAGUUUUCAUGGGGUGCGGAGGAUGCUGAUGAUUCCCAAAAGGAGAAAGAUGUACUCGACAAGCUCCAGCCUUGCGUGAAUUUGGAGAAAUUAUCCAUCAAAUUCUAUGGUGGAACCAAUUUUCCGAAUUGGUUAGGAGACUCGUCUUUUUCUAACAUACAAGUCAUGCAUCUCAGUGACUGUAGUUAUUGUUGGUUGCUCCCACCAGUUGGACGGCUACCGGCACUCAAAGAGCUCUGUAUAAAAAGAAUGAAGUCUUUGAGGACGAUUGGCGUUGAAUUCUAUGGCAGAAAUGGAGCUUAUCUGACUCAGCCAUUUCGAUCUCUGGAGAAGCUAGAGUUUAGGGGGAUGCCGGAGUGGGAGGAAUGGGUACCAAGUGGAAGUGCAAGUGGAGGUGAAUAUGGUCCAGACUUUCCUCGUCUCCAAAAGCUGAUUCUAAACGAGUGUCCGAAGCUAAGAGGAAGUUUGCCUUGUGAGUUGCCUUGCUUGAAGAAGCUUACGGUGUAUGGGUGUAAGGUUUUACAUGAUGGAAGGACCGCUACCGCAACUACCAAUAGUGUUAACUAUAAAUCUCUGGAAGAAUUGGAUAUAAGUGGUGGAUGCCAAACUCUGUUAUCAUUAUUAGAGACAAAGCUCCUGUCCCGACUUCGGAUUCGAAAUGUUGUUGACAUACAGUGCUUGCCCAACUGCAAUCGUCUUCAACGUUUGACUCUUUGCCUAACGCUGUCAUCGUUUCCCAAAGAUGGCCUACCCACUACAUUGACAUCACUUUAUAUAAACAAUUGUAGGAAAUUAGAAUUCCUACCUCAUGAGAUGUUGGCCAAAUUAACAUCGCUUGACUAUUUGUGCGUACAAAAUAGCUGUGAUUCAAUGAGGUCCUUCCCGUUGGGCAUUUUUCCCAAAUUGACGACGCUUCAAAUUCGUGGUUGUGAGAAUCUGGAAUCUUUUUCCUUGAUUGAAGAAGAAGGAGCUGUUGACAAUCUCAGCCAUCUCAAUUCCUUGCGUGUCUAUAACUGUCCAAAAAUGGUGUGUUUUCACGAGGGAGAAUUGCCCACUCCCAACCUGAGUCACUUUGUAGUCAUUGGUUGCGAGAAUUUGAAGUCAUUGCCCGAACGCCUUCACACCCUCACUGCCCUUCGAUCUUUGAAUAUAUGGAAUCUUCCGAAUCUGGAGUCAUUUGCAGAAGAUGGGGGUUUGCCUCCCAACCUCCGAUCUUUUAUCAUUAGGAAUUGUAAGAGACUGAGGGCACUUGACUCAGUGGGUUUGCAAGCACUUGUCUACCUUCAGAUCGAUGGAAGUGACCAUGUCUUGGAGACGUUGCUGCUCCCUACCACUCUUCACACUCUCUGCAUCUCUGAUCUAUCAACUCUGAAAUCUUUGGACGGAAAGGGUCUUGGACACCUCACUUCUCUUCAAACUCUAAAAAUUUACAGCUGUCCAAGUCUUCAAUGCCUGCCAGAAGAGGGUUUGCCGCCAUCUCUUUCUCAUCUGAGUAUCCGCUGUUGUCCUACCCUGGAGGAAAGGUAUAAGAAUAAAACGGGACAAGAUUGGGCAAAGAUAUCUCACAUUCCUUGCAUCGAGAUAGGGGAAGAAGUGAUCAUAUAAUAUGAGCUAUUCCAUAUUUCACGCUCAACCCUCAACUCUCAAAUCAAAGUCAGGUGAGGUAUGUGCCUUCUCUUACUUUAAAAAACUGCUUCUCUUCUUCUAAUUGAAUACAAAAACCAAAACACAUAUUCUCUUUCUCUUCCAAAAACCCAAAUACAUGUUGGACAUUGCCCAAAUUUGUCUCCAAAUUCCUAGUUUAAAUCAAAUUUAAUGCCUAUGGAUAGUUUGUUAAUAGGUUCAUGCCAUGAAUUAAUCUUUGGACUUUCCCAGGUACUGCAGGUUUGUUAUUAAUGUUGUGGCCUGAUAUUCGUCGUAUCAAUACGUUGAGGAGAGAGAUCGAUCAGCAAUUACAAAAUUGUUAGUGAAUUUAGCUUGUUUAUCAUCUCUCUCCUUUUGUUUGUUAAGUUUUGUUGUUCUAGGUUAAACCCUUGUCCCCGCAUUUCACAGCAACUCUGUGUUUUUCCACUCUGUUUAGAUUUCACUAGCAGGAGAGCCCGCGCGAUGCUGCGGGUUUUGAAAUUGUGUAGACAAAAUUAGAUUGUUUAUAUAUACAAUGAGAUUUAAUUUAUAACAUUAUGUUUAACUACAGGAGUGUAAGUUGCAAAAAAGUAUAUAAUAACAUAUUUUACAGGCUACUUGUUAUGGUAAAAUACUAUACUUGUUUGUAUAUACAUUGAGAUGUUUAUAGUAGGAAGUAGGCAUCAAAAUAGCAAAAGUUGGAUAGUUUUGUACAGAAUGUUAUUUAAUUGGGCAAGCUUUGUUUUGCACUUGCUUCAUGAUUUUUCUUCUCUUUCAUGGAAGUCUUGAUCCUGUUAUAAAAAAAAGUGAGAAAAUAGUAAAUGUUAAUAUUGAUGAAUGGGGGAAAUUGAGUUAGGACAAUAAUCAUAAACAUUUAAUUAUGUAUAAACAGGAAUAAUAUAAUUUAUUGAUUUAAUAAGAAAGUUAUAAAUAGUUUUUCAAUCUAGGAAAUACAAAGUUACAAAAUUAAGAGAACUAAUGAGCAAGUUGUAGAUGGUUUUCUAAUUGAAGUAAUACAAAGUAAACAUAUUUUAAAUUUUGUGUUUGUCUAAAAGAAAAGUUGAAGAGAGGCAAAAUAAUUAUGGUUGAAUAUAUGGAGAAAAGGAUGUCAAUAUAAUGUUUAGGUUUUUAUGUAUUAGGAAUAUAUGACUUUUUUGCUGUUAUUUAGAGCAAAAAUUAUUUAAGGGCUUGACAUUUCUGUUAAAAAACGGGUAGAAUCUACCCUGAAAAAUGGACAUUUUGCCAAAAAAUUCACCUGUAAACUAAUUAGUACUGAAUACCGAUUGGCGAAGGCAAGACAAUCAUAGUUGUGGAGUACAUAGUUAGAAAGAUGAAUGUGCAAACGUACAUCUAACCCCAUGAUAUACAUCUAACCCCAUGUGAACAUGAUUUAUUCUACAACAAUGAUUAUCAAUUUUCUAAUUGCUCAUUUUCCUAACCCUAAUCAUCACAAACCCAAAAUUAACUCUAAAAAUUUCAAAUAAGCAUGGUUCUAAACCAAUUUCUAACUUACUUAGCGAAGUCUUUUCUAUAAAUGAUAGUUGUUGAAGAAAAAGGGAAACGAAAAUAAGCUUUUAGUGUAUAAGUACAUUGAAGCAAAACAUGAAGAGAAUCCAAUAUAUAACUUCAAUAUAUAACUUUAAUUUUCUAUAAGUGUUGAUCUAAAUUUACAUCCCUUACCACUCUUCAAUUUAAAAAUAGUUUUAGCUACAACAAACAACUUCAGAGAGAAGAUUUGGCCCUGUUUUAUAAGGCAAAACCUCUCUAACCACAUGACAUACAUCUAACUCCAUGUGAACGUGAUUUAUUCUACAACAAUGAUUAUCAAUUUCCUAAUUGCUCAUUUCCCUAACCCUAAUCAUCACAAACCCAAAAUUAAUUCUAAAAAUUUCAAAUAAGCAUGGUACUAAACCAAUUUCCAACUUACUUAGUGAAGUCUUUUAUAUAAAUGAUAGUUGUUAAGGAAAAACGGAAACAAAAAUAAGCUUUUAGUGUAUAUGCACAGCACAGAAAUUGCAUGUAGCUUUCCGAUUUUUAUCCCAACUUCGUUUCUGUGGAAUCACAAAACUACAUACGCACAGCACAGGGAAGGGAAAAAAAAAAAAAGGCACAUUUAAGAGACACCUAUCUUCUCAUUCUACAUCACAUCCUCUUUUCCUAGCUUUCCAACCUUGCAACCAAAGCAAACAUCUUUCCUGAUAAAGGGUAGGAAAGAAAGUGGUUGUGUGAAUUGGGAUGAGAGAGACAGAGACAGAGACAGAGACAGAGAGACAAAGAGAGAGAGAGAAAAGAGAAAUCAAAGUAUAUAUAUAAAUAGUAAGUAUAGUUUAUAUCAUGCAAAGUUUUGAUGGUUUCGUUCAAAAAAAAAACAGGGAAAAAGUUUUGAUGGGUAAUUCUAGUAAUAAUGUUCUUAUAAUUCUAUAUAUAUAUAGAUAUCAAACUGUACUACCAUAUUCUUCCUAUAUAUACACUUGGUCGUCAACUACCUCUCUCUCUCUCUCUCUCUCUCUCUCUCUCUCUCUCUCUCUCUCUCUCUCUCUGUGACCUGCAUUUAUACAGAACCAAUUAUUCCAUCUUCACUAUACAUUUUCCUCAUCUUCCCAUUCAUAUUUUAUGGCUCUCUUGUUCUUCCUCCUAAUUCUUUUGGUCCCUGCAAGCAAUACUAAUUGGCCACCAUCACCUGGCUACUGGCCAAGUUCUAAAUUCAGGUCUAUGAGCUUUUAUAAAGGAUUUAAAACUCUCUGGGGUCCUCAGCAUCAAAGCUUAGACCAACAUGCAUUAACAAUCUGGGUUUAAUGAGGCCAGAAAAUUUUAAGAACUUAUCUACCAAGCAUACCAAACUGACAAAGCAAACCAUAUCUGUAUUUUAUCAUCAAUUUCAUCAAUUUUAUCACCAACAACAGAUAAAAAAAGGGAAUUUUUUCAAAAAAAAAAAAAAGGAAAAAACAUAAAUAAAAAAAGGGGCACAUUUAAGAGAGACCUAUCUUCUCAUUCUACAUCACAUCCUCUUUUCAUUUUGAAGCGGUCAUGUGUUGUGAGUUUCUUGUUUUAUAAAUUUUCAAAACUGUUGUUUAGAACUGCAAAAUUCUUCAUCAUAUAUCUUGCCUUCUAAUAUACAUUCUGUAUCAGGAAACUGGAAUGAGGCUUGCUCUUUGAGGAAGAGAAAUAAAAGAAAAAGUUGUGGCAAAGGUUCACGGAUGUAGUUGGAUUGUAGUGGGACAGAGAACAAAUUUAUUUGUUGCAGGGGAAAAGUCUCAUCCAAAUGCUAUGAAAUCAUGGCAACUUUAAAGUAUUGGACAGCAAUAAUGAAAGAAGAGGGCUAUGUUGGUGACACAGAUUCUUGCUUGCAUGAAUAAGAGGGAGAAAAGCCCCUAUGGUAUUGACUGUUGCCGCCAAGUGCAUAUUGUUAUUACUAUGCGUACUACAUCCCAAGGCCUCUCUCAGCAGGAUUACAAAGUAAACCAGAAUUACUAUCCCAGCAGUAUUCUGCAACUUUGCUCUGCACUUCCUUAUGUAAUCUCUCUCUCUCUCUCUCUCUCUCUCUCUCUCUAUAAAUAUAUAUAUACACACACACACACACACACACAUAUAUCUAGGCAUGCAUAUUUAUGAGUUCCCCAUUGAGGAGGGAUUCCCUUUUGAGGAUUUUAUAAUUAGAAUUAGACUGCCUUCUUAACCAAUAGUUGGGUUUGUGUGGUAAGGUAUGCUGGGUUUGUUGAUGUGGAUAUUUAUGCCUGGAGGUGCUUUGUUUUACUACUUCGUUGAAGUAGAAACAGACACUGACAAAGAAGCCCUUCAUUCUUUGUCUCAAUAGUGAUUGGUUUCUUUGAUCCUAUUCAUCAUAUCUGGUGGUGAGGUUGCCUAAUCAGCCAAAUGUUGGGUUCAACUACCUCUCUCUCUCUCUCUCUCUCUCUCUCUCUCUCUGUCUCUCUCUCUCUUUCUCUCUCUCUCUGUGACCUGCAUUUAUACAGAGCCAAUUAUUCCAUCUUCACUUUACAUUUUCCUCAUCUUCCCAUUCAUAUUUUAUGGCUUUCUUGCUCUUCCUCCUAAUUCUUUUGGUCCCUGCAAGCAAUACUAAUUGGCCACCAUCACCUGGCUACUGGCCAAGUUCUAAAUUGGCCAGAAAAUUUUAAGAACUUAUCUACCAAGCAUACCAAACUGACAAAGCAAACCAUAUCUGUAUUUUAUCAUCAAUUUUAUCGCCAACAACAGAUAAAAAAAGGGAAUUUUUUCAAAAAAAAAAAAAAAAAAGGAAAAAACAUGUUUAGUCUUUGCUUUCCAAUGUUUUAUCCAAAAACCUGAAAAUCAAAGUAACUAAAUAAAUGAACCCAAUCAUUCCUAAUUUCUAUUUUGUCAAAACCUAAUUAAGCUUCACUUCUUUUUUGCUUGUAUUUUAUCAUCAAUUUCAUCUAUUUUAUCACCAAUAGCAGAUAAAAAAAGGAAAUUUUUUCAAUUAAAAAAAAAAAAAACAUACUCAGUCUUUGCUUUCCAAUGUUUUAUCUAAAAACCUAAAAUCAAAGGAAUCAAAUAAAUAGGGUUUAGGGCUCAAGAACCUGAAAUCAAAAGAACCAAAAAAAUGAACACAACUCUACAUAGCACGAAAAAUCUCCCAGCCAACAAUCAAAUUCAUGAAAUAAAUACCAAAAGAUCUGUUAAAAAAUUGAUGAGAUGCAUACCUGAAAACAAAGGAUGCAACAAAGAUGGAAGCCUGAGUCGAAGCAAGAACGAUGGAAGCCUGAGUCGAAGCAAGAAAGAUGGAAGCCUGAGUCGAAGGUUGUAGAAAAGACGAAAUCUCCCGAUCCCAAAUCUGUGACACGAAGACUGAAAGCACGGCUGGAUUUGCAGCUCACCUCCCAAACAAAAAUCGACGGCCUUCAACGCAUCUCCAGCAACGAACACAACUCUUCCAUGGCUGCCCCCCAACCAGCUGGUUGGAAACGAACGGGAGAAAAUGGUUUCUCUCAGCGGACGAAACCAUCUCAACGAAGGGGGAGGGGCAAAAACGGGAACAAAAGAAACUGUUUAGUCAAGGGCAGUUUCGUCAUUUAACUGUGCUGCAGGAAAAAAAACGAAAACAGCAGAAAAAUGAGGGGCAUUUCCGUCAUUACACUGUGCUUAGCUACAGUGUUUAGUUGCAUUGGGUUUUAGUAUAUAUAUAAUUUAUGUUGUGAUUCGACUGCUGCUGUAUUUUAGAUUUAUAGGAACAGACCAAACAUGUUGAUUCUAUCACCAAAAUUAUAAAGUAUACUUCCAUUACAAUUAAUUUGUUGAUUCUAAUUUGGACUUGUAGGAACAGACCAAACAUGUUCAUACGUGGCAUUGCUCAAGUCAUCAUCAUUCGGGACAGAGAAUAAGCCUUCAAAUGUCUGCUGAGUCAAUGAACCUUUCUAGAUAUCUCAAGUGUAAUGGAAAUUGAUGAGUUACAAAGGAUUUGUAAACAUUUUCUACUGGAGGCUAGAAAUGCUUCAAAUAAAUGACUCUGUUGCAAUUAUUUUGUAGGAUCAAAGACUCUGCAAAGAGGUAAGAAAGUCAUCAUCAAGUAACUUCGCUCUUCAUACUUUUUAUUAGGGGUGGGCAUUGGAACCGCAAAACCGCAAAACCGAACCAACCCAAUCCGAAAAAAACCGAAAAAAACCGUGUUGACCGAAAAAGUCAAAAACCGAGACAAAUCCAAACCGAACCGGUUCAGACCGGUUCCGGUUCCGAUUUUCCACCUUAAGGAACCGGUCCAAUCCGAACCGGUCCAAUAUAAUUAAUUUUUAUAUUAUAUUUAUAUUUAUAUUUAAAAUAUCAAAUUUUGUAGGCCCAAACCCAACUAUUUCAUUAUACCAACAAAAAGCCCAAAUCUCCCAAGUCCAUUGCCCAAGUCCAACAAGCCAUAUUUUAAUAUCCUAAUCACAUCAAAUCUCACUUCACUCUCUCUCUCUGACGCACUCUCUCUUUUCCUCUCAGAUUUUUUUUACUCUCUUUUUCUUUCUUUCUUCUCUCUUCCGCCUCUUUUCCUCUAGGUUCUUUAACUUCUUUUUACUUCUUUCUUUCUUCACUCUUCUGCCUCUUUUCCUCAGUUUUUUCUUCUUCUUUCUCUCUUAUUCUUUCUCCUCUCAAUUCGUCUCCAUUUUUUUUCCCUCUCUUUCUCUGAUUUUCUGUUACUCUGAUUUUUUUCUUCUUGGUUUUAUGUUUCUCUCUCUCCCUCUAUAUCUCUUUCUUUGCAACUCUGUUUUUCAAUUUCUCCUUUUUUUUCUCUCUUCAUUUUUUGUUUCUCUGUACAUAUAUGUGUUCAUCUUGUAGAUCUGGGUGAAAUUCUUGUAGAUCUAGGUGAAGUUCUUGGAGAUCUGCGUUAAGUUCUUGUAGAUCUAGGUAAAGAGCCAAUUCAAAGCAGGUCAGCGUCUCUUAUCUCCCCAAUCCCUUGUGAAGAUAUGUAUUUUUUUUGUUGUCAACAAUCCAUUUUGGUGUUUUUAUAUGGUAUUGAUAUUUUCUAUGAUUUUGGGCUGAUUUGAGGUCUGAUUCUUUUUUUUUCUUUCAAUUUUUUCCUGUUGUGUUUUGAUAGACAUGUUCUCUAUUCCUGAUAUCAUUCCUCAGUGGCAAAAUCUUUGAGCGUUGUUGUAAAUUUUAGACGGGAAAGAAGCUCAUUCAUAAUUCAAAAAAAGAAAAUAAAGUUACAACAACUGACAAUUUGUUGCUCUUUGAAAUAGGUACUGAAGUAGCAUGGAUAAAAAGAAAGACUGAAGAUGUUGCAGAAGAUUGAAUAUGUUCUAUUUCUGUAAUUUGUUUGUAAUUAAAUUUGUUUAUUUUGUUUUGUUUUUAGGUUGUAAGUUUUAUUUUAAUGUUUGAUAUUUGUUGUUUUGUCAAAAAAUUGUAUUAAUGCUUGAUGGAUUCAUUCAAUUUGCAGUGCGUGGAUGUGAAUUGGGCCAAUCGGUAAUAAUUAGGCCCAAAAGGUUUUAAAUAUCAAUUGGGCUGAAACUUACAAAAAAAUUUAAGAACAAAAAAAAAAUCAAUUAAGCUGUGUGUCGGCCCAAACCGUAAAAACCGGAACCGAACCGGAUUCAAAUGGGUUCGGGUUGGUCCGGUUUUCUCAAGCAUUUUAGUAAAAAUCCGAACCGGACCGGACCGGUGAACAGUACCGGUUCCGGUUUUAAAUUGAUGCAAAAACCGGUCCAAACCGGACCGUGCCCACCCCUAUUUUUUAUUUUUAUUUUUAAAUAUCAGUAAUAACUGGGAAAGCUUGCAUCUCCUUAAAUUGCUCAUUCUUACAUCUUUUAUAGUUUGUUGAUCUUGGGCAAGUGGAGAGAGAGGCGUCAAGUGAUACGCAACAACCAUUUUCUGUGAGCUGAUUUGAUAAAGAGAAAUGGUAUGCUUUCUUGUCUUAAGCGGUGUGUUCUGCAAUUAUUUGAAACAAAGGAUGCCGCACUUCAAGUUCGAGAAAAUCAGGUAUUUUAGUAUUUUAUUCUUGAGAAAUUUGAUUUAUGUAGAAACUUGAACAUGUAAAUGAGAGAAAAAAAAAUAAAUAUAUAUAUAUAUUAUAUAUUGUAUAUGCUGUUAAUGAGUUAAUAUGGUGCUUGCUCCUAGUUGGAAAUUUAUGUAGUCAUCUACCUAUGAUCAAAUAAAGAUGAAAAAUAAAAUAAAAUUGAGAGCAUCUUCCUCUCCCCUGCUUUGCUCAUCCCUUGUUCUUCCACUUCAGCCCCACUAUUACACCAUUUUUUUCAGCCACAAUUAUAAUAGCUCCAUGAGCAUUAAGUCCCUUUCAAAUUCUGCUGACAUUCAAAAUUGGAAUCUGCUGGUGAUAUAUGAUAGCGUUAACAUAUUGUACCAUUUUGGCCAGUGUACGCAAUAUUAUUGCAUCCAACUUUGCAUAUUAACAUCAGUGGCCACAGUUACACGAUUUGAGUGCACAGAAAGGUUUCAAAAGUUGUCCCACAGAGAACAGUCGUUCAAAGUGAGAGAGUUUUGAAAGCUUAAUUACAAGUUCAUGUUGUUUACAACCUCAAAAAGCUUUCAUACUUGCUUACAAACCUGUAUUUCCAAGUUCUGCAAACCUUGGAAUAUCACUUCAUCCAAAUCCCCUUCCAAAGCAGGAAAAAAUGGCAGCAGCUUUGAUUGGAGAGGCUCUCAUCUCUGCUUCUAUCGAGGUGUUGUGUGACAGAGUUACUUCAGCCGAGUUCAUAGACUUAUUUCAGCAGAAGAAACUUGAUGAAACACUCCUCAUGAACCUGAAGACGACACUGUUGAUUUUGUUUGCGGCGCUCAAUGAUGCAGAGGAGAAGCAAAUUGUGAACCCUGCUGUGAUAGAGUGGCUUAACAGCUCAAGCAUGCUGUCUUUGAUGCAGAGGACUUACUUGAUGAGAUUGACACUGAAGCUUUGCGAUGCAAGCUGGAAGGUGAGGAUCAAACCCACAAUAAUUAACCAACAAGGAUCUUUUUGAUUGUUUGAAAGGAGGGUCUUUGAUGAUUUGAAAGGAGAGGGUUGCUUCAUUUCUGUUGGAUGCUUAAUUAAAUCUUAUCUGGACUUGAACAAGGAUUAGGUUAGCUGUAUAAUUCGUGGUAAACACCUUUUUCUAAGGUUCAUUUAGACUCCUAUUACGAUUAAUUUGUUGUUUCUAAUUUGGACUUGUAGGAACAGACCAAAUAUGUUCACACGUGGCAUCGUUCAAGUCAUCAUCAUUUCAGACAAAAUCAGCCUUCAAGUGUCUGCUGACUCAAUGAACCUUUCUAGAUAUAUCAAGUGCAAUGGAAAUUCAAGAGUUACAUAGAGAUUUGUAAACAUUUUGAAGAUUGCAACACCUGCAAGUGAGAUAGGUGGUGACGAAAUCAGAGCUGAUCUUGAAGCCUCUGAUGCCCCUGUCGUUGCAAGUUGCACCUGAGAACAUGGUUUUUUUUUGGGUAAAAAACCAGCAACAUGUUCGGGGCUGGCAAUUCAAUCCCUGAUGAACUUGAGAAGCAAAGCUCCAGUAAGGAAAUUGGUCGAGGUCACGACAGGGAUAAUUGAUGGUGAAAUGGAUGCUAUUUCUUAUUGCAGCCUGUUCUCAAAGUUCUUGUUGGCAAAAGCAAGAGAUGGAGUAUUUUGAUUGGGAGGAGAGAUAAUGACAUGUGUUGACAAUUCUAGAACAGCCCAUCUGAGUUCUUUUGUCAGGCUGCAUCAUUUAAUCCCAGCAAAAAUCCAGUUUUUGCUAAACAAUCAAAUUGUACACAUUUUUUCUUUUCGAGGAAUUUAACAUUACACAUUUUUUCAUUUUUUCAUCAAACAGUUUUCUAAUGCAUUUGUUGUCCCAAGUUACAAUGAGGAAUUUGGAUUGAGUUUCUUGUGUUAAUAACAUUAUACUUUCAUGGAAUGGUUUAUCUUCUUUUUCUGGACAAAAAUAUUUAGAUUAAUUUCUUGGAAUAAUUUUUUAAUAAUUUUUUAAUUGCAGUAGCGAAAAAAGGAAAAUUGUAUUUUUCAAAACCAAUCUUAAGUCCAGUUUCCUCUUCUUGGUCGUCACACUUGGAAAUUGCUAACCAUAUAUAACUUGGGGUAACAAUCUUAGUCCGAAUGUGUACGAUCUUAGUCCGAUCAAUGGCUACGCGUAUUGGCUCGGCCUUGGGGUCUACCAUUCCAGUGUACAAGCUUCCUGGGUCUUGGGGCAAUUCCUUCAAAUUGUACACAUGUUUUCUUUGAGAAGCAAGGCUCUAGUAAGGAAAUUGGUUAUGUAACAAAUUUUGGUCCCUUUGGAUGGAAUGAUUUACAAUGAGGAAUUUUAUUAUUAUUAUUUUGUUUUUGUUGUUAGUGUAAUGAAAAUGAUCUAGGUUCAUACACUGGGUAUAGCUCUAAUUUGGCCAAUUUCAUUAUUUUAGUUUCUUCAUAUUUUCAAUUAUUAUAAUUUGGUGCGUUGUUUUUUAAAAACAUUCAUGAGAAUCUCCAUUUUUUAGGUGUUUAAGUUAUUCAUCCACAACGGUUUUAUAAUACCGUCAUCUUUUCAAACACAACGAUGAUUUUUUAAUCUAUCGUCGUUGUUUUCUGAUCGUCUUUUUCACUUUUUGUAGUAGUGUCAAUAAGUAAGAUGAAAUAAUACAUUCACAAUCUGUUUAAAUUUUAAAUUAAAAAAAACACAAGAAAAUUUUAAAUAAGUAAGUAAUUUUAAAUAUAUAUUUCCAUUGUUUUGGUUUUCUUUUCAUAUUAGUUUUCUACUAGCUGCUAAUUUCAUUUAAAUUGUUUUUCUUACUUCAUUUAACUUUUAAGCAUGCAGAUGCAAUCAUGACUUCUUCUUUUUUUCAAUAGACUGAUUCUCUUCCCACAUAUAUAAUGCUCUCUAAGUAUUCGUAAUAUGAGUAGGAAUUUAUUUUCAUUUCACAAGAAUUGUCCAUCAAAUUCUGAUAGGUUUGUCGAUAGCACAAGCAUGCACAUAUAGACACUACAAGAACUUUGUUUCUUCAUUUUGUUUCCUAAAGAUUUGUUGGCUUCGUGCAGAUGAAUAACAAGUCUCUCUGUCCUCUAUUUCUUCUUUUUCUUUUUUAACAAUUCAUAUUCUACUUUCUGUUUUCACCCAGUAAAAAUUGAUUUUAGACAUGGGCUUCUAAAUUAUGUGCGGAUAAUGGUUGCAUUUAUAGAAUAUCCAUGGGCUUCUAGUCACCGUGGUUGUUGAUUCAGCAUGUCAUAUUACUCUUGGACUAGCUGUUGACACUACUACAUUUUACACUUUGCGCGACGAAGAACAAAACGUCGCGCAAAGUCGCAUUUAGUCGCCCCAAUUUCAGCGCGACAAAAACGUCGUCGCGCAUAUUCCGUCGCGCGAAGAUCGUGAAGAAAGCCUUUGCACGACGAGGUACAACCCUUCGUCGCGCAAAAGUGUGCGACGGGUAAACCAUCGUUGCACCAACGGUGUGGAGACGAAACAACCCUUCGUCGCAAAAAUAUUUGCGCGACGAUAAAUUAUGCGGCGCACGUAUAUUUGCGAGACGACGGGAAUUGCGCGACAAAACAUUAUUCGUCGCGCAAAAUAUGUAUGGGAGACGUAUAUGUUCGUCGCAGAACAAUUCGCGCGAUGAGAAAGUUUUCGUCGCACAUAUAAUUGCGCGACGAAAAAUUAUGUCGUCGGCCAAAUAUUUUGCGCGACGAAACAUUUCGUCGCGCAAAACGUGUUAUGUGUUCGUCGCGCAUGAAUUAAAAGUGAUAAAAAAAUAUUUGAUUUUUUUUUGUUACAUGUUGGUUUGCGCGACGAAAGAUUUUCCGUCGCGCAAAAAUAAUAUUACAAUUUUUUUUUUAUUUAUAUUUUUUAUUUGAUAUAAAAUUGGUUUCUUUUUAUUGAUUAAACAAUGAAAUUGCAAUAAAAAUAAAUUAGAAUAAAAUUUUGUUAUAAAAUAAAAUAAAAUAAAUGUAUUACAAAUAAAAUAAAUACACUAAUCAAAUAAUGAAUCAAAAUCAACCGAGUCGUCGCCAGUAUGCGGCUCGGAGGGCGGGGCGUUCACCGGGGCAGUGGUCUGGUGGGGAUGCCCGGGAUGGACGGGCUCAGAGGUCGGCGCAUCAAAAUGCGGGACUGGAAUGCCGGACUGUGCGAGGGACUGCAGAAUGACCGACAUCUGGCUCUGAAGAGUGGCCACCUGUGCUGUCAAAGCAGUGACCUGACUGUUUGACUGCGCCGAUGAACGAGGUCGAGGUUCCCUCCGCCGGGCAUUCCCCAUCCCUCGACAAUAUGUCCCCGGCCUCCUCCCGAGAGUCUGAUCCAACGUCUCCGUCAAUAUCUGAAAUCCAGCAUCCUGUGGAGGAGCCACAGACUCGAUCGGAGUCUCGGGAGGAAGCUGGGAGGCGGACUCCUGAAGAACAAGCUGGCUCCUCUCCACCAUCGUCGUCUGUUGAACAUAACAUAAAAUAUAAAUUAAAACAUGCAUAUAAAUUGAAUGCGUAACAUAAGAAUUAAAAUUAAAUAAUACUUACAUGAAGGGACUCGGCCAACUCAUUCCCGGGUCGAACAUAAACGUCACCAAAGACGUCGAUCUCUGGGAACUUGGACCCCUCCUAAAUUGAACAAGAGAAGAAAAAUAUUAGUAUGAAAAAAAUAAAUUAAUAAAAAUGACAUUAAAAAUGAAAUAAAAAUUUUGUGAUUAUUACCCGACGCCGUGCAUCCAUCCUAUAAGAAAAGGGUCUGGAGCCGGAAUGGUGGAGAAGGGUCUUCUUCUUCCUAUUACCCUUAUUCACUUGGGCUUUAUUCUGUUAUACAAAAAAUGAAACGUAUUAGUUAAAAUAUAAAAAAUUAAAUAAUAAUGAAAUAAAAAAAUAAAAUAAACAUUAAUAAGUAAUAAGUAAUAAUUAAACAAAUAUAAUUAAAAAAAUACCGCAAAUUCGGGCGCUUGAAAAUGAGCGCAGAGCCACUCCCAACUAUCCUCCCGCCCCUCAAGCUCCUUCGGGCAACCCUCCUGAAGAGCGACUUGCGGAUCAUCAUAGGCCUGAAAAUGGUGGUGCAAGUCGCUCUUCCACUGCUUGUACCUCUCAGCGAAGAGUCGGUUGACGUACGUCAACGACUCUUCGUCGAGAUCCUCCAAGUUAUAGUUCGUCUGCAAUCAAUUAAUUAGAUACGUUAAGUAAUAGAAAUAUACACAAUUUUAAAGAAAAAUAAUGAAAAUGUAAGGUACAUACCGACAACUGGCCGUGAAUCUCCGCCUGGAUCUCGUCAGGCAUGACCCUCCAAGACUUCCAUUGCAUCGGGCAAUGGGUCCGCACGACGUGGCCAAUGUCGUGGGCCAAGGAGCUAUGCAACUUCGCCGUCGGUGCAGCACGAUGGCGCUCGUCGUAUCCGAUGCUGAUACGACUGUUGGUCACCCGGGUGACCUUCGCCGUCUUCAGCUGACGACACGGUCCUCGGGUGUUCCUCUUCGCUGCAAAGAAAUAAGGUAUUAAUGUUAAAUAAAAAAACAUUGUCAAAUUUCAAUAUAAAAUUAACAAUACAAAAGUGUAGUUAUACCUGGCUGUGAUCCCGAGGCACCAGUACCGUCGGUCGAUGUCGUGUCGAUGGUGUCGGUGGGCCGGUGCCGCCGCCUAGCACUAGCUGGUUGCGCCACGGAUGACGCAGAUGACACAGGCGCCUGGGGCGCCCCGGGACCAACCACCACGUGGUCCAACAAAGCAGGAGCAGUGGCAGCAGAUGCCGACUGAGCCAGGGGAUCCGAACUCGGUGCAGUCGUCAUCGACCUACCACGUCUAAUCAAGUCUGACAUCUGCACAUAUAAUUUCAUUCAGAAUGUAAACUAAUUAAUUAAAAGCAUAGCCUGACCUAGGGUUUGGAAUUUCGGAGUAUCCGGGACUCCGAUCAACGAUCGGUCGAAUCCUAAACGAUCCUAGAAACACAAAGGUACAACUACGCGAGUUUCAGUUCGAUCCAACGGUCCGAACAUAUCAAACCUGGAAAUCGCACAAUAGGCGAAAUUCGAUCAAGACUCAAACGGUAACCAAAUUCAAAUCCGAGCAAACCUACGCGCUCGUGACAAACAGGGGAUCGCUCUGGGACACAAUGCCCCACUGCCACAGCAUCCCACGCGCCGGCAGCGCGUGGGUGUCCAAAGCGAUAACAUUCGCCGGAAAAUUCUAAAAACUAACGGCCAAGGUUCCUACCCUAGGUUGAAAACAAUAUUUGGCGCCACUUUUGUUCUCGGACCUACCCCGAAAAAUGGCCGGAAGUGGCCGGAUUUGAAAUUGCCAAACCGGCCAAAACCUAGGGUUUUAAUUCCUAUUUCCUAUACCCAUCAGCUAGAGCACAAAAAAUAGUCGAGAAAUCAUACCUCAGGCGUCGGAAAUGGUGGCCGGAGGAGAGAGAAAACGGCCGGCGAGGAAUCGGUGAAAAACCGACGAUGUGCGACGGCAGGCUCGACGGCGAAGGCAGGGGAGGCUAUGGCAGGAGCGGCGGUGGCUGAGGUGACGGCGGAGAGAGAGGGCUGAGGUGACGGCGGAGAGAGAGGCAAACGGAGGAAAAAACCAGAAAUGGGGAAGAAGGAGGCAUCGCGACGUUUCUGCAAAUUUUUACGACUUUGCGCGACGAAUCACAUCAUUCGUCGCGCAAAAUGCUAUUAAUGAAUCUUGCGCGACGCUAUAUCCGUCGCGCAAGAUCUGUCAGAACGCCAAAUUCUGAAAGUGGAUUAGGGUCUGUAAGUUUUGCGCGACGAAAUAGACAUACUUCGUCGCGCAAAAGGCUGUCUUUCCGCCAAAAUUUUGGGAUUUAGGGUUUAGCGGGAGGCUGAAACUGAAGGGUUUGCGCUUUUGCGCGACGAAGACGGUAAACGUCGCGCAAUGGUAACCUUGCGCGACGGAACGUAUUAUAUUCGUCGCGCAAAAGGCUAUCUUUCCGCCCAAAUUUUGGGAUUCAGGGUUUAGCGGGAGGCUGAAGGGUUUGCGCUUUUGCGCGACGAAGACACUAAACGUCGCACAAAAGGCUGUCUGCUGAAAUGAAUGGUUUCUGCUUUUGCGCGACGAAGACAAUAAACGUCGCGCAAAACGUUGUCGUUCCGCCAACAAUUUGGGGUUUAGGGUUUAGUGUGAAAACUGGCGCCCAGAUUGCGCGACGAAGAGUACAUAUUUCCUUCGCGCAAUCUAUUUCACUUUCACUUUGCGCGACGGAUAUGUUGGUUCGUCGCGCAAUCUUCAAGAUUUUCAUUGAAAUUUUCACUAAGUGUUCAAAGGGGAUGGAGGUGUGAAAACUGGCGCCCAGAUUGCGCGACGAAGAGUACAUAUUUCCGUCGCACAAUCUAAUUCACUUUCACUUUGCGCGACGGUUAAAUUGUUCGUCGCGCAAAAUGUAGACCCUAAACCCCCUUGUAAACCCUAAACCCUGAACCCUAAGCCAUAAACCCUAAACCCUAAAAUAGUUUCAAUGAUCCAACCGGCAAACUUAUUGUUUGAAACUUGGAGAUCAUAUACGCCAAAAAUCAAGAAGACCAAACAUUCAGAUAUCAGGGAACGGGACUAAAUAUUUCGACGGUUAUAAAUGAAAAGUCAUGAUUUAACGGUUAUUGUAACUCCGAUUUUGAUCAAUUUUGACAGCAGCAUUUGUUGACCCUAUAUGAAUACAAUGACUGAAUUUGAUCUUCAAUUUCAGAUUUUUACACUAGGGGAUACCACAUAAACGUGAAGUUACAUUUGCACAAAUGUAUAAACAAAUUUUAGGGUUUUUGGUGAAUAUAUGAUUUUGAUAGCACAUGCAGUCUACGAAACAAGUUUCAGUCAUCCAGCCGUCAAACUUGUUUUUUUAGACUUCGAGAUCAUAGACAGCAAAAAUCGGACAAAAAAAACAUUCAGAGAUUAAGCAACGGGGUAAAACUUUUCGACGGUUCUAAAUAAAAAGUGAUGAUUGAACGGUUAAUUUAACUCCGAUGUUGAUGAUUUUUUGCAGCUACAGUCCUACACUCCAUAUGAAUACAAUGAACUACUUCGAUCGCCAAUUUUAAAUAUAUAUGUGUGUAUAUAUUAUACUAUAACGUUACCUAAUAUAUAUUUGCGCGACGAAAGUUUGCUUAUCGUCGCGCAAAAAUGCCAUACGCGACGCAUGUAUAUAUGCGUCGCGGAAACUAUGCGCGACCAGUUGUAUUCGUUGCGCAAACAUUACGCGACGCUUAUGUAUGCGUCGCGUAUGGUAUGUUUGCGCGACGAUAUGGAGCCCUUCGUCGCGCAUGGAUUUGGCGCCAUAAAUCCUCAUUGAUUUCAAAUUGUGUAUGCUUUGUAUUUUUUAGAAAGGUUUUGUAUUCAUCAUUUUUUAUGCUUUGUAUUUUGUGGAAAGGCUUUGAAAUAUUCAUUUCUUUUGUUAUUUUUAUUGAAGCUUUAACUUGUUCUGUUCCGCAGAAAAUUCCAAUGAAGUUUGUGAUGAAAUAUGGAGAAUGAAUACACAACUACAUAUGGACAACUACACAUAUUCAAAGAUUUGUAUUACACAAAAUUAAUACACUAACAUAAUAAAUUUACAAAUAAAUUCAUUAUUCAUCAUCUGAACUAUAAUAACUUUCGUUAUCGUCGCUAGCUUUAACUUGUUCUGUUCCGCAGAAAAUUCCAAUGAAGUUUGUGAUGAAAUCUGGAGAAUGAAUACACAACUACAUAUAGACAACUACACAUAUUCAAAGAUUUGUAUUACACAAAAUUAAUACACUACAUAAUAAAUUACAAAUAAAUUCAUUAUUCAUCAUCUGAACUAUAAUAACUUUCGUAUCGUCGCUAUCAUCACUCUCGGUCUCCCAAUCUUCUUCCUCCUCCUCCUCUAUAACUGCAUCAUCGGCGUUGCUAGGGCCCACUGCAACAUCGUAUCGGGGAAGAUCACCGAGGUCAAUUGUAAUUGACUGAAUCGGUAUUUCGACUGAAGACACUCCUUCUAUUUGAAACGGUUCUUGUAUAACAUUUGUAUCUCGAAGUGUUUCCGCAUCAUUUUCCAUUGAAGAUUCUAAACGAUGGUCAGCCACAUUGUCGACGUCGUUGUCACUUGGGUCUAGUUCUGGUAUAUUAUACACGUUCCUAUGAUCCAUCUUCUGCACAACUUUCCACCCGUUCCCGGCUUUAGGGUCAUCUAGAUACACAAUUUGGGACGCCAUGUUUGCCAAAAUGUACGGGUCGUCAUCAUACCAAGUUCUGUUAAUAUUCACAGACAGUACUCCAUGGUCGAUUUUAACACUUCCCGCCCUAUUUGGGUUGGUAUCGAACCAUCGACACUUAAACAUGAUGACUUGGUAUCGAUCUUUGUAAAGCAAUUGCACGACAGUUGUCAGUUUGCCAUAGAAAUCAAUGUCUGUACUUUCGCCUCCACCUGGGACAUGAACACCGCUAUUUUGCGUACACAACUUGUCAUCUCGUGCGGCCCCUAAAAAUUUGACGCCGUUAACAUUACAACCCGAGAACAAUUCAGCGCGAAUUGGGCCGAACGCCAAGUUAUAUAACUCAUCACUGUAAGUGGGGGAAUUCGAUGAUUUCAAUUUAUUCACCUAAUAGUAUACAAAACCAUUUACAUGUUAGUCUGACAAAAUUAAAUACUAAAAUUUAUAUUUGUCAAUUACAAAACACUUAUAACUUACAGAAUCCAAAAACCAUUGUGGAAAUAAUUCACGGUGUUUCCGGGCAACCAAAUGUGAUGGAUGUUCUCGCUUCAUCAUCUGUUCAUGCUCAUCUAAGUAGGCCAUUAUCUCAUCACAAUUGUUCAGUACGAACCAAUGCGCUACCUCCAUGUCAUUUCUAGAAAACGACUCUCCUCGUCCAGGAUCUCCAAAUGGUCGUGCGCUUUGGGCAAAAACAGAAAGUUUUUCAUUUCUCAUACCUCCGUCAUUAUUGCGGUGAGGACGAUUGAAAACCGUCUCCACAUCUUUUAAAUACAUUCCACAGAAAGUAAGCGACUCAUAUUGAACCCAAGCCUCUAUAAUUGAUCCUUCGGGCUUUGCCCUGUUGCGUACACUUUUUUUCAGCUCUCCGAGAAGCCUGCCAAAAUAAAACGAUAUGAUACAAAUUAGCAAAGUGUCGAUAAUGAUGCAUACACAAAUGAUAAAGAUUAUAUACCUUUCUAUUGGAUACAUCCAGCGAUAGUUGACAGGACCAGCAAGCAAUGCCUCUUCUGGCAAGUGAACCAUCACGUGCAUCAUACUUAUAAAGAAAGCUGGAGGAAAUAUCAUCUCAAACUUGCAUAGGACUUGGACAAUGUCAUGGCGCAACUGAAACAUGUCUGUCCUUCGCAAUGUUUUUGCCGUCAGUUGGGAAAAAAAUCUGGAUAACAACAUGAUUGGCUUCACCACAUCUUCCGGCAGUAAGUGUCGAAUACCCACAGGAAGUAGGCGUUGCAUGAACACAUGGCAGUCAUGGCUCUUAAGUCCAGUAAAUUUACCCCCAUCGACAUUCACGCAACGUGCGAUAUUAGAAGCAUACCCAUCGGGAAAUUUGACAGACGAUACAAACUUUAGAAACUCCUUUUUGUCAUUCGGUUUCAUAGAAAAGAAUGCAAGAUCCCUUCUAGCUUUAUCACUGUCCCUAUUCAUCCAUAAACCCCUUCGUAUGCCCAUUCUUUCCAAAUCAAGACGAGCUUUGAUCGUGUCCUUCGUCUUCCCCUCGAUAUCUAGAAUCGUGCCCACCAAUGUGUCGAAAACAUUUUUCUCAACAUGCAUCACAUCUAGAUUGUGCCUCAAUUUCAGUUUCGACCAAUAUGGGCGCUCAAAAAACAUAGACUUGUGCGUCCAGUUCAAAUGUGUAGAAGGUCGGGUCCGACUAACUGUUUUCCCGAACGGAGCAAAAUCCAAACGGUUCAGCUGUUCCAAGAUCUCAUCACCGGACCAUUCUCUAGGUCUGAGGCGACGCUCUGUGUUCCCGUCGAACUCUUUAUCUUUUUCUCGCCACUCGUGGUCCCAUGGCAACCAUCUCCGAUGACCAAGGUAACAAACUUUUCCCGCGUGCCAACCAGAAGUUACAUCUUCCUUGCAUACAGGACAUGCCAUAUAACCCUUUGUGCUCCACCCAGAAACCAUUGCAUAUGCUGGAAAAUCAUUCACAGUCCACAUAACUGCUGCUCGCAAAGUGAACAUCCUCCCAGUUGAUUUAUCGUACGUGCGAACACCGUUUGUCCAUAAAUCCUUCAGCUCAUCAACCAGAGGCCUUAAGUACACAUCAAUUGACCUGCCAGGAUCCUCAGUUAUCAAAACAGUCAUCAUCAUGUAUUCUUUUUUCAUGCAUUUCCAAGGCGGCAAAUUAUAUGGGAAUGCGAAAAUCGGCCAAGUGCUGUGGUGUUGGUUUAGAACCCCAUACGGAUUGAAUCCGUCAGUGGCAAGUCCCAAUCUAACAUUUCGGGGAUCAGCAGCAAAUUCGGGGAACGUUCGAUCGAACUCUUUCCAUGCCUCCCCAUCUGCAGGAUGCCGCAUCACAUCAUCGUCUACCCGUUUUUCCUUAUGCCAUCUCAUGUCUGUGGCAGUAUGCGUUGACAUAUACAAUCGCUGCAACCUAGGUUUAAGGGGCAGAUAACGCAUGACUUUUUGUGGUAUCUUAGUCGUUCUAUUCUGGGAUGUCAGUUUGAACCUCGACUCAUUGCAUAUAGGGCAUGUAUCCAACGUUUCAUGCUCUUUGUAGAAUAACAUGCAAUUGUUUUUGCAAGCGUGGAUUUUUUCAUAACCCAAUCCAAGACCGUGCAACACCUUCUGUGCAUGUUUAUGGUCUUUCGGCAAACAAUUGUCCGUCGGAAGCAUUCUCUUGAAAACCCCCAAAAAGUAAUCAAAACACAAGUUCGACAUACGAUACUUUAUUUUUCCGUGCAUUAGCUCCACAAUGGCAGUGAGAACGGAAAACCUCUCGCACCCCGGGUAUAACUCUUGGUUGGCAUUUUUUAACAGUUUUUCAUACUGUUCAAACUCCGCACUGUCUAUUGGUGUAGGCACGUCAUCUUCCCCUUCCUGAUUGAUGUUGGUCGAUGCGAAUGGAAAAGCAUCCUGUAUAAUACCCAUGACUUGAUCAUUAGGAUCCACAAUAGGUUCAACAUUGUCCACUCUCGGGGCAUUUGAAGACGAAGCAUGGUCUACUUGUUCGCCGUGAAGGUUCCAAAUGCUAUAUGUUUCAAUCAUUCCAUUCCUUACUAAAUGAAAUCCAACAUUUUCAAUUGUCUCCCACAACGUGUUGUUACACCUCCUACAAGGACAACGGAUUCUAGUUGCACCCGGGUUGUGUCUACGUGCAAACUCAAUAAAAUCCUCGAUUCCAUCCAAGUAUUCGUCUGCGCAUCUAUUCGGGUUCUGUAUCCACCUUCUGCUCAUAAUUCCUGAAACCACAAUCACGACACAACAAUCACAACAACUUCAUACGAAGUUAUAAUGUCACCUUAUGCCUCCGGUAAGGGCCCUAUCCCAUUCGGGAAUGCAUAGUCCUGUCACGUAACCUACGGCUACAUGAGAUUAGAUUUCGACGUGGAUUAAUUUCAGCAGCAUCUCGACACAGUUCUUGAAGUGGGCAUAGGUAUAAAUACCUACGUACCACCCGAAGAACGUACCGAGAUGACACCGAAAUCUCCACAAUCGAAACCUAAUCCUGUAGCCGAAGAUUAUGUGACAACACUAUGCAUUACCAAACUGUCCAAAUAAUGGGACAAUUCAAGAAUUAAUUGGACCGCAGUCAUGCAUUACGCAUCCAUGCACGAAAUUCAACUAAUCUCGAACGGGAAACUACGUGUUACUAAACAUAAAAAUAAAAGUACGAAGUUAAUUUCAAUUAACUUCGUACAUCACAACACAUUGUGCUAUGUCACGCACAAUUUCACAACAUUAUACACAUAUAACUUCACAAAAAAAUUACAAACAUAACAAACAAACUUUUACAAUAACAUACCUUCUCAAUCGUUCUCCACCAAUCACAAAUAUCCCUAACGAUAACAAAAUUAAUAGCGUUACUACGAAUUUACAUUAAUACAUUUAAACUAACGACAAAAAAUACAUACCCAAUGAACGUACUGAAUUCACAGUAGAGCAACGGCAGAGAGAGUGAGAGAGAGGUAGAAUGCAGUGGGAGAGUGAGAGAGAGGCAGAAUGCAGAAACUGCAUUCUGCCUCUGCAAUGGAACUGGCUAAAAUGAAGAAGAAGGACUUUGCGCGACUAACAAUCCAAUCCGUCGCGCAAAAUGCCGUCGCGAAAACCCACUUUUCCGUCGCACAAAAAAACAUUUCCGUCGCGCAAUUACCUGCCGACAUCAGGUUUUUUGCGCGACGAAUACAAUUAUCCGUCGCACAAACAUCCGUCGCGCAAAUAACAUUAUUCGUCGCGCAAGGUUUAUAUUACGUCGCGCAAAUAACACUUAUUUCGUCGCGCAAGAAAUUACACUUUACGCGACGAAGGUAAUUCCGUCGCGCAAAAAAGUUUUUUCCACCCUGCAUUUUGCCGCCAAAAUUAAGUAACCCUCGUUUUCUUACGCGACGGUACAUAUUUCCGUCGCGCUAAGGCGUCUUUUGCGACGAAAAUGUUCGUCGCGCAAGAUUCUGGCGCCAAAAACAUAAACUGGGGAUUUUUCCCCGACCUUUGCUCGACGAAAUUAGUUUUGGUCGCGCAUAGAUUGUUUGCGCAACGAAGAUUGUUCGUCGCGCUAGUGUUCUGCUGUUUGCGCUACGGUAUUUUUUUUUCGUCGCAAUAGUGAUUUUUGCGCGACGAAAAUAUAUUCGUCGCGCAAACGUCCGUCGCGCAAAUAGUAAAUCGUAGUAGUGUGAUUUGGUUUAGACUUGGUUUAAUUAUCAUUGUUGUGGUUGGUUCACCAAAAAGAUUUGGCUUAGAAUUACCAGUUUUGUUGUUGGUUUAGUUAUGCUUGGCAUUUGAGGAUCCUAUGCUUACUUGUAUGGGUAAUACAUUUUAUUGAUCGUUUCAUAUACUAAUUAUGAACUUUUAGUUCCAUUGUGCAUUUAAGAGUACACAUAUUUCAUAUGUAAUUCGAAAGUUUGUCGCUGAAAUUUCUGAGAAUUUGAAACUAGAUAAGCACACCUUGCACAAAGUUCAUAUAUUUUCUUCCAGCAAGUCUGUCUAUUAACCCCCCUUAUCUGAAAUUAAUUGUUAAAAGUUCUGAUUCAUCUUUAAUCAUUGUCUUACCCUUGUUGAAUAACACUCCUCAUUCUAAUUUAUAUUCGAAGUUUGAGGUUUCAAUUUCAAUUGUGGGCUUUGAUUUUACAGAUUUUGUUUGUCAAUUUCAAUUUGGACAAAGCAUAUGCAAACAAAGUAAGGCAUUAUCUAUUAUUUGGAUCAUUUCCAUAUGUUUAUAUGUUUUUAAUAUCAUUUGCCUAUGUAGUUGACAUGUUAUAACAUUUUCGUAGUGUUGAAUAUAUAUAUAUAAUAAUUUUAUUUUAGUGGAUGUGAGAUCUCAGUUUGUUGCUUUAUAUAAUUAUUUCUUUGCAAUUUAAUUUUUUUUAUCAGUCAUACUAUUGUUGACGGCUAAAAACCAUCAAGAAACAACUCUUAAGUUUUUUAAAAAAUAAAUAAAUAAAUAAAGAUUUGUUGAUGCUUAAAAAGCAUCAAGAAAAGAUAGUUUCUUGACGGUUUUGUGACGUUUCAUAACCGUCAUGAAACAUUACAUUUUGACGAACGUCUUUCUGAUAGUGGCAUCCGUGACGCUUUCCGAGCCAUCAAUUAAGGGCUAUCGUGAUGCUUUUUAGUUGUCAGCAAAAGGUGUUUUUCUUGUACUGUAUUCACUCAAAAUCGUUUUUCAUUUAGGGUUGCUAGUGUGGUUGAAUGCCAUUUGUUUUGUUAAUGAAUAUUAUACAUUAUGGAUUUUUGUAGAAAUGUCGCUUGAAAUUAUACCUCAGUUUCAAUUUGUCACCUUAAAGAAAAAUUUAAGAGAAAUGUCACCUUAAUUUUUCAAAAUCCACGAUUUGUCAUCUCACUUUAACAUCAUCCAAUUUUCCAUCUAUUUUAAGGGUAUUUUAGUCUUUUCAUUUUCAAGGGAAAAAAAGAGAGGAAGAAAAAGACCUCUCUCUUACUUUCUCCCCCAACCCAACCCCACCCGCCCCCCAAAACACAUCGCAUAGGACCGCCUCCCCCUUCCCCACAUUUCUUUUUUCUUUUUGGCCUACUUUUCCACUAUGUUUAUGUUGAAGGAUCUAAAGUUUUCUUGGUCACCAUCUAUUACGUAGGCUACCGACUUGUUGGUUUGGGUGGGUUGAGGGAAUUUGUGUGUGGAGGGCAGGUGUUCAUGUUGUGUGCACCAAGACCUUAUCGUUGAUGAACUAUGUGACGGCACACACACAAACUCGUUGAGAAUAAAACAAACAUACCACCAAGAGAGUAAAACAAACACACAAGGACACAAAGAUUUAUAGAGGUUCGGCCUCCUGCCUACGUCUUUUUGGUGAUUCACUCGAGAAAUUCACUAGUAUGUAAAAAUAACUUUGGUUACAACUGAACCCCCUUAGCCCUCACAAGAACCUUAGAUCUCUUUUCUCUCACCCUUGCUCAAACCCUUUGAUGCCCUUGUAGACACUCAAGAAUUCACCCUUGAAUUCUAUCUUGUGUUACAUCUUCUCUUCUCCCUUUUGUUAACCUAACCCUAAAAGUCCUAUUUAUAAUGCAUAGGACUUAAGUUACAAGUUAACUUGGAAUAGGAAACAUAAAAUACCCCAAAAAUUGGAGAAAAUCUGUCCAAAUCUAGCCUGCAAAAUCAUCCUUCUGCCGCUCGAGCUGCCGGUGGCGCUCAUGGGAUGGGGGAAUUGGAGAUUUUCUUUUCAAUUUUAAUUGUUUAAAAGAUAUACAAUUUUUUAUUAUAAUAAUUUUUCCAUUUUUAAAAUACACUUGAAAAUAGAAAGCUUAAAAUGCCCUUAAAAAUAGAUGGAAAAUUGGAUGGUGUUAAAGUCAGAUGACAAAUCAUGGAUUUUGAAAAAUUAAGGUGACAUUUCUCUGAAAUUUUUCUUUUAAAAGUGACAAAUUGAAACUGAGGUAUAAGUUCAGGCGACAUUUCUACAAAAAUCCCUAUACAUUACAAUAUUAUAACAAUAAAAUUGGCUAAAAUUGAUAUGUUCCCUCUUUUCUUUUCUUUUUCUCUUUUCCUUUUCAUUUUAUGCUUUGUUGCUAUUGCUAUGUUUAUCCUACAAAUAUAGCAACUUCUCCACCAUUCAUUUGUUAGUGACUACGAUGCUUAGUAACUUCUUCAGCUCCCCUUAUUUCCAUGUACUAACCAGGGACACCAGGUCAGCAUCUUCGGUAAGAAUCCUAACUCAAUCAAACAAUGACAUCUGUAAAUAUUCAAAAUUGGAAUUUGCAUUGUGAUAGUUGAAAGCAUCCUUGUCCCAAAAAAAGCCAAAAAAUAAAAUAAAAUUGAGAGCAUUAAGUCCUUUUCAAAUUAUGCUAAUAUGCAAAAUUGGAAUUUUGAUGGAGUUGCUUCCUUGACUUUUCCACCUUUGUAUCCAGUCCACUUUGCACAAGGAGCCAAGUUUGAGAGAUAGUUUUCUGUAUUUACACCAUCCAGGAGAAAAUUAAAAAACUAUUUCAUGCCAAACUAACUACGGAUUCUUGCAAAGGACCCAUUAGUGUAGUGGUUUGGAGUAUUUACUCCCUCAGGCAAGGUCUUGGGUUCGAGUCCUAGCAUUCAUGUUGUGUGUGUGAGUUUAAUAUGCUAUCACCCCUUCCAAUAGGAAAGGACCUCAAAAAAAAAAAAAAAACUACAGAUUCUUUAAUUGAAAGAAACCCCAUAUUAAUCAUCCUUUGGCACAUAAAUGUUUGGUAAUUGGCAUUAAAGUAUCUAAAGGUUACGAAAUUAAAGAUUUUAAUGCAAACCUAAAAUUGGAAAAGAGGGCACCAAUUCAUGUAAAAUAUGGUGUACUUAGUAGAUCCAACAUAUUUUUUUAGCAACCAAGGACAAUCAUCAUUUUUUUUUUUAAGAACCAAGGAUAGCUUACAUUCUAGUUUGUCCAUCAUGUCAACACAUUUAUAAUUAAAACUUCUUUUUUGGUGAGGUUUCAAUUUUUGUCACUGUAACAAGACCACAAUUGCCAUUCAGUAUGCUAACAUUGUCACUAUGUUUGCCAAUUGCAUAUUAUCUAGAACAUAAAGGCUUUGGUGUUUUGUAUAUCCUCGGGGUGCCAAACCUGUCUUUAUAAAAAUGGUCCUUAUGAUACUACUUUAACAACAAAAAAAUAUAAUAAACUAGGCCUUUGUAGUCACUGAACGAAUGUUUUCUCAUAGAUAUGACUAUUUAAAUGUAAUUACGGGAUUAAAACAUUAUAAUAAAUUGGAGUGAACCAUAACAUUAUAUAUGAUCCAAUCCUUUUCAUAUAUUUUUGUUCAAGACUUUGUUUUAGAAUGCUCUUUUACUAAUUUGGUACAGGUCCCUAAAAUCUACGCCUUUAUGAGGCAACGUCUUUAUUUCUUUGGUUAUUCCAGUUUAGAAUAUAUUUGUACAAAUGAGAUGACUCCCAACAUAAAGUCACAUUCAACCAAAAAGCAUGAAGUCACACACAAAAAGAACACGGACAAUUGCUAAGUUUAUCUUGUAUCCUUAUUUUAUUGAUCCAACCCAAUUGAAAAAUAAAAAAGAUGAUAUAAUAUAUUGUUCACUGCUUACAUCCAUGAGUAAAGUCCUCCAUUUGAAAUUGCGUGAUUAUACAAAAUUGGAAUGAAAAAAGAAAAUCCUACAACUAAAUUUGAUAUAUUCCUUUUCAUUUUAUGUUGGAUGUUAAGUUUUCUUGUUUCUUGUUGAAAAGAAAAAUGAAAAGAAAUAAAUAAAUUACACAGCUAGCAACUUCUCCACCUUCCCUUCUUCCCAUGUACUGACAACAAGGGAGGCCUUCAAUCCAAAAUAAAGACAAGGGAUGCCAGGUCAGCAUCUCAGAUAAGUAUCCCAACCAAAACCAAUCAAAUAAUGACAUAUGUAUCUCUUUUUGUGUUUUGUUCUAUUUCUCUUUGAAUUAACUGCGAAGUUUCAUAAGCGUGUCCUCCUUUUGAAAUUGUGUAUUAUUCAAAAUUGGAAUUUGCUGGUCAUACUUGAUAUAAGCUAAAACAGUUUCCAACAUCUUGUACCAUUUUUUUCCAGUGUGGGUCAUAACUUGAAGAAGCCCACCGACAAUUUCUCAAAAGCUAUUACCAUCCAACUUUGAAAAAUAAAAGUUUCAAAAGUUACCCCAAACAACAGCCCUUGAAAGAGAGUUUUCCAAGGCUAAAGAUUACAAGGAUGUUAUUGGCACAUGCAUUAACGUGUGACAAGAAGUUAGUUAUAUUUAUAAAGUAAAAGAACGAAGUACAUAACAUGUAAGUUGAUGCCAAAUAUUUGAUCAACAGAGCUAAACAUAAAACCACGACAAUAUAACGUUGUUCACCAAAAAUUGUGUUUCGUUGAGGGUCAGUAGUGUAGGUUUCAAGAUACGAUUUAUUUUGUUAAAGAAUAUUCUGAUAUUCUAACAAUAAAAUUGGCUCAAUUUGAUAUGUUUCUUUUUUUUUUUGUUUUUGUUUUCCCUUUCAUUUUAUGCUUUGUUGUGCUAUUGCUAAGUUUAUCCUAGAGACCAGGGAUGCUUAGCAAGUUUCUUCACCUGCCCUUCUUCCCAUGUACUAACUAGGGAUACCAUGUCAGAAUCUUAGAUAAGAAUCCCAACCCAAUCAAACUAUGACAUCUGUAAGUAUUCAAAAUUGGAAUUUGCAUUGUGAUAGUUGAGUGGAAGAAUCGAUUAAGGCUUGAGUGGAAGACAAACUUCAGUGGAGGAAAGUAAUUAAUCUCACAAGACAUAGCCCAUCAGUUGGCUCAUUUUUCUUGAGUGUGUAGUCCUGGCCUUGAGGCGAGGCCACAUUGCUUUGGAGAUUUCUUUCUACUUGGUGAAAUUAUAAUUUAGAAGAAGCAAACUGCGUUUUGCAAUUUGUGCGAUUCAAGCAUAUCUGACACUAGUAAUUAGACCAUAAUCUUUGUCCGACCAGAAAAUAAGAAAAGUUGUCUUGUACCAUUUCUGCCAGUGUGGGUCCCACCCACCCCAUACGAGUAAUUUGAAGAAGUCCACCGACAAUUUCCCAAAAGCUUUGGCGUCCAACUUUGCCGACCCCAUCCCCAUGUGAGGCCAUAGAAAAGUUUUCAGCCACAAUCAAAGAAGGGAACAGUCCUUGAAAAGAGAGGGUUUUCCAAGGCCAAGAUUACAAGUUCAUGUUAUUUACAGUCUCAAAAAGCUUCCAUACUUGUUUACAAACCUGUAUUUUCAAGUUGUGCUAGCCUAGCUAUUUGCAAAUCUUGGAAUAUUUUACUUCAUCCAAAUCCCUUGCAGUCUGCAGAGAAGAUAAAAGACAUGGCUUUGAUUGGAGAGGCUCUUAUCUCUGCUUCCGUCCAGGUGUUGUGCGACAGAAUUACUUCACCCGAGUUCGUUGACUUAUUUUGGCACAAGAAACUCGAUGAGCCACUCCUCAGGAAGCUGAGGACGACACUGUUGGCCUUGAACUUGGUGCUCAAUGAUGCAGAGGGGAAGCAACUUGUGAACCGAGAUGUGAAAAAGUGGCUUGACGAGCUCAGACAUGCUGUCUUUGAUGCGGAGGACUUACUGGAUGAGAUUGACACUGAAGCUUUGCGAUGCAAGCUGGAAGAAGGUGAAGAUCAAACUCACAAAUUUACCAAUAAGGUGCGGAACUUGCUCUUUUCUCCUCGUAGUCAUUUUUAUCAGAGCAUGAAUGAUAAGAUAAAAGAGUUACUAGCAAGGUUAGAAAACUUUGUACAACUGAAAAGUGCUCUUGGUCUGGGAGAAGUUGCUGGGAGGAAGGUUUCGCAAAGAACUCAAACAACCUCCUUGGUUCUUGAACCUUAUGUAUAUGGUAGAGAUGAAGUCAAAGAAAAGUUAUCAAAAGUGUUGCUAUCUGAUGAAGCAGGCAAGGAUCCUGUGUCUUUCCUCACCAUUGUUGGAAUGGGUGGGGUUGGCAAGACAACCCUUGCUCGAAUGCUUUACAAUGACGAUAAGGUGAAAGGGCAUUUUAAACUUAAAGCUUGGGCUUGUGUUUCAGACUACGAUGAUUAUAUUAAAAUUACUAAAACUCUCCUUGAGGCAGUCACUUCAAAGCCUUGUAACACGGCAAAUCUGAAUUUGCUUCAAAAAGAUCUAAGAGAGCAAUUGAGGGGAAGGAAAUUUUUAUUUGUGUUGACCUAUGGAAUGAGAAUAAUGAGGAUUUGAACUACCUUAGAGCUCUUUUUAUUACUUUAGGAACAAUGGGAAGUAAAGUCAUUGUAACAACACGGAACAAAAAUGCAGCAUCUGUCAUGCAAAAUGUUCAUAUUCAAUACUUAGAACCAUUGUCGUAGGAGGACUGCUGGUUAUUACUUGCAAAACAUGCAUUUGGAAAUGAAAAGUGUAGUGCACAUUCAAACUUGGAAGACAUUGGAAAGCAAAUUGCACUCAAGUGCAAAGGGUUGCCUUUAGCUGCACAAACACUUGGGAGUUUGUUACGUUGCAAUAUGGAUUUCGAGUACUGGAAUAGAAUACUAAAUGAUAGUUUUUGGGACCAACCCUAUGAUAAAACUAACAUUCUUCCGGCUCUAGGGUUGAGUUACCAUUAUCUUCCUACUCAGUUGAAACGAUGCUUUGCUUAUUGUUCAAUUUUUCCAAAGGAUUAUGAGUUUGAAAAGGAAGAUAUAGUUCAAUUAUGGAUUGCAGAAGGUAUAAUUCCACAAGCUGAGAAUGGAAAAAGGAUGGAAGCAUUGGCUAGAAUAUACUUUGAUGAGCUGUUAUCACGAUCGUUGUUUCAAAAGUCAAGUAAAUUCAGCUUCAUUAUGCAUGAUCUCAUUAAUGACUUGGCUAUGUUCAUGUCUCAGGGGUUUUGCCUUAGGCUCGAAGAUGGGGUAUCCCGUGAAGUUAAAAGAGCUCGUCAUUUGUCAUAUGCUAGGGGAGAAUUUGAUGCUGCUCCAAGAUUUGAACCAUUAUAUGAGGCUAAAUGUUUGCGGACCUUCCUACCUACCAUUUGUUGUGGGCAAAUCUACUGGAUCAGGCAUAAGAGAACUGAGGCAGUUCCCGCAACUUCGAGGAAAACUAUCAAUUUUGAAGCUACAAAAUGUAGUUGAUGCGAGGGAUGCACUGCACGCCAAUAUGAAGCACAAGAAAGAUCUCAAGGAGUUAGAGCUUUCAUGGGGUGCGGAGGAUGCUGAUGAUUCCCAAAAGGAGAAAGAUGUACUCGACAAGCUCCAGCCUUGCGUGAAUUUGGAGAAAUUAACCAUCAAAUUCUAUGGUGGAACUAAUUUUCCGAAUUGGUUAGGAGACUCGUCUUUUUCUAACAUACAAGUCAUGCAUCUCAGUGACUGUAGUUAUUGUUGGUCGCUCCCACCAGUUGGACCGCUACCGGCACUCAAACAGCUCUGUAUAAGAAGAAUGAAGUUUGUGAAGACGAUUGGCGUUGAAUUCUAUGGCAGAAAUGGAGCUUAUCUGACUCAGCCAUUUCGAUCUCUGGAGAAGCUAGAGUUUAGGGAGAUGCCAGAGUGGGAGGAAUGGGUACCAAGUGGAAGUGCAAGUGGAGGUGAAUAUGGUCCAGACUUUCCUCGUCUCCAGGAGCUGAUUCUAUACGAGUGUCCGAAGCUAAGAGGAAGUUUGCCUUGUGAGUUGCCUUGCUUGAAGAAGCUUACGGUGUAUGGGUGUAAGGUUUUACAUGAUGGAAGGGCCAUUACCGCAACUACCAAUAGUCUUAACUAUAAAUCUCUGGAAGAAUUGAAUAUAAGUGGUGGAUGCCAAACUCUGUUAUCAUUAUUAGAGACAAAGCUCCUGUCCGGACUUGAGAUUCGAAAUGUUGUUGACAUACAGUGCUUGCCCAACUGCAGUCGUCUUCAACAUUUGACUCUUUCGAAUUGUCCAACGCUGUCAUCAUUUCCCAAAGAUGGCCUACCCACUACAUUGACAUCACUUUAUAUAAACAAUUGUAGGAAAUUAGAAUUCCUACCUCAUGAGAUGUUGGCCAAAUUAACAUCGCUUGACUAUUUGUGCAUACAAAAUAGCUGUGAUUCAAUGAGGUCCUUCCCGUUGGGCAUUUUUCCCAAAUUGACGAGGCUUGAAAUUCGUGGUUGUGAGAAUCUGGAAUCCCUUUCCUUGAUUGAAGAAGAAGGAGCUGUUGAGAAUCUCAGCCAUCUCAAUUACUUGCAAGUCUAUAACUGUCCAAAAAUGGUGUGUUUUCACGAGGGAGAAUUGCCCACUCCCAACCUGAGUCACUUUGUAGUCGGUGGUUGCGAGAAUUUGAAGUCAUUGCCCAAAAGCCUUCACACCCUCACUGCCCUUCGAUCUUUGUCGAUAUGUAAUCUUCCGAAUCUGGAGUCAUUUGCAGAAGAUGGGGGUUUGCCUCCCAACCUCCGACAAGUAAGUAUUAGGAAUUGUGAGAGACUGAGGGCUUCAUCAGUGGGUUUGCAAGCACUUGACUCCCUUGAGAUCAGUGGAAGUGACCAUGUAUUCUCUAUCACACUCUUCACAUCUAUUCUCUAUCAACUCUGAAAUCUUUGGACGGAAAGGGUCUUGGACACCUCACUUCUCUUCAAGAGCUAGAUAUUAACAGGUGUCCAAGUCUGGAAUUCCUGCCAGGAGAGGAACUUCAACACCUCACUUCUCUUCAAAAUCUAUACAUUUGGAACUGUCCCAGUCUUCAAUGCUUGCCAGAAGAGGGUUUUCCAUCAUCUCUUUCUCAUCUGAGUAUCCGCCGGUGUCCUACCCUGGAGGAAAGGUAUAAGAAUAAAACGGGACGAGAUUGGGCCAAGAUAUCUCACAUUCCUUGCAUCGAGAUAGGCAACGAAGUGAUCAUAUAAUAUGAGCUAUUCCAUAUUUCACGCUCAACCCUCAACUCUCAAAUCAAAGUCAGGUGAGGUAUGUGCCUUCUCUUACUUUAAAAAACUGCUGCUCAAUAACACUCUUCGCACUCUAUAUAUUAUGGCCUGUCAGUCUAAAAUUCCUGCCAGGAGAGGAACUUGAACGCCUCUCUUCACUGCAAAGGCUACAUAUUUGUGGGUGUGACAAUAUCCAAUUCCUGCCAGAAGAGCGUUUGCUGCAAUCUCUUUCUUAUCUGUGCAUCGACCAUUGUUUUGCCAUGUAGAAAAGGUAUCUCACAUUCCUUGCGUCAAGAUAGGUGAAGAAGUGAUCAUAAGAUAUGAGCUCUCUCUCCCUCUCGCUCACAUACAAAGUACUUAAAACACUCAAUCUGAUUUCUAUUAUUAUUUUGCUCAGUAAAUUUUGUUUAAAUUUGCUUUGUUUCUCAUUGCGCUUGUUCUGCUUAUCACAACUUAUAUCCUAUUUAAAUCUCAAAUGCUGAAUAGUUAGCAGUCUUUUCGCAGGACAGCAUAUCUUCUCUUGGAGAGCUAUUCAUUUGCAAGGUUUCUUUAUGUGUCAUUUCCAGAGGAGGGUUUACUAUUUAAUAGAAAGGUUCACCUGGAAUAUCUCAAAUGACACAUUCCCAAAUACAGGCAUUGAAUGCACAACAUUUUGAGGUACUAUUUUUGUAAUAAAAAUGUACUUGAGUCUCAUUUGAGCUAGUUUAAAUUGUAUUCAAUGUCUAUGGAUAACCUGUGAGCUUAAGUUGUAAGAUAAAACUCACAGUAUAUUAUUAGGGUUUAGGGUUCAACAGGUGAGCUUAAGUUGUACUUUCCUAGGUACUGCAUGUAUAUUAUCUUAGUAUCAACACUUGGUCUUAUGUGGACGAGAGAGAACAUUUGAGGAAUUACAAAAUCUUCUUAGUGAAUUAAGCUUGUUUCAGCUCUGUUUGUCAUCCCUCACAUUUUCUUUGUUAAGCCUUGAUUUUUUAUUAGACAUACGAAAAAAUGCUUUUAUAAGACAGGAGAUGAAUGCUUUUAUAUGUUGAUGUCGUAGUCAGUCUUCAACCACACUCUGUUUUUAGAAUUCAUUUAUGUUACUAGUUGAGAGCUGCUGUAUUUUAUAUUUCGUUCCUGUAAUGUUUGGAUGUUUAGCUUGAGCAGUCUAGCUUAUCCAGUAGAUAACUUGUCCCCUGUUUUGUAAUGUUUUUGUUUCCUCUAAUGAAAGCAGGUUUUACUUAUCUUGAACUGCAGAAGCCUACUUUUUGACAUAGGUGGCAUGGCACAAACUCGCAUCCGCAUUUCCAUCCCCAUUGGCAUGCUGUCUCAUCUUUUCUAUUCUGUUACCAGCUUGAAGCUUGUGUGGACAUGUUAUGCUCUUGUAAUUCUGAUCACAAACAUCACUUGACAAAUGGAAAGUCACAAUCAGAUCUUUCAGGUGAUCUGGAGGUUUACUUUCUAACAUUUGUUUUCGUGGGGGGGAGACAACAAUACAGAAUUUAAAAUUUCUGAUAAUCAAUAGUAGUUUGCAUAUAUCAGCUGGGACCUGUAUGACUGUAUUAUGUAAUUAAUUAUUUCUCUUAUUGUUUGGGUACUGUUAAAAGGAGUUAGCCACACAACAUAAAAAAGGAGGUCUCUUAUUUCAUACAAUUUUUCAAAUGUGAUCAUUAAUCCGUUUCUUUUUCAACAAUAGAGGAAUGUAUACUAAUCGUCUGGUCCAUCUGCUGCUUCACUCCCUAGUAGCUUCAUCUCCUGUCCUUUGCUUUAUUUCUGUUGAUGAAUGUUUUGUCUGGGUUAUUUAUUUUCAUUUCAUGUCCAUUGCUUUAUUUCUGUUUGGAUUCUUAAUUAAAUCUGUCCUGGACUUGAACAAGGGUUAGGUUAGCUGUAUAAUUUGCGGUUUUAUAUACACAACUGUCUACAUUGAUUAAAACCAGCAUUAUUCUAAGGUUCAUUUAGAAUGUAUUAUCACCAAAAUUAUAAAGAAUACUUCUAUUACAAUUAAUUUGUUGAUUCUAAUUUGGACUUGUAGGAACAGACCAAACAUGUUCAUGCGUGGCAUUGCUCAAGUCAUCAUCAUUCGAGACAGAGAAUAAGCCUUCAAGUGUCUGCUGAGUCAAUGAACCUUUCUAGAUAUCUCAAGUGUAAUGGAAAUUGAUGAGUUACAAAGGAUUUGUAAACAUUUUCUACUGGAGGCUAGAAAUGCUUCAAAUAAAUGACCGUGUUGCAAUUAUUUUGUAGGAUCAAAGACUCUGCAAAGAGGUAAGAAAGUCAUCAUCAAGUAACUUUGCUCUUCAAACUUUUUAUUUUUAUUUUUAAAUAUCAGUAAUAACUGGGAAAGCUUGCAUCUCCUUAAAUUGCUCAUUCUUACAUCUUUUAUAGUUUGUUGAUCUUGGGCAAGUGGAGAGAGAGGCGUCAAGUGAUACGCAACAACCAUUUUCUGUGAGCUGAUUUGAUAAAGAGAAAUGGUAUGCUUUCUUGUCUUAAGCGGUGUGUUCUGCAAUUAUUUGAAACAAAGGAUGCCGCACUUCAAGUUCGAGAAAAUCAGGUAUUUUAGUAUUUUAUUCUUGAGAAAUUUGAUUUAUGUAGAAACUUGAACAUGUAAAUAAAAUAAAUAAAAUAUAUUAUAUGCUGUUAAUGAGUUAAUAUGGUGCUUGCUUCUAGUUGGAAAUUUAUGUAGUCAUCUACCUAUGAUCAAAUAAAGAUGAAGAAUAAAAUAUAAUUGAGAGCAUCUUCCUCUCCCCUGCUUUGCUCAUCCCUUGUUCUUCCACUUCAGCCCCACUAUUACACCAUUUUUUCAGCCACAAUUAUAAUAGCUCCAUGAGCAUUAAGUCCUUUUCAAAUUCUGCUGACAUUCAAAAUUGGAAUUUGCUGGUGAUAUAUGAUAGCAUCUUUGUCCGACCAAAAAGAGAAAAAAAAAAAGUUGAUAGCAUAUUGUACCAUUUUGGCCAGUGUACGCAAUAUUAUUGCAUCCAACUUUGCAUAUUAACAUCAGUGGCCACAGUUCCAUGAUUUGAGUGCACAGAAAAGUUUCAAAAGUUGUCCCACAAAGAACAGUCGUUCAAAGUGAAAGAGAGAUUUCAAAGCUUAAUUACAAGUUCAUGUUAUUUACAAUAUCAAAAAGCUUUCAUACUUGCUUACAAACCUGUAUUUCCAAGUUCUGCAAACCUUGGAAUAUCACUUCAUCCAAAUCCCCUUCCAAAGCAGGAAAAAAUGGCAGCAGCUUUGAUUGGAGAGGCUCUCAUCUCUGCUUCUAUCGUGGUGUUGUGUGACAGAGUUACUUCAGCCGAGUUCAUAGACUUAUUUCAGCAGAAGAAACUUGAUGAAACACUCCUCAUGAACCUGAAGACGACACUGUUGAUUUUGUUUGCGGUGCUCAAUGAUUCAGAGGAGAAGCAAAUUGUGAACCCUGAAGCUUUGCGAUGCAAGCUGGAAGGUGAGGAUCAAACCCACAAUAAUUAACCAAAAAGGAUCUUUUUGAUUGUUUGAAAGGAGGGUCUUGAUGAUUUGAAAGGAGAGGGUUGCUUUAUUUCUGUUGGAUGCUUAAUUAAAUCUUAUUUGGAGUUGAACAAGGAUUAGGUUAGCUGUAUAAUUAGUGGUAAACGCCUUUUUCUAAGGGUCAUUUAGACUCCUAUUACGAUUAAUUUGUUGUUUCUAAUUUGGACUUGUAGGAACAGACCAAAUAUGUUCACACGUGGCAUCGCUCAAGUCAUCAUCAUUUCAGACUGAAAAUCAGCCUUCGAGUGUCUGUUGAGUCAAUAAACCUUUCUAGAUAUAUCAAGUGCAAUGGAAAUUCAUGAGUUACAUAGAGAUUUUUAAACAUUUUGAAGAUUGCAACACCUGCAAGUGAGAUAGGCGGUGACGAAAUCAGAGCUGAUUUUGAAGCCUCUGAUGCCCCUGUUGUUGCAAGUUGCACCUGAGAACAAGUUUUUUUUUUCUUUGGGGUAAAAAACUGGCAACAUGUUCGGAGCUGACAAUUCAAUCCCUGAUGAACUAGAGAAGCAAAGCUCCGGUAAGGAAAUUGGUCAAGGUUGUGACAGGGAUGAUUGAUGGUGAAAUGGAUGCUAUUUCUUAUUGCAGCCUGUUCUCAAAGUUCUUGUUGGCAAAUGCAAUUGAUGGAGUAUUUUGAUUGGGAGGAGAGAUAAUGACAUGGCUUGACAAUUCUAGAACAGCCCAUCAUUAAUCCCAGAAAAAAUCCCGUUUCUGCUAAACAAUCACUUAUGGCAAGGCCAACUCUGUAAAUGGAAUUUGUGAUCCCUUCAAAUUGUACACAUUUUUUCUUUUUGAGGAAUUUAAUCAAACAGUAUUCUAAUGCAUUAUGAUAGCACUACACGCUUUUGUUGUAACAAAUUACAAGGAGGAAUUUGGAUUGAGUUUCUUGUAUAAGCACACCUUACACAAAUUUCGUAUAUUUUCUUCCAGCAAGUCUGUUUAUUAACCCCCUUAUCUGAAAUUAAUUGUUAAAAGUUUUGAUUCAUCUUUAAUCAGUGUCUUACCCUUGUUGAAUAACACUCCUCUUUCUAAUUUAUAUUUGAAGUUUGAGCUUUCAAUUUCAAUUGUGGGCUUUGAUUUUUCAGAUUUUGUUUGUCAAUUUCAGUUUGGACAAAGCAUAUAUGCAAACAAAGUAAGCAUUUUAUGUUAUACUUUUGAACUAGGUGUUGAUUUGAUUUAAUCAUAAGUUUUGCUGGUGCAUUUACUAGGCUAAUCAUUCAAUACUUUUGAUCAUAGAACUUCUUUGGUUGAUAUUAUCUUUGUUAAGUUUAACCAUAACUUUAGAGAGGGGACUUCAACAGAUUUAUAAUCUCAUCAUUAUAGUAUUAAAAAUUAGAGAUUAUUUAAGGCAUUGUCUAUUAUCUGAAUUCUGCUUACUUUUAGUUCAUAUGUUUACAUCUUAGCAUAUUCAUGUGAUUAGUGCGGCUCAUACCACAAAGGCAAUUUUAGGCUCAUCAAGUGCUAAGCAAUGUCAAGCUUCCAAAUGACAAGUUCUCUACAUAGUUUGAGACCUACACUUACUAGAUAUUAGAUCAUUUCGAUCAUUUCCAUAUGUUUAUAUGUAAUUGACAUGUUAUAACAUUUUUGUAGCGUUAUAUAAUUAUUUAGCAAUUUAAUUAUUUCUUUGCAACUUAAUUUUUUUUGUCAAUCAUACUAUUGUUGACUGCUAAAAACCAUCAAGAAAUAGUUCUCAAGUUAUAAAAAAAAAAAAAUUUUAAAAAAGAUUUGUUGAUGCUUAAAAAGCAUCAAGAACAGAUAGUUUCUUGACGGUUUUGUGACAUUUCAUAACUGUAGGGGGCUUUUUCUUCCGACAGCUGUAAAUGGGCUGGGCUGCCGUAAAGGGCAGACUGAUGAAAUUGUCCCCUUUUGUAUGAGCUCAAAAAUUAAGCCCCAAAAUACUUUGAAAGGGCAGCAGAGCCUUAGGAAGUAUUUUGGUUACCCUCACCAACUAAAACAACAACAACUUACAGGUAAUUACUUAAUGCUUAUGGAUGAACUCUUGAGCUUGGCAUGAGAGACAUAUGGCAUGGAAGCAAAAUCAACAUGAGUUUAGCACUGAGGGGAAAUUUAGGCUCUCUUGGGGGAAAAAGGGAAGUGUUAAGGUGAGAGAGGAGAAGUUUGUAGGAGAUUUAGCUAAGAAAGGAGAAAUAUAGAACAAUGCUCUUUUGGCAGCUUGACAGAUGCUCUGUUUGCCAGAAAAGGAAGAUGGAGAAGAAAUGUGAAUAGUGCAAGAGUUUGCUAGAUUUUUGCAGGUAAGAGAGGAAGCUUGCUCUCUGGGUCUGAGUUGAGUUUUUUUGUGUGGAAGAGACCUCAUUUUAUAGCCCUUGGAAACCAUCACUUCCCAAGAAACCCUAAUGGCUUCUACCCAUUUUGGCCAAGCUUUUCCCUUCCUUUCUCAUUUCCUUCCUUGACUUUACCCCUCUUGAUGAAAUCCCCUCUGCCUAUUUGCACCAUAUCAGAGUUUUUUGAAGCUCAAGGCCCCUUUUUCCCGCAGUUGUCUCAAUGGGAGACUUCCAUUCCCAGUCAUCUCCUUUAUUGCUUUCCUUUCUUUUUUUCAUGGCCAAGUUUGGUGGGGAAAGGAGUUGGGAUAUAUAUGCUGGUUUGAAGGGUGCUUCUCUUCCUGGCAUCUUACACACUAAUACCCCUUGGUUCCUUGAAUGUUUUGGCUUUGAAACUUGCUCUCCCCCCCCCCCCCCCCCCCCCCAUGUACUGGAACCUACCAGCAGCUCUAUUCAAUGAAUCUUCAGACCUUCUCUUCGUGGCUUUUAUUUUUUAUCAACGGGCUGGGGCUUUUGUGGCUCAUUGUGGCAAUUGUAUGGGCUAAGGUGGUUCAUUAAGUAAGUGGGCUAUUUUUAUUAAACAUUAGGCUUUUUGGUUGAGUCACUAGGCUAUUUUGAUUGGGCUAUUGGGCUAUUUUUUUCCUCUCUUGUGCUCACCCACAUGUUUGGACCAAAGAAAUGAGCUUGAGUCCUGAGGCUCCCAAGCGACCCGAGACUUUCCAUUUCUGGCCCAUCAAUGGGCCUCAUGUUGAUUUAUUACCAUCCAUACCACAACCCACUCAAGCAGGCUCCGGGCAUUUGAAUGACUUGGGCGCACUUAGGCUUGUAGUGUGGUUGGGUGCGAAAUAACGAUUUCGUGCUUGGCAUGUUUUAAUUUUAUCAUCCUUGGGAAAGGCUGCGAUGUUUGAUUUCGGCAUGGGCUUGUAGAGCUGGUAUGCUUUAUUUCAACUCCUAGCAUGACGAAUUAUUUAUUUAGCAUGGCACGUGAAUUACAACUCGCAUGUGGUGGGUUUUUGUGUACUACACCUUACGCCUCUUCUUAAUAGAACAUCGUUUUGGGCUGAUAAUUUAUUCGGGCCAAACCGUGAAUUUUUUGGGUCUCAAUAAUAACCAUCAUGAAACAUUACAUUUUGACUGACGUCAAGAAAUGGGGUAUCCCUUUCCUGAUAGUGGCAUCCAUGAUGCCUUCCAAGCAGUCAAUUAAGGGCUAUCGUGAUGCAUUUUAGUUGUCAGCAAAAGGUGUUUUUCUUGUACUGUAUUCACUCAAAGUCGUGUUUCAUUUAAGAUUAGUAGUAUGGUUGAAUACCAUUUGUUUUGUUAAAGAAUAUUAUACAUUAGGGAUUUUUGUAGAAAUGUCAUUUGAACUUAUACCUUAGUUUCAAUUUGUCACCUUGAAGAAAAAUUUAAGAGAAAUGUCACCUUAAUUUUUAAAAAUCCAUGAUUUGUCAUAUGACUUUAAAAUCAUCCAAUUUUCCAUCCAUUUUAAGGGUAUUUUAGUCUUUUCAUUUUGAAGGAAAAAAAAGAGAUGAAAAAAGAGACCUCUCUCUUACUUUGUCCCUCAACCCAACCCCACCCGCCCCCCAAAACACAUCACAUAGGAUUGCCUCCCCCUUCCCCACUUUUCUUUUUUCUUUUUGUCCUACUUUUCCACUAUGUUUAUGUUGAAGGAUCUAAAGUUUGCUUGGUCACCAUCUGUUACGUAGGCUUCCCAAUUGUUAGUUUGGGUGGGUUGUGGGAAUUUGUGUGCUCGAAACCCGAGACGAAUCUUGUGGAAUUCCCGACAUCACACCGAUGCCGGGCCCACUUCUGAACUAAAUUCUCUUUUCCAAAAUUAAGGAAAAAGAGUACGAGGCUUUCUGCCGAAAUUUCGACAGAGUAUUCCCUAUAAAUUUAACAUUUCAGCUUUGGUGGCCGUUCUCUCAUUUCAGCUUUGGUGGCCGGAUGAGAGAACGGUCGGCUAAAACGUGGCCAGCUGGCACUGCCGUCGCGAGAGAGAGAGAGAGAGAGAGAGAGAGAGAUUUUUAUCAAAUCAUUUUUGCCAAAAUUACGAUUAUGCAACUGAGGGUAUUUUGAUCGUAUCUUUUUCAUUAUAACUCUGAUUCAAGCCCACUACGUGUUUACGGACUCAUCUCGCCGUGCUCUAUGCAAUUGUAUAGUUGAAAUUCCCAAAUUCCACCCCAGUCAAAAAUUCAACUUUAAACCCUACAAAAUAUUAUAGGGGCAAAAUGGUCUUUUAUCUAAUUAAAUUAAUAAUUGAAAAUUUAUUUAGGACCGGGUUGUUACACUGUCGUUGAUGGACUGUGCGAUGACACUCACACAAAGUCCUUGAGAAUAAAACACACACACACCAUGAAGAGAGUAAAACAAAUACACAAGUACACAAAGAUUUAUAAAGGUUUGGCCUUCUGCCUACGUCCUCUUGGUGAUCCACCCGAGAAAUUCACUAGUACGUAAGAACAACUUUGGUUACAACUAAACCCCCUUAGCUUUCAUAAGAACCCUAGAUCUCUUUUCUCCCACCCUUGCUCCAACCCUUUGAUGCCCUUGUAAACACUCAAGAAUUCACCCUUGAAUUCUGUCAUGUGUUACAUCUUCUCUUCUCCCCUUUGUUAACCUAACCCUAAAAGUUAUAUUUAUAAUUCAUAGGACUUUAAGUACAAGUUAACUAGGAAUAGGAAACAUAAUAGACCUCAAAAAUUGGAGAAAAUAUGUUUAGAUCUCGUUAGGAAAUUGCACAACACGUGCGAUCCGCUCGAGCGCCUGCAAAAUGAUCCCUUUGUCGCUCAAGCUGCCGAUAGCUCAUGGGAUGGGGGAAUUAGAGAUUUUUUUUUUUUUCAAUUUUAAUUGUUUAAAAGAUAUACAAUUUUUUAAUAAUAAUUUUUCCAUUUUUAAAAUACCCUUGAAAAUAGAAAGAUUAAAAUGCCCUUAAAAAUGGAUGGAAAAUUGGAUUGCGUUAAGGUCAGUUGACAAAUCAUGGAUUUUGAAAAAUUAAGGUAACAUUUCUCUUAAAUUUUUCUUUAAAGUGACAAAUUAAAAUUGAGGUAUAAGUUCAAGUUACAUUUAUGCAAAAAUCCUUAUACAUUAUGAUAUUCUAACAAUAAAAUUGGCUAAAAUUGAUAUGUUCCCUCUUUAUUUUCUUUUUCUCUUUUCCUUUUCAUUUUAUGAUCCAAUCCUUUUCAUAUAUUUUUGUUCAAGACUUUGUUUUAGAAUGCUCUAUUACUAAUUUGGUACAGGUCCCUAAAAUCUCGGAGCCGCCUUAGUACAUUCAUAAUGUACAUGUUCAGAGUUCAAGAAUAAUGUAUAGAAUGUGAAAUUGACGAUGCCGGCCUUUAUGAGGCAACGUCUUUAUUUCUUUGGUUAUUACAGUUUAGAAUAUUUGCACAAAUGAGAUGAUUCCAAGCAUAAAGUCACAUUCGACCAAAAAGCAUGAAGUCACACACAAAAAGAACACGGACAAUUGCUAAGUUUAUCCUUGUACCCUUAUUUUAUUGAUCCGACCCAAUUGAAAAUUAAAAAAAGAUGAUAAAAAAUAUUGUUCACUACUUUAAAAUCUAUGAGUAGAGUCCUCCAUUUGAAAUUUCGUCAUUAUACAAAAUUGGAAUGAAAAAAGAAAAUCCUACAGCUAAAUUUGAUAUAUUUCCUUUUCAUUUUAUGCUGGGUGUUAGGGCUUGUCAAUGGGCCGGGCUAGGCUAGCCCGGCUCAAAUUUAAUGGGCUUGGGCUAGGCCGGGCCAAGCUUUAAAGAGGAGAGAGAAAAUAUCCGGCCGAGUUUUUUAAGAAAAUUCAAAGCCCAAGCCCGAAUCACUGCUGUCUAGCCCGGCCCAAAUUUAAUGAGCUUGGGCCAGGCCGAGCCAAGCUUUAAAGAGGAGAGAGAAAAUAUCCGGCCGAGUUUUUUAAGAAAAUUCAAAGCCCAAGCCCGAAUCACUGCUGUCAUUUCAUUGAUUUGUGACGAGCACAACCACCAAAUCAGAAUUUACUCACGAAAAUAUCAAGUAUGUCUAGCAAAUUUCAAUUUUGAAUAAUACACAAUUUCAAAAGGAGGACAUGUUGCAAGACAGCAUACCUUCUCUUGGGGUGCUUUUCAUUUUGCAACAUUUCUUUACGUGUAAUUUCCAGAGGAGGGUUUAUCAUUGUAUAUAGCUUUUCGGGUGGUUUGUCUACAAAACAAAUGUCACAAAGAAGGAGGAGAAACGGAAAAGAUUUACUUGGAAUGUCUCAAGUCUCCUUUGAGAUAAAGGCAUCGAAUGCACAACAUUGCUUUUGUGCUAUUUCAUAAUUAAAGUGUGCUUCCCAAGUCUCCUUUGUGUUUUGUAACUUGUAAUGUUUGUUUUUUUGUUUCCCCUGUUUUCCCUCUUAUAAAAGAAAUACAGGUCCAAACCACACGGAUCUACUUGCAUAAUAAUGGACCAAAUUUAUGAUUUUUAGAAAGAACCUUCUGCCGGUGGAAUCUUGGGCUACUGUUGUGGCUCUCCUCUGUGUGCCUCCUUUUUAGAACGGUAAAAUAUUCAAAAUACUAGAAAAUGUUCGUGAUUAAUAUAAAUAUUAAGAAUUGAAAUUAUUAAUUAAAUGAGGAUAAUAUGGUAAAUUCACACUUUUUUAUAUUAAAAAAAUUAAAAUUAAAAGAAAAAUCAGAUAAUUGAUAUUAUUUUUAUGGAACACAGCUACUCAUUAUCUUUUUUAAUUCUAAAAUAAAUUUAAAUUAAAGAAAAAAACCCCUCUCACAGGCACGGAAGCGCGUGCUCAGAGGCUAGUUAAAAAUAAUGAACUUUGCUUCUGAAGACGUCUAUACCAGACCCACUCAACCUGCUUUAUGAUUAUACAAAGAACAAACUCGUCCUUAGACUCAUUUGGUUAAACUUAGAAAAUAAUGAAACAAAAAUAUGCACUCCCACAAGUAACACAGCCAGGAUUGAAAACAACUGGACAAAGAAAGGCAUGUUAAAACAGAAUUUUCAACAACUCAUCACCAUUAGACAAGAAAAAGAAAAAUCAAUACAAAAACAGAAAGAACAGAGAAUAAAUGUGGUGGAAGAAAAACGUUGAAGCCAUUUGUGAAUCCAACAACACUACCACUCUGUUUCUCUCCUUUUGUUCAGGCGGAUCUGCAUAUAUCCUAAGGCGUAUUACGGAAACAACUUCUUGCCGUUAUACUUGAAUGUUGUGGAUGCUUCAACGUUGCCAUCUGGGUGGAGUGGAUUUGUCCAAUUCACCUUCACUAUGGUAUAUACGUCCAAAUUGUUGUUAUUUGAAAGGCUUCUAAAUUUUAACAUUUUGAUUUUUAAAUUUUGUUUAAAUAUUUCGGCCCACUUAGUUCUUCUCAAAAUAUGUCAUCAAUAUCGUUGAAAGGUUGAACUUAGUGAAUUAUUAUAGUGCAGUACUGUAGAAUAGACACAUGAUAUAAUUUGUCCACAUGUUAUAAUAUAAGUAAAUAUUUAUUGAUAUUAUUUCUAAAAAUAAGAAAUAUCAACCAUUAUAUCCUCCCAUAUUAUAAUACAUAUACAAAUUAUACCACAUUAUCAUACUCUAAUACCAUUUUAUAAUUUCUCGUACUUAGAGCGAGUCAAUGACAUUACAUAAUAUAUAAUUGUUCAUAUAAUGGGGCAACUAACGUGAUCAACAAGUUGUGGUGAUUAAUUUAACAUAAUAAAAAAUAUACCAUUUACUUGAGUGAUGUAACAAUUUGUUCUUUUAAAUUGGAUUGCCAUCACUUUAAUAUGAUAUGUUUCUUAUUAUAGUGUCCCAUGUUAAGUGCUUCAGCAUUGUUUGUGGUGUGUACACAAAUUUUCUUAUAAAAUGUUUUAAUGCUUCUCACAUGUAUAUCAGAUAUAGACAGUUGAUGUGACUUAGAAAUCAAAUUGUCAAUAAAGCAAAAAAAUAUAAUUGGUGAUUGAGGUCCAAUUUAAUAGAAAAUAGUCUUAACUUGUAUAUUAGAGGUUUCAGAUUCGAAUCCUCACUGCAUUAUUGUUGUAUACGUACACGAGAAAUCCUCUUCUCCAAUAAUUUAGACUAUCACUUAUACUAAAAAAAUAUAUAUAUAUAAUGACUUUUACGGAUGCAAACAUAAAAUUACACCAAACAAUAAUGGAAUAGAAAGAUGCAAGUUAUUUUUUUUUUUUUUACAUCUAAAGUAUACUUUAUAUAUAUAUUUAUUAUGGGUGUUAUAACCGUUUAAUUUUCAGUUUUUAUUUUCUAUUUAUUGUUUUAAUUUUUAUGGUUUAAUGUGUAUGAAGAUUACAAGUAUUGGAUGUCUACCACUCCUCCUUCACAUCUGAAACAAACCACCAUCUCAUUUCUGUAUUUUCAUACUUUCAUAUAUUUUCUACUUUCCAGAUUAUUAUUUUUGGGCAACGGUUCUGUGACUUGCAGAUUUCUAUCCGAUUGUUAACAUGCUCAUAGCGGACCUUGAGCUUGCGUAUUGGGGAUCGUAUCUUGGAGCCUUAUAGACCUUUAUUACCUGCAUGUAGGGAGGUUAUAAAUGCUUUAGGUCAGCAUCUUUGACGUGCUUUUGCUUUCUUUUUUUUUUUACUUAUUUCUUCGUUUCUUUAUUUUUACUUUACUUUUAAAUUUUUAUUUUAUGUAUUAUUUAUAUUUAAAAGUUUUGAAUAAGAGUUUUACAGAAAAGGAAAAACACAAUUUCAAAUAACACAAAUUUCUCGUUUUUGGUUCUUAAAAUAAAUGAAUUUUUUACUUAUUUGUGAACUGAAAUGCCUCUAAAAAAAUAAUGAUAGUUUGAAGAAUUUGAUAGAAAUUAAAAAAUAUCCUCAAAUUACUUGGAAUUGAAGACCACAUAGGCAAAAACACCAUUUUGGACAAAGGCUGGUGAUAAUAGUCGAUAUCAUCUUUAAGUACUUUAAUAUGAUAUGUUUCUUAUUAUAGUGUCCCAUGUUAAGUGUUUCAGCAUUGUUUGUGGUGUGUACACAAAUUUUCUUAUAAAAUGUUUUAAUGCUUCUCACAUGUAUAUCAGAUAUAGACAGUUGAUGUGACUUAGAAAUCAAAUUGUCAAUAAAGCAAAAAAAUAUAAUUGGUGAUCGAGGUCCAAUUUAAUAGAAAAUAGUCUUAACUUGUAUAUUAGAGGUCUCAUAUUCGAAUCCUCACUGCAUUAUUAUUGUAUGCGUACAUGAGAAAUCCUCUUUCCUAAUAAUUUAGACUAUCACUUAUACUAAAAUAUAUAUAUAAUGACUUUUACGAAUGCAAACAUAAAAUUACACCAAACAAUAAUGGAAUAGAAAGAUGGAAGUUUUUUUUUUUUUUCCUACGUCUAAAGUAUACUUUAUACAGUCCCGAUCUCUUGGACCACAGGAGUCCAAGAGAUUGUGGUCACCCACCGUUGGAUAUUAAUCCAAUGGUUCAAAAUGAUAUAUAUAAAUGCAAUAUGACAUAAAUGAUUAUUACCCGAUCCAAGUCAACCGUUGAAUUUACAUUCAACGGUGGGUGACCAUAAAUCUCUUGGACUACAGGGGUCCAAGAGAUCAGGACUGAUACUUUAUAUAUAUAUAUAUAUAUAUUUAUUUAUUAUGGGAGUUAUAACUGUUUAGUUUUCAGUUUUUAUUUUCUAUUUAUUGUUUUAAUUUUUAUGGUUUAAUGUGUAUGGAGAUUACAAAUAUUGGAUGUCUAUAAAGGGCCACUCCUCCUUCACAUCUGAAACAAACUACCAUCUCAUUUCUGUAUUUUCAUACUUUCAUAUAUUUUCUACUGUCCAGAUUAUUAUUUUUGGGCAACGGUUCUGUGACUUGGAGAUUUCUAUCCGAUUGUUAACAUGCUCAUAGCGGACCUUGAGCUUGCGUAUUAGGGAUCGUAUCUUGGAGCCUUGUAGACCUUUAUUACCUGCAUGUAGGGAGGGUACAAAUGCUUUAGGUCAGCGUCUUCGACGUACUUUUGCUUUCUUAUUUCUUCGUUUCUUUAUUUUUGCUUUACUUUUAAAUCUUUAUUUUAUGUAUUAUUUAUAUUUAAAAGUUUGAAUAAGAGUUUUACAGAAAAGGAAAAAUACAAUUUCAAAUAACACAAAUUUCUCGUUUUUUGUUCUUAAAAAAGAAGAAGCAUUGAUUGGGGAGUUAUGGUAAACUCAAUUUCAAUGGUUGCGAUGAGAGGCGGUGGCGGCGAGGAGAGGACGAAGGCUUUGCUGCCGACGGGGUGGUGUGGGUGGGUGGAGACCUCGGCUGGCUGCUUGGUCCUGGGUUCUCCUUUAAUUCUCUGUUUUCUUUUUUCUUUUUCUUUUUCUCUUAGAGUUAUUGAUGUUAAGUGAAUGGACAGAUGCCAAAAUAGGGACAGAAGUAGGGGUGGGCAUCAAUCCGGCCGAUCCGGUCAAUCCGGCCGAACCGAUUAUAUUGGAUUGGUUUGGUUUGGUUUUGACCAAAGAAAAAGUCAACAUUUUGAAAAACCGAACCGAACCGGUUUGGUUUGGUUCAGCUGUGGUUUGAGAGUUUUAAAAACUGUCCUAAACCGAACCGGACCGAUUAUAAAUCAAUUUAUUAUUUAUUUAAUUUAGUUUACAUGUGGCAAGGUUUGUGUGCGUUUUGUGAGUCCGCGUAUCUGAAUGUUGGUGCACGUUUUGAUCUUCUAAUUUGCAUAUCCCAGUUAUUUGUGUGUGCUUGUAUUUCCCUCUCUUUCUAUCUCUACUAUGUGUGUUUGCUCUUUGUGUUGUGUGGCUCUUCUUACUCUAUCUAUCUUAAUUAAUGGGUCCAUUUCAUAAUUUCAUACGCAUUCAAACUCCACCUCUGUGAUAAAAACAUUUACCUCUUUGUGAUAAAAGCUUUUCAUUUGUUUGUAUUUCUCUUUGGCUUUUUGACUCACUCACUGUCUUUCUUUCUUUUAAUGCUACUUGUGAUGAAUGCAAUGAGUAAAUUUAAUGCUACUUGGUUAAUGCAAAUUUUGUAUAUGUUUGUUUUGAUGGAAAUUGUGAACUUAGAUGCAUGCUAGACAUUGGACAACCUUUGAAUAAAUGGAAUGAUGUUGUAUUAGCCUUUGAUGGAAUGAAAUGAAAUGAUAUAAUGGCAAAAUGUUAGCAUUAUAAUGUAAGAGCAGGUUGAAAAAUGCAUGGUUUUGUGUUAGGCACAAACCGGCCGAACCAAUCCGAACCAAACCGAUUACAAGUGGUUUGGAUUGGUUCGGUUUCCAUUAUGAUUUUAGGCUAAUCCGAACCAAACCGGACCGUUAUUUUCUUAUUGGUUCAGCUGUGGUUUGAGAGUAAAACCGAACCAAUCCGGACCGUGCCCACCCCUAGACAGAAGAUGUGAACCCAAUUAUAUACAGCUGAUUACAUAAAGUAACAAAUUAAUUAAUACUUGAGUGGAGGACAGGCUUGAGUGGAAGAAUUGAUUAAGGCUUGAGUGGAAGACCAACUUCAGUGGAGGAAAGUAUAGAUAAGGAAAGCAUGCCUCGUUUAACGGCUUUAUCUAAUAAAGAUUAGUUGUUGGCACUUGGAGUUUCUUAGGAAUGCUGGUUUUGUUUCCUUGGUGGACUUGAAAGGUGGUGCGUUGGCUCGGACAUCUCCCUAGUAAUUAAUCGAAGGUGGAAUCUUACAAGACAUACAGCUGCUCAUUAGCUGAAUAUCUCGCUCUCUUUAAAGAGAUCGAAGCAAACUGCAAUUUGCAAUUUGUGUGAUUCAAGCAUGAAUAUCUGAUAUAGUAACUAUACCAUUUGUUGGUUUGAUAAGAAAAGUUUGGUUAGCGAGGAUGAAACCAUAAAGUUCUCCAAAACACACAAAAAACACGAACAAUUGCUAAGUUUAUUCUUGAGUUCACACAUAUUUGUACAAAUGAGAUUACUCCAAGCAUGACUAUACCAUUUGUUGGUUUGAUAUGAAAAGUACGGGCAACGAGGAUAAAACCAUACAAACACACACAAAGAACGUGGACAAUAUACUAAGUUUAUCUUUGCGUUAUUGAUCCGACCUAACUGUAAAAUAAAAAAGAUAAAAAUAUAUAAUGUUCACUACUUAGAUCUAUGAGCACUAAAGUCCUCCUUUUGAAAUUGCACAAAACAUCACUUUUGGUCUUUGGUAAAUUUUUAAAAUAAAUGAAUUUUUUACUUAUUUGUGAACUGAAAUGCCUCUAAAAAAAUAAUGAUAGUUUGAAGAAUUUGAUAGAAAUAAAAAAAUAUCCUCAAAUUACUUGGAAUUGAAGACCACAUAGGCAAAAACACCAAAUUGCAACCUCACUUUAAUGAUAAAAAUGGUAAACUACAAAGACAAAAAUGACGUUUUGCCUUAUACAUAAUUGGAAUUUGCUGGUGAUAAUAGUCUACCAUCUUUUGUCGAUUUGCUGGUGAUAAUAGUCUAUCAUCUUUUGUCGGUCCGACCUAAAAAGAAGAAAAAGUUGAUGGCAUCUUGUACCAUUUUUGCCAAUGUGGGCCCAAACAAUUUGAAGAAGUCCACCGGCAAUUUCUCAAAAGCUAUUGUGUGAGUGUGAAGCUAAACCAAUAUUAUUUUGCAUAUACGACUCCACAUCCCCAUGUGAUGUGAGGCUACAAAAGUGUUUCCAAAACGAAAUAUGAUAUUUCAAAACGAAGCUAUGUAUAGAGUCAUUUGUAUUUGCUUUCACAAUAACAUUUGAUUUGUGAAAGCAUUUUAUAUUUAUACAUUCUGAUAUUCUAACAAAUAAAUUGACUAAAUUUGGCCAACAGGAUUUAGCCGAAUAGAAAAGUCCUUAUUUAUAGACUAGUGGUUUCAAAUUUAAAGUUUAGACUAUCGCAUGUAUUUAAAAAAAAAAAAACAAUUGGCUUAAUUUGAUAUAUUUCCUUUUUUUCCUUUUUCAUUUUAUACUGGGUGCCGUUAUUAAGUUUUAUCCUUAUUUUUUGUUGAAAAGAAAAUUGAAAAAAAAUAAUAAUUCCUACAGCUAGCAACUUCUCCACCUUCCCUUCUUCGCAACUAGGGAUGCCAUUGCAAGGUCACCAUCUCAGAUUAAGUCCUCCUUUUAAAAUUGUGUCGUUAUUCAGAAUUGGAAUAUAAUCCUGUACCACUUUGGCCACUUUUGAAGAUGUUCACCGACAAUUUCUCAAAAGCUAUUAAGCUGUACAUCCACAAUAUUAUUGCAUCCAUCCCCAUGUGAGGCUACAGAAAAAUUUUGAAAACGAAACUGGAUAUUUUAUCUCUAACAACAGCUUUCAUACUUCGUUUACCCUGUGUUUCCAAGUUGUGCUAGCUAUUUGCAAACCUUGGAAUAUUACUUCAUCCAAAUCCCUUGCAGAGAAGAGCAAGAUAUGGCUUUGAUCGGAGAAGCCCUCAUCUCCGCUACCAUCCAGACGUUUUGUGACAAAAUUGCUUCGCCUGAGUUCACCGACUUAUUUCGGCAGAAAAAGCUCGAUGAACAACUCCUCAACAAGCUGAAGACGACGCUGUUGACCUUGUCCGUAGUGCUUAAUGAUGCAGAGGAGAAGCAAAUUAAGGAACCUUUAGUGAGAGACUGGCUUGACAAUCUCAGACAUAAUGUCUUGGCUGCGGAGGACUUACUGGAUGAGAUCGACACUGAAGCUUUGCGAUGCAAGCUGGAAGAAGGUGAAGGUCAAACCCACAAUUUAACCAAGAAGGUACGUGAUUUUUAUCAACGCAUGAAUGUUGAGAUGAAAGAUUUAUUAGAAAGAUUAGAACAAUUUGUACAAGAGAAAAGUGCUCUUGGUUUGAGAGAAGGUGCUGGGAGGAAGGUUUCACAAAGAAGAACAACUUCCUUGGUUCAUGAACCUUGUGUCUAUGGUAGAGAUGAAGUCAAAGAAAAUCUGUUACAAAGAAGAGGAUUUGCCGUCAUCUCUUUCUCAUCUGAGUAUCUCGCGGUGUCCUGCCCUGGAGAAAAGGUAUAAGAAUAAGACGGGACAAGAUUGGGCAAAGAUAUCUCACAUUCCUUGCAUCAAGAUAGGAUACGAACUGAUCAUAUAAUAUGAGCUAUUCCAUAUUUCACUCUCAACCCUCAACUCUCAAAUCAAAGUCAGGUGAGGUAUGUGCCUUCUCUUACUUUAAAAAACUGCUUCUCUUCUUCUAAUUGAAUACAAAAACCAAAACACAUAUUCUCUUUCUCUUCCAAAAACCCAAAUACAUGUUGAACAUUGCCAAAUUUGAUCUCCAAAUUCCUAAUUAUUUCACGCUUUUUGUUAUUUUGUUGCUUAGUAAAUUAUGGUUGCUGGUCACAAAUUAUAGUCUGUUAAUAGGUUCAUGCCAUGAAUUAAUCUUUGGACUUUCCCAGGUACUGCAGGUUUGUUAUUAAUGUUGUGGCCUGAUAUUCGUCGUAUCAAUAGGUUGUCUUACGUUGAGGAGAGAGAUCGAUCAGCAAUUACAAAAUUGUUAGUGAAUUUAGCUUGUUUAUCAUCUCUCUCCUUUUGUUUGUUAAGUUUGGUUGUUCUAGGUUAAACCCUUGUCCCCGCAUUUCACAGCAACUCUAUGUUAUUCCACUCUGUUUAGUUUCAUUUAUGUUGUGAUUCGACUGCUGCUGUAUUUUAGAUUUCGUUCAUGUAAUGCUAGGAUGUUUAAUCUCUUAUCUGUGGUGGUAGUUGAGUAGUCUAGCUAAUCCAAUGAUAACUUGUCCCCUGUUUUGUAUUGUUUUUAUUUCUCUGGUAAUGAAAGCACGUUUCUUAUAAAUAAAUAAAAAAUAUUUCAUUGAUAUUCAUUGCUUAUUUUGAACUGCAGAAGCCUACUUUUGUCAGAGUCAGUAGAUGCCAGAAUGAAGUCAUUGCCUAAACACAUUGGCACCCUCACAGCCUUCGACAUUUUGGGAUAUAUGAUCUUCAAAAUCUUGUGUCAUUUGCCUCCCAACCUGCAAUAUUUUCAUAUUUUAAAUUGUGACAGACUGAGCCCUUUGGUGGGAGAUUACUGGGGUUUGCAAGGACUUGGUGGCAAUAUCUUGUAGACGUUUCUCAAGGAACAGCUGCUCAAUACCACUCUUCACACUCUAUAUAUUAUGGCCUGUCAGUCUAUAAUUCCUGCCAGGAGAGGAACUUGAACGCCUCUCUUCGCUGCAAAGGCUACAUAUUUGUGGGUGUGACAAUAUCCAAUUCCUGCCAGAAGAGUGUUUGCUGCCAUCUCUUUCUUAUCUGUGCAUCAACCAUUGUUUUGCCAUGUAGAAAAGGUAUCUCACAUUCCUUGCGUCAAGAUAGGCGAAGAAGUGAUCAUAAGAUAUGAGCUCUCUCUCCCUCUCGCUCACAUACAAUGUACUUAACACAAACACUCAAUCUGAUUUCUAUUAUUAUUUUGCUCAGUAAAUUUUGUUUAAAUUUGCUUUAUUUCUCAUUGCACUUGUUCUGCUGAUCACAACUUAUAUCCUAUUUAAAUCUCAAAUGCUGAAUAAUGAGCAGUCUUUUCGCAGGACAACAUAUCUUCUCUUGGAGAGCUAUUCAUUUGCAAGGUUUCUUUAUGGGUCAUUUCCAGAGGAGGGUUUACUAUUUAAUAGAAAGGUUCACCUGGAAUAUCUCAACUGACACAUUCCCAAAUACAGGCAUUGAAUGCACAACAUUUUGAGGUACUAUUUUUGUAAUAAAAAUGUACUUGAGUCUCAUUUGAGCUAGUUUAAAUUGUAUUCAAUGUCUAUGGAUAACCUGUGAGCUUAAGUUGUAAGAUAAAACUCACAGUAUAUUAUUAGGGUUUAGGGUUCAACUGUUCAACAGGUGAGCUUAAGUUGUACUUUCCUAGGUACUGCAUGUAUAUAAUCUUAGUAUCAACACUUGGUCUUAUGUGGACAAGAGAGAACAUUUGAGGAAUUACAAAAUCUUCUUAGUGAAUUAAUGUUGUUUCAGCUCUGUUUGUCAUCCCUCACAUUUUCUUUGUUAAGCCUUGAUUUUUUAUUAGACAUAAGAAAAAAUGCUUUUAUAAGACAGGAGAUGAAUGCUUUUAUAUGUUGAUGUCGUAGUCAGUCUUCAACCACACUCUGUUUUUAGAAUUCAUUUAUGUUACUAGUUGAGUGCUGCUGUAUUUUAUAUUUCGUUCCUGUAAUGUUUGGAUGUUUAGCUUGAGCAGUCUAGCUUAUCCAGUAGAUAACUUGUUCCCUGUUUUGUAAUGUUUUUGUUUCCUCUAAUGAAAGCAGGUUUUACUUAUCUUGAACUGCAGAAGCCUACUUUUUGACAUAGGUGGCAUGGCACAAACUCGCAUCCGCAUUUCCUUCCCCAUUGGCAUGCUGUCUCAUCUUUUGUAUUCUGUUACCAGCUUGAAGCUUGUGUAGACAUGUUAUGCUCUUGUAAUUCUGAUCACAAACAUCACUUGACAAAUGGAAAGUCACAAUCAGAUCUUUCAGGUGAUCGGGAGGUUUACUUUCUAACAUUUGUUUUCAUUGGGGGGAGGACAACAAUACAGAAUUUAAAAUUUCUGAUAAUCAAUAGUAGUUUGCAUAUAUCAGCUGGGACCUGUAUGACUGUAUUAUGUAAUUAAUUAUUUCUCUUAUUGUUUUGGUACUGUUAAAAGGAGUUAGCCACAAAAUAAAAAAGGAGGCCUCUUAUUUCAUACAAUUUUUCAAAAGUGAUCAUUCAUCCGUUUCUUUUUCAACAAUAGAGGAAUGUAUACUAAUCGUCUGGUCCAUCUGCUGCUUCACUCCCUAGUAGCUUCAUCUCCUGUCCUUUGCUUUAUUUCUGUUGAUGAAUGUUUUGUCUGGGUUAUUUAUUUUCAUUUCAUGUCCAUUGCUUCAUUUCUGUUUGGAUUCUGUCCUGGACUUGAACAAGGGUUAGGUUAGCUGUAUAAUUUGCGGUUUUAUAUACACAACUGUCUACAUUGAUUAAAACCAGCAUUAUUCUAAGGUUCAUUUAGAAUGUAUUAUCACCAAAAUUAUAAAGUAUACUUCUAUUACAAUUAAUUUGUUGAUUCUAAUUUGGACUUGUAGGAACAGACCAAACAUGUUCAUACGUGGCAUUGCUCAAGUCAUCAUCAUUCGGGACAGAGAAUAAGCCUUCAAAUGUCUGCUGAGUCAAUGAACCUUUCUAGAUAUCUCAAGUGUAGUGGAAAUUGAUGAGUUACAAAGGAUUUUUAAACAUUUUCUACUGGAGGCUAGAAAUGCUUCAAAUAAAUGACUGUGUUGCAAUUAUUUUGUAGGAUCAAAGACUCUGCAAAGAGGUAAGAAAGUCAUCAUCAAGUAACUUUGCUCUUCAAACUUUUUAAUUUUAUUUUUAAAUAUCAGUAAUAACUGGGAAAGUUUGCAUUUCCUUAAAUUGCUCAUUCUUACAUCUUUUAUAGUUUGUUGAUCUUGGGCAAGUGGAGAGAGAGGCGUCAAGUGAUACACAACAACCAUUUUCUGUGAGCUGAUUUGAUAAAGAGAAAUGGUAUGCUUUCUUGUCUUAAGCGGUGUGUUCUGCAAUUAUUUGAAACAAAGGAUGCCGCACUUCAAGUUCGAGAAAAUCAGGUAUUUUAGUAUUUUAUUCUGGAGAAAUUUGAUUUAUGUAGAAACUUGAACAUGUAAAUGAGAGAAAAAAAAAUUUAUAUAUAUAUAUAUUAUAUUGUAUAUGCUCUUAAUGAGUUAAUAUGGUGCUUGCUCCUGGUUGGAAAUUUAUGUAGUCAUCUACCUAUGAUCAAAUAAAGAUGAAAAAUAAAAUAAAAUUGAGAGCAUCUUCCUCUCCCCUGCUUUGCUCAUCCCUUGUUCUUCCACUUCAGCCCCACUAUUACACCAUUUUUUCAGCCACAAUUAUAAUAGCUCCAUGAGCAUUAAGUCCUUUUCAAAUUCUGCUGACAUUCAAAAUUGGAAUUGCUGGUGAUAUAUGAUAGCAUCCUUGUCCGACCAAAAAGAAAAAAAAAAAAAGUUGAUAGCAUAUUGUACCAUUUUGGCCAGUGUACGCAAUAUUAUUGCAUCCAACUUUGCAUAUUAACAUCAGUGGCCACAGUUCCAUGAUUUGAGUGCACAGAAAGGUUUCAAAAGUUGUCCCACAAAGAACAGUCGUUCAAAGUGAAAGAGAGUUUUCAAAGCUUAGUUACAAGUUCAUGUUAUUUACAAUAUCAAAAAGCUUUCAUACUUGCUUACAAACCUGUAUUUCCAAGUUCUGCAAACCUUGGAAUAUCACUUCAUCCAAAUCCCCUUCCAAAGCAGGAAAAAUGGCAGCAGCUUUGAUUGGAGAGGCUCUCAUCUCUGCUUCUAUCGAGUUGUUGUGUGACAGAGUUACUUCAGCCGAGUUCAUAGACUUAUUUCAGCAGAAGAAACUUGAUGAAACACUCCUCAUGAACCUGAAGACGACACUGUUGAUUUUGUUUGCGGUGCUCAAUGAUUCAGAGGAGAAGCAAAUUGUGAACCCUGCUGUGAGAGAGUGGCUUAACAGCUCAAGCAUGCUGUCUUUGAUGCAGAGGACUUACUUGAUGAGAUUGACACUGAAGCUUUGCGAUGCAAGCUGGAAGGUGAGGAUGAAACCCACAAUAAUUAACCAAAAAGGAUCUUUUUGAUUGUUUGAAAGGAGGGUCUUGAUGAUUUGAAAGGAGAGGGUUGCUUUAUUUCUGUUGGAUGCUUAAUUAAAUCUUAUUUGGAGUUGAACAAGGAUUAGGUUAGCUGUAUAAUUAGUGGUAAACGCCUUUUUCUAAGGGUCAUUUAGACUCAUAUUACGAUUAAUUUGUUGUUUCUAAUUUGGACUUGUAGGAACAGACCAAAUAUGUUCACACGUGGCAUCGCUCAAGUCAUCAUCAUUUCAGACUGAAAAUCAGCCUUCAAGUGUCUGUUGAGUCAAUAAAACUUUCUAGAUAUAUCAAGUGCAAUGGAAAUUCAUGAGUUACAUAGAGAUUUGUAAACAUUUUGAAGAUUGCAACACCUGCAAGUGAGAUAGGCGGUGACGAAAUCAGAGAUGAAGCCUCUGAUGCCCCUGUUGUUGCAAGUUGCACCUGAGAACAUGUUUUUUUUUCUUCUUUGGGGUAAAAAACUGGCAACAUGUUCGGAGCUGACAAUUCAAUCCCUGAUGAACUAGAGAAGCAAAGCUCCGGUAAGGAAAUUGGUCAAGGUUGUGACAGGGAUGAUUGAUGGUGAAAUGGAUGCUAUUUCUUAUUGCAGCCUGUUCUUAAAGUUCUUGUUGGCAAAUGCAAGAGAUGGAGUAUUUUGAUUGGGAGGAGAGAUAAUGACAUGGCUUGACAAUUCUAGAACAGCCCAUCAUUAAUCCCAGAAAAAAUCCAGUUUCUGCUAAACAAUCACUUAUGGCAAGGCCAACUCUGUAAAUGGAAUUUGUGAUCCCUUCAAAUUGUACACAUUUUUUCUUUUUGAGGAAUUUAAUCAAACAGUAUUCUAAUGCAUUAUGAUGGCACUACACGCUUUUGUUGUAACAAAUUACAAGGAGGAAUUUGGAUUGAGUUUCUUGUAUAAGCACACCUUACACAAAUUUCGUAUAUUUUCUUCCAGCAAGUCUGUCUAUUAAACCCCUUAUUUGAAAUUAAUUGUUAUAAGUUUUGAUUCAUCUUUAAUCAGUGUCUUCCCCUUGUUGAAUAACACUCCUCUUUCUAAUUUAUAUUUGAAGUUUGAGGUUUCAAUUUCAAUUGUGGGUUUUGAUUUUACAGAUUUUGUUUGUCAAUUUCAGUUUGGACAAAGCAUAUGCAAUCAAAGUAAGCAUUUUAUGUUAUACUUUUGAACUAGGUGUUGAUUUGAUUUAAUCAUAAGUUUUGCUGGUGCAUUUACUAGGCUAAUCAUUCAAUACUUUUGAUCAUAGAACUUCUUUGGUUGAUAUUAUCUUUGUUAAGUUUAACCAUAACUUUAGAGAGGGGACUUAACAGAUUUAUAAUCUCAUCAUUAUAGUAUUAAAAAUUAGAGAUUAUUUAAGGCAUUGUCUAUUAUCUGAAUUCUGCUUACUUUUAGUUCAUAUGUUUACAUCUUAGCAUAUUCAUGUGAUUAGUGCGGCUCAUACCACAAAGGCAAUUUUAGGCUCAUCAAGUGCUAAGCAAUGUCAAGCUUCCAAGUGACAAGUUCUCUACAUAGUUUGAGACCUACACUUACUAGAUAUUAGAUCAUUUGGAUCAUUUCCAUAUGUGUAUAUGUAAUUGACAUGUUAUAACAUUUUUGUAGCGUUAUAUAAUUAUUUAGCAAUUUAAUUAUUUCUUUGCAACUUUAUUUUUUUUGUCAGUCAUACUAUUGUUGACUGCUAAAAACCAUCAAGAAAUAGUUCUUAAGUUAUAAAAAAAAAUUAUAAAAAAAAAGAUUUGUUGAUGCUUAAAAAGCAUCAAGAACAGAUAGUUUCUUGACGGUUUUGUGACGUUUCAUAACUGUAAGGGGCUUUUUCUUUCGACAGCUGUAAAUGGGCUGGGCUGCCGUAAAGGUCAAGACUGAUGAAAUUGUCCCUUUUUGUCUGAGCUCGAAAAUUAUGCCCCAAAAUACUUUGAAAGGGCAGCAGAGCCUUAGGAAGUAUUUUGGUUACCCUCACCAACUAAAACAACAACAACUUACAGGUAAUUUCUUAAUGCUUACAGAUGAACUCUUGUGCUUGGCAUGAGUGACAUGUGGCAUGGAAGCAAAAUCAACAUGAGUUUAGCACUGAGGCGAAAUUUAGGCUCUCUUGGGGGAAAAAGGGAAGUGUUAAGGUGAGAGAGGAGAAGUUUGUAGGAGAUUUAGCUAAGAAAGGAGAAAUAUAGAACAAUGCUCUUCUGGCAACUUGACAGAUGCUCUGUCUGCCAAAAAAGGAAGAUGGAGAAGAAAUGUGAAUAGUGCACGAAUUUGCUAGAUUUUUGCAGGUAAGAGAGGAAGCUUGCCCUAUGGGUCUGAGUUGAGUUUUGUUGGGUGGAAGAGACCUCAUUUUAUAGCCCCUGGAAACCAUCACUUCCCAAGAAACCCUAAUGGCUUCUACCUAUUUUGGCCAAGCUUUUCCCUUCCUUUCUCAUUUCCUUCCUUGAGUUUACCCCUUUUGAUGAAAUCCCAUCUGCCUAUUUGCACCAGAUCAAAGUUUUUUGAAGCUCAAGGCCCCCAUUUUCUUGCAGUUGUCUCAAUGGGAGACUUCCAUUCCCAGUCAUUCUCCUUUAUUGCUUUCCUUUCUUUUUUUCAUGGCCUAGUCUGGUGGGGAAAGGAGUUGGGAUAUAUAUGCUGGUUUGAAGGGUGCUUCUCUUCCUGACAUCUUACACACUAAUACCCCUUGGUUCCUUGAAUGUUUUGGCUUUGAAACUUGCUCCCCCCCUCCCCCCAUGUACUGGAACCUCCCAGCAGCUCUGUUCAAUGAAUUUUCAGACCUUUUCUUCAUGGCUUUUAUUUUUUUAUUAACUGGCUGGAGCUUUUGUGGCUCAUUGUGGCAAUUGUAUGGGCUAAGGUGGUUCAUUAAGUAAGUGAGCUAUUUUUAUUAAACAUUGGGCUUUUUGGUUGAGUCACUAGGCUAUUUUGAUUGGGCUAUUGGGCUAUUUUUUCCUUUCUUGUACUCACCCACAUGUUUGGACCAAAGAAAUGAGCUUGAGUCCUGAGGCUCCCAAGCGACCCGAGACUUUCCAUUUCUCGGCCCAUCAAUGGGCCUCAUGUUGAUUUAUUACCAUCCAUACCACAACCCACUCAAGCAAGCCCCGGGCAUUUGAGUGGCUUGGGCCCACUUAGGCUUGUAGUGUGGUUGGGUGCGAAAUGACGAUUUCGUGCUUGGCAUGUUUUAAUUUUAUCAUCCUUGGGAAAGGCUGCGAUGUUUGAUUUCGGCAUGGGCUUGUAGAGCUGGUAUGCUUUAUUUCAACUCUAGCAUGACGAAUUAUUUAUUUAGCAUGGCACGUGAAUUACAACUCGCAUGGGGUGGGUUUUUGUGUACUACACCUUACGCCUCUUCUUAAUAGAACAUCGUUUUGGGCUGAUAAUUUAUUCGGGCCCAACUGUGAAUUUUUUGGGUCUCAAUAAUAACCAUCAUAAAAUAUUACAUUUUGACUGACGUCAAGAAAUGGGGUAUCCCUUUCCUGAUAGUGGCAUCCAUGAUGCCUUCCAAGCCGUCAAUUAAGGGCUAUCGUGAUGCAUUUUAGUUGUCAGCAAAAGGUGUUUUUCUUGUAUUGUAUUCACUCAAAAUCAUGUUUCAUUUAAGACUAGUAGUAUGGUUGAAUACCAUUUGUUUUGUUAAAGAAUAUUAUACAUUAGGGAUUUUUGUAGAAAUGUCAUUUGAACUUAUACCUUAGUUUCAAUUUGUUACCUUGAAGAAAAAUUUAAGAGAAAUGUCACCUUAAUUUUUAAAAAUCCAUGAUUUGUUAUAUGACUUUAAGAUCAUCCAAUUUUCCAUCCAUUUUAAGGGGAUUUUAGUCUUUUCAUUUUCAAGGAAAAAAAAGAGAUGAAAAAAGAGACAUCUCUCUUACUUUGUUGCCCAACCCAACCCAACCCCACCCGCCCCCCAAAACCACAUAGGAUUGCCUCCCCUUUCCCCACUUUUCUUUUUUCUUUUUGUCCUACUUUUCCACUGUGUUUAUGUUGAAGGAUCUAAAGUUUGCUUGGUCACCAUCUGUUACGUAGGCUUCCCAAUUGUUGGUUUGGGUGGGUUGUGGGAAUUUGUGUGUGGAGGGCAAGACCCUAUCUGACAGGACCUGCCUCGAAUUCCUCGAAACCCGAGACGAAUCUUGUGGAAUUCCCGACAUUACACCGAUGUCGGGCCCACUUAUGAACUAAAUCCUCCUUUCCAAAAUUAAGGAAAAAGAGUACGAGGCUUUCUGCCGAAAUUGCGGCAGUGUCUUCCUUAUAAAUUUAACAUUUCAGCUUUGGUGGCCAUUCUCUCAUUUUAGCUUUGGUGGCCGGAUGAGAGAACGGCCGGCUAAAACGUGGCCAACUGGCAUUGCCGUCGCGAGAGAGGAGAGAGAGAGAGAGAUUUUUAUCAAACCAUUUUUGCCAAAAUUACGAUUAUGCAACUGAGGGUAUUUUGAUCGUAUCUUUUUUGUUAUAACUCCGAUUCAAGCUCACUACAUGCCUAUGGAUUCAUCUCGCCGUGCUUUAUGCAAUUGUAUAGUUGAAAUUCCCAAAUUCCAUCCCAGUCAAAAGUCAACUUUAAACCCUAUAAAAUAUUCUAGGGGAAGAAUGGUCUUUUAUCUAAUUAAAUUAAUAAUUGAAAAUUUAUUUAGGAUCGGGUCGUUACACUGUCGUUGAUGGACUGUGCGAUGACACUCACACAAAGUCCUUGAGAAUAAAACACACACACACCGUGAAGAGAGUAAAACAAAUACACAAGUACACAAAGAUUUAUAAAGGUUUGGCCUCCUGCCUACGUCCUUUUGGUGAUCCACCCGAGAAAUUCACUAGUAUGUAAGAACAACUUUGGUUACAACUAAACCCCCUUAGCUUUCAUAAGAACCCUAGAUCUCUUUUCUCCCACCCUUGCUCCAACCCUUUGAUGCCCUUGUAAACACUCAAGAAUUCACCCUUGAAUUCUGUCAUGUGUUACAUCUUCUCUUCUCCCCUUUGUUAACCUAACCCUAAAAGUUAUAUUUAUAAUUCAUAGGACUUUAAGUACAAGUUAACUAGGAAUAGGAAACAUAAAAGACCCCCAAAAUUGGAGAAAAUAUGUCUAGAUCUCGUUAGGAAAUUGCACAACACGUGCGAUCCGCUCGAGCGCCUGCAAAAUCAUCCCUUUGCCGCUCGAUCUGCCGAUAGCUCAUGGGAUGGGGGAAUUAGAGAUUUUUUUUUUUUCAAUUUUAAUUGUUUAAAAGAUAUACAAUUUUUUAAUAAUAAUUUUUCCAUUUUUAAAAUACCCUUGAAAAUAGAAAGAUUAAAAUGCCCUUAAAAAUGGAUGGAAAAUUGGAUGGUGUUAAGAUCAGAUGACAAAUCAUGGAUUUUGAAAAAUUAAGGUAACAUUUCUCUUAAAUUUUUCUUUAAAGUGACAAAUUGAAAUUGAGGUAUAAGUUCAAGUUACAUUUCUGCAAAAAUCCUUAUACAUUAUGAUAUUCUAACAAUAAAAUUGGCUAAAAUUGAUAUGUUCCCUCUUUUAUUUUCUUUUUCUCUUUUCCUUUUCAUUUUAUGAUCCAAUCCUUUUCAUAUAUUUUUGUUCAAGACUUUGUUUUAGAAUGCUCUAUUACUAAUUUGGUACAGGUCCCUAAAAUCUCAGAGCCGCCUUAGUACAUUCAUAACGUACAUGUUCAGAGUUCAAGAAUAAUGUAUAGAAUGUGAAAUUGACGAUGCCGGCCUUUAUGAGGCAACGUCUUUAUUUCUUUGGUUAUUCCAGUUUAGAAUAUUUGCACAAAUGAGAUGACUCCAAGCAUAAAGUCACAUUCGACCAAAAAGCAUGAAGUCACACACAAAAAGAACACGGACAAUUGCUAAGUUUAUCCUUGUACCCUUAUUAUCCGACCCAAUUGAAAAAUAAAAAAAGAUGAUAAAAAAUAUUGUUCACUGCUUUAAAAUCUAUGAGUAGAGUCCUCCAUUUGAAAUUUCGUCAUUAUACAAAAUUGGAAUGAAAAAAGAAAAUCCUACAGCUAAAUUUGAUAUAUUUCCUUUUCAUUUUAUGCUGGGUGUUAGGGCUCGUCAAUGGGCCGGGCCAGGCUAGCCCGGCCCAAAUUUAAUGGGCUUGGGCCAGGCUGGGCCAGGCUUUAAAGAGGAGAGAGAAAAUAUCAGGCCGAGUUUUUUAAGAAAAUUCAAAGCCCAAGCCCGACCCAUGAGCCCGGCUUGAGAAAGCCCAUCGGGCCGGCCCGGGCCUAAACAGGCCCUACUUCGUUAAAAAAAAAUCAUAAACUUAAUCAUAAGGUCAUUUUAGUCCAAAUUUGAGAUUAAACUCACUUAAUUCCAAUAUUUUCACUUCAAACCAAAUUCAUAAAACACCCAAUAAAGUCACACAGCUUGUAAGAUUUUCCACAAAAAUAAUAAAACCAAGUACUAUUUUUGAGGUUAUUACAUAAUUAGAUCGUAAUAUGUUUUAAGAAAUAAUUUUAAAAAAUAAUAUUAAUAAGUAUCAAAAAAAUAAUUUUUUAAAGGAUGGUAUGAAUAAAUAUGCAAAUAUUUGGUGAUGUGUUCAAGAAAAGGAUGAUUAUAUUUGGUGGUACGAUUAUGUUUCGUGAUAUGAUUAUAAUUAGUGAUGUGAUAUGUUGUUCAUCUUAUAUAUAUAUAUAAUUGUUGAAUUAAUAAUUGACACAAAUUAAUGUGUUAAUCAUCCAAUUAUAAACUAGGAAUGAAUAAAGAAAAGUAAAUGAAAUGAAACAAAUUAUAUAUGUGAUUUAAGUGAUAUAAUCCUAAACCUAAACUCUUAUUUAUACAUAAUUAUAUAUGUAUGCGGGCCUAACGAGCCGGACUUUUGUGGGCGGGUAGGGCCGGGCUUUAUUGGGCUUAAUCGGGCUUUAUUGGACUUAAUCGGGCUGGGCCUAUAGGUCGGACCGAGCUUCAGACAUCCAAGCCCACGCCUAGCCUCGCCCGCCUUGGGCCGGGCCAUUCUUUUUUUGGGGUUCUAUUUCUCUUUGAAUUAACUGCUGAGUUUCAUGAACAUGUCCUCCUUUUGAAAUUGUGUAUUAUUCAAAAUUGGAAUUUGCUGGACAUACUUGAUAUUUUCGUGAGUAAAUUCUGAUUUGGUGGUUGUGCUCGUCACAAAUCAAUGAAAUGACAGCAGUGAUUUUGCAAGACAGCGUACCUUCUCUUGGGGUGCUUUUCAUUUUGCAACAUUUCUUUACGUGUAAUUUCCAGAGGAGGGUUUAUCAUUGUAUACAGCUCUUCGGGUGGUUUUUCUACAAAACAAAUGUCACAAAGAAGGAGGAGAAGCGGAAAAGAUUUACUUGGAAUGUCUCAAGUCUCCUUUGAGAUAAAGGCAUCGAAUGCACAACAUUGUUUUUGUGCUAUUUCAUAAUUAAAGUGUGCUUCCCAAGUCUCCUUUGUGUUUUGUAACUUGUAAUGUUUGUUUUUUUGUUUCCCAUGUUUUGUCUCUUAUAAAAGAAAGGCUUUUUAUCACAAAUGGUCCUUCAGGUUUACAAAAUUAUCACAAAUCGUCCUUCAAGUUUUUUUGUGACACUAAUAGUCCUUCAGGUUAUCAUUUACCCAUCAAAAUGGUCCUUCUGUCAGUUUCUGUCAAAACUGACGUUAAAUUCCUGUGCUCAGCCUGCUUUUGAAAUGAUAAUCUCAUCUUUUCCACUCAACCUUCAACCAAACUCAACUGUCAGAACCCUUUCCCUCCAUUUCCUCAUGGUCCUUCCAGUUUGGCGCCCCUGUAAUAUAUAACCAAUCUUAAAAAUUAAACUUCUGAAGAAAUUGAAACAAUCCAAGCUCAAGAGAAAGACCAACAAUUGAGAACUGCAGAGAAAGAUCAAACUCAUGGAUCAAUAUGGUAAAGCCAAAUUGAAAAACAUAAUUUGCUAAAGAUAAAGCCAAACUGAAAAACCAAACUGAAAAACAUAAAGAUAUCAUUGACAAAUAUAAAAAGUUAAAAAAUAUUGCACAAUCAAAAUACAACCACAUGUUUCACAAAACAAAACAAAACAACCACAUUUGCAGACAAGCUGUAGUUUACACUUUAACAAAGAUUAAAAAACUAACCUGUAUACUUUGGUUGUUUCCCCCCCUUUCGAAAGAACUCCUCGGACUCAUCCAUCUAGUCACUUUUGUAAGAAGAAUAAUGCGUAUUUGACUCUUACGAACCCAGAUAUUCCUUUUGCAGACCAGCUUUAUCAAUUAAAAACCCAAAAAACCUUAAUUGUGCAGGGCCCGAGGAUGAAAUGGAGGGAAAAGGUUAUAUAUGCGGUUUAGAGCGCCAAAAUGGAAGGCCCGAUGAAGAAAUGGAGGGAAAGGGUUAUUUCAGUUGGGUUUGGUCGAAGGUUGAGUGGAAUGAUGCGAUUAUCAUUUCAAAAGGCAGGCUGAGCACGCGACUUUAACGUCAGUUUUGACAGAAACUAACAGAAGGACUAUUUUGAUGGAUAGAUGUUAAACUAAAGGACUAUUAGUGACACAAAAAAACCUAAAGGAUGAUUUGUGAUAAUUUUGUAAACCUGAAGGACCAUUUGUGAUAAAAAGCCUAAAAGAAAUACAGGUCCAAACCACACGGAUCUACUUGCAUAAUAAUGGACCAAAUUUAUGAUUUUUAGAAAGAACCUUCUACUGGUGGAAUCUUGGGCUACUGUUGUGGCUCUCCUCUGUGUGCCUCCUUUUUAGAACGAUAAAAUAUUCAAAAUACCAGAAAAUGUUCAUGAUUAAUGCAAAUAUUAAGAAUUGAAAUUAUUAAUUAAAUGAAGAUAAUAUGGUAAAUUCACACUUUUUCAUAUUAAAAAAAUUAAAAUUAAAAGAAAUAUCAGAUAAUUACUCUUAUUUUUAUGGAACACAGCUACCCAUUAUCUUUUUUAAUUAUAAAAUAAAUUUAAAUUAAAAAAAAAAUCUCUCUCACAGACACGGAAGCGCGUGCUCAGAGGCUAGUUAAAAAUAAUGAACUUUGCUUUUGAAGACGUCUAUACCAGACCCACUCAACCUGCUUUAUGAUUAUGCAAAGAACAAACUCGUCCUUAGACUCAUUUGGUUAAACUUAGAAAAUAAUGAAACAAAAAUAUACACACCCACAAGUAACACAGCCAGGAUUGAAAACAACUGGAAAAAGAAAGGCAUGUCAAAACAAAAUUUUCAACAACUCAUCACCAUUAGACAAGAAAAAGAAAAAUCAAUACAGAAACAGAAAGAACAGAGAAUAAAUGUGGUGGAAGAAAAACGUUGAAGCCAUUUGUGAAUCCAACAACACUACCACUCUGUUUCUCUCCUUUUGUUCAGGCGGAUCUGCAUAUAUCCUAAGGCGUAUUACGGAAACAACUUCUUGCGGUUAUACUUGAAUGUUGUGGAUGCUUCAACGUUGCCAUCUGGGUGGAGUGGAUUUGUCCAAUUCACCUUCACUAUGGUUAAUCAACUAGACAGACAUAAGUCAGAAACAAUAGGUAUAUACGUCCAAAUUGUUGUUAUUUGAAAGGUUCUAAAUUUUAACAUUUUGUUGUAAAUGUGGAGAGAAAAAGUAGAGAAUUGGAAUAGAGAGGAGAGACUGAUUUUCUCAUUCAUAUGUUCAGAUGAAUGUCUUCAGUGUAUAUUUUACAAGUAGGGGGAGGUAUCUAUUUAUAGGCUAAGGUUUUGGUAAAAUACAGGGAAGGAAAGUUCCUGGAAGAUGCAAGGAAACUUCCUCUGUGGGCUCCACCUUCAAACUUUUACAACACUCCCCCUUGGAGACCACAAAUGAUAUGGAAUAUGCCUCGUUAAAAACCUUGCCAGUAAAAACCCAGUGGGACAAAAACUGGUCAAAGGGAAAAAGAGUACAUAAUGAUGUGUAACAUAAAAUUCUGUGUAUAUUGACGCGCGUGCGACACUGCCUCGUUAAAACCUUGCCAGGAAAAACCCAGUGGGAUGAAAACCUGGACGAAGGAAAAAGAGUACAGUGUUUGAAGAUCUUUAUUGAUAGCAUGCUCCCCCUGAUGCUUGGUAAAAUAUCUUUAAGUCAUACUGUUGAUCACCUUUCUGAAUAUCGUAGUUGACACUGCUGCUGUGAGUCAAUCUUGAGCGACACUGCCUCGUUAAAACCUUACCAGGAAAAACCCAGUGGGAUAAAAACCUGGAUGAAGGAAAAAGAGUACAGUGUAUGGAGGUCUUUAUGAAAAACCACGCUCCCCCUGAAAAAUAUCUCCCCCUAAAAAAUUUCAUGACUAGCUUUUCCAGUAUGCGACCAUAGAAAUUUUCAUAGUAUACUCUAAACCCUUGAGCGACACUGCCUCGUUAAAACCUUACCAGGUAAAACCCAAUGGGAUAAAAACCUGGAUGAAGGAAAAAGAGUACAGUGUGGAGCUGACCUCUAUCUGGUCUAGUAUACUUCCGGAAAAACAUUUAAGGUGUCCAACGGAUAAUCCUCAUAAAAAUGCUUCAAUACUUUCUUAGUAUAAGCAAGAAUCUCGUUGGCAUAAUGCUCGAUCUUUAAGUCGAGACAAAUAUUUCGUGACUUCUGCAGAAGCUUUAAUGUGUUGCAAACACAUUAUAAACAAUGUACUCACUGAGGUAAUUUAUGCAUAUUAAUAUUGAGUACAAAUUUUGUGCUUCAAGCACAUGUCCUUUAGGGACUUGCUUUAUGCAAUGUCAAUCCUCUCAACGGAUUUUGUUUAAAAGGGGAUUAAACUUUAUGACACAUUAUAUAGCUUUAACCCAGCUAUUUAUACAUCUUUAGGGAAUCACUUCAAGUGAUAUGCUCUGUGCAUUUAAUAACCCUUAAAGAUAACAUGUUGGUCUCCGUAAUUGUGCAGUAAGGGGGGAGGCACAAUUGAAUCUGUAAAUAUGGAAAAGACCCAACAUUCAUUGUUUCUGCCAGAAACAUUGUGUCAUACAAAGUAGGUAUAUUCCCUUUUAUUCCGAACACCCAAGUAUAAGUUUCAAUAUUAACAUCUUUUGGGGUUCGUACUGUGGGUUUGUUCUUUCACGUUCAUUCUCAUCUAUAAUGGAAUUACCUCUUUCCAUUUUGGCCAAUGAUAUUGUCGACAUCUAAUAAUUGAACGUGGUUCCAAUCAACACAGCCCAUUGAUGAUUUGAGUAGCUACUCCAAAACCAAAAAUUGUCAUUCAUCAAUUCAUUAUCCCACCAUUCUCAUGUGCAUGCGCAUGCAUCAAUUAUAAGCAUUUCUUUGCUUUUGGGUACCCAAGCCACUUCAGGGGGCUUUUAUUAUGUGAGAAUGUGGAUUAUAACCUCCAAUGGAGCGUUAUUUUGCAGUAGGGCGUGGAUAAUCUCCAUUUAGGGAGUUGGAACAUUUAGAACCCAUAUAUCUGUCAUGCUGCAGGCAUGCCACAGAUUAAUACAUACAUGUCAAUUAGUUUAUGGGACUUUAACCCAUAUGAUGGGACUUUAACCCAUGUAAUUUGCUACGCAUUCGGCGUGCAUAAUCUCAAUAUUGACAUGUCAAAGGAUUGUCCAUUCGGGACUUCAAUCCACAUCAUUUGCUACGCAAUAGGCGUGCAUCAUAUUGAUCACUGCUAUACCCAUAUUCUGUUCUUAUGGGACUUUAAUCUGUGCAAUGUAUUAUCAAUGUAUCCAACUUGCAAUCUGUAAAAUUUGCAUUAAUAAUACAUGGAUACAUACAAGCCAUUCUUUUGGGACGGACUUAUCUCCCCAUUUGGUUACCUUUCAAUAUAAAAUAUCAAAUAGGUAUAUAAGCAUAAAAUAACACAAGUAUUGCUUACAUCCUUAGGUGGGAGAAACUUUUCUCAAGUAUCGCUUGAUGAUCUUGUUAUAUCCUGCAAGAGCAAAAAUCACAAUUCCUUUCUCUGUCAAAAACAAAUAAGAGGAAUAGGUAGAACCGGUGAAUUUCAAAUUAACCAUAGGAAAAUUGCGAGAUUCUCGGGAUGCUUUUGAAAAAGUAGCUCCGUGAAAUCCGUAAAGCAAGAUUGGCUUUGAAAAUAAUACUUGAAAACGCCGAAAGUGCCGACAGGCAUUAUUAGAGGCCACGUGAAGUUUUGGACUUCUAGGAAAGAAAAAGAUAAUAUGGGGAUUCGAGAAGAUAUUGGGGUCUUGAAAAACAGUAGCCAUAUUUCCUCCUAUAGAUAUGGCCUUUGCAACAAUUGCGCACCUUCUUAAACUUGCACCUGUGGUUUUUACGCCUUUUCAAAAUGACGGUUUGGAACCUUGUGCCUUAUAGGUUCAAAUAACCACAUUGUUUCUCCCAAAUUUCAUAUUUUAUCGCAUGGUAGCCCGAAACUUUUGGCCUGGGCACAAAUUCAGAAUUUAUUUGCCCUUUUCAAAUGGACAUGAAAUAUGAAUUGAGUAAAAGCCAUGAUAAUAUCGCAAUAUAGUAGUGAAGAGCAUUAACUACUAUAUACCCACAACUUCAAGUUCAGGAUCUCUCAUAUAUUUGGAUCCAUGGGUUUCCGGCCCAGAUAUAACAAAAUAUGUGGGGAGCCUCAAUUCAUCAUUUGAGGUUCAUACUGAUAUUAUCCAUUUCACGGUGUAUUCUUGACAACCGGAAUUCACAAAAUAUAUUUCUUCCUUGAAGUGUCGAUUAUAACAAAAUCGAACUUUAAAUUCAUCAUCUUCUUAUGCCAAAGAAAUAUGUGGCAUACCACAAUUUGCAAUAAUACCUCAAGGGUUGUCCAUUUAAUUGUUGGAACUUCAGGUUCUCAACACUGUUAGAUUUUGAACUUCUGGCCAAAAUCACAUAUUCUCAUGGUAUGGACAUUCAAUCCCCUUAGAUUUUGAACUUCGGGCCAAAAUCACAUAUUCUCAUGGUAUGGACAUUUUUACAAUUUUCUGUACAUAUUUCUGGACUUCAAGCCCUUACAUAAUUGUCCAUAUUUUGAGGAACUUCUGGCAUCUCAUUUAAUUGCUCAUCCAUGAGUUUAAGGAACUGCAGGUUCCCUUUUGAAUGGUGAUGGUUUACCCAAAAUGGUAAAUACUUAUGCAUACAUCACUAUUCAUGUAUACGGCACUAUUUAUGUAUACAGUACAUUUGCCAGUACAGUUAUCAUCCAUGUGUACGGCAUUAUGAACAAAUACGGUACUGUUACAUCAUUAAGGAACCCCAUGUCCUUAUUUACAUGUCAGGGAUCAAGGACCCUCAAGUCCGAUCACAUGUUUACAAAUAUAGUACCGGAGAGACUGCCAGCUCUCAUAUUAACAUCAUCAUCAAGGAUCUUCAAGUCCUGAUGUAAUUGUAUGAUGAGGAUCAAAGAACUUCUGGUCCUGAUCUGUAUACUGUAAAAACUCAUCAUACAGCACAUUUAAUCCAUAGAAUAAAUUGCUGGUAAAUAAAUUACUGGUAUGGACGAUAAACUCGCACCAUACUUUAAAUAAAUAUUGCCUUACAUACACUUACAGCAUCAAUAAUUGAUAUCCAUCCAUGAUCCACCUGUAUAAAUGUAUAUAUAUAUAUGUAUAUAUAUAUAUAUUAUUUUUAUUUGGACUUAAACAGAAACAGGCAUUUUCUAUAGCUGUAAGUAUAAUUGUACCUGCCUACGCUGAAGAUUCCUUUCAUUGUUGCAGGAUGGUGGGCAUUCAGUUUAAAUAAAGCAAACACACACAUUUCAAAUUUUAAUUGAAUUUCAAAUUAGCAGUUUACUUACAUGCCCAUCCAUGACGUAAAAAGCAGAGACAAGUGAUUGUCUUUCGACAAUGACAUGAUAUCACAGUAGUGGGGAUAACGCUAUGAUAUUGGCCGAUCGGCUUCGCUGUAUCCCUGCACACCUUUAAUAAUUAUAUAAUAUUAAAAUAAUAUAAUUAUGUACCUGCACUAUAGACCUGCAUCUUAAGCUUCUUCCCUUUAUGGGGUCUGCCGCUUUGCCUUUUGUUUCCUUUGCUUUGCUUUCCACUGAAGCAAGUUGGCCAGCACCAAUAAUGCCGCCCACAAUGCAAAAAUCAAGUUGGCCAGCACCAAUAAUGCCGCCCACAAUGCAAAAAUCAAGUUGGCUACUUUUGCCUGUUGCUUUCUCAAUUUCCUCCACCCUUUCAUUGUCUUUUCUUCUUUCACUACUUCUCAUCUUCUGCCUCUCUCUUGCCUUUUUUUUUUCUUUUUUUUUUUUUGUAUUCGAUUUUCUGGCAAGCCUCCAAAGACAGCAACGACCAAGUUGCCUUGUCAUGGCUGGCGGCCAUUGCAAAAGCCUUUUCCAUGAAGAAAUGGACUUGGACACGAGGCUGGUUGAUUAUGUAGUUGGAGAUGAAGAAAGCAGCUGACAGUCUAGGGAGGGAGCGAACCAGAGAGUUUGUUACUCCACUGGUGUGGUUGGGAGGUAGGGAUCGUCUGUGGUUGGUACAGAGUUUUCUUCCUCAGCUCAAGCAAGGCAAUAGAGGUAGGUUUGUUUGCUCAGCUCAGCUCAACCUGUGCUCUCUGUGUUUGUUUGCUGGGUUAUCUGGGAGAGUAAUUUUCUUCGGGUUCGGUUCUGGUAUGCUUUUGCAUAUAGAAAACAGAGAACCCAGAAAGGAAAUCCAAGAGAGAGACUUUGGUUGAGAAAAUGGCAAUUUUUGAGAAAAAUGGAGAUGCUGAGGUUGGUUGGACAACACCGAAUGGAAGUUGUUGGGCUCGGAGCAGAGAAUUGGUUCUCUAGAUCGGAGGUUUUGUGUGAAAUUUUACUGGCAAGCAAUCCGUGUGGCUCUGUACAAAACUGGGUUGGUUUUGGGUGGGCAAUCUGGGCUUGGUUUCGAACUGGGUGUCUUGAUCAAUUUCUGGGAUCAAGAAAUCAGAGAUUUCAGCCGGUUAAAGACUCGUGCUGAUAUCGUGUUGUAAAUGUGGAGAGAAAAAGUAGAGAAUUGGAAUAGAGAGGAGAGACUGAUUUUCUCAUUCAUAUGUUCUGAUGAAUGUCUUCAGUGUAUAUUUUACAAGUAGGGGGAGGUAUCUAUUUAUAGGCUAAGGUUUUGGUAAAAUACAGGGAAGGAAAGUUCCUGGAAGAUGCAAGGAAACUUCCUCUGUGGGCUCCACCUUCAAACUUUUACAACACAUUUUGAUUUUUAAAUUUUGUUUUAAUAUUUCGGCCCACUUAGUUCUUCUCAAAAUAUGUCAUCAAUAUCGUUGAAAGGUUGAACUUAGUGAAUUAUUAUAGUGCAGUACGGUAGAAUAAGCACAUGAUAUAAUUUGUCCACAUGUUAUAAUAUAAGUGAAUAUUUAUUGAUAUUAUUUCCAAAAAUAAGAAAUAUCAACAAUUAUAUCCUCCUAUAUUAUAAUACAUAUACAAAUUAUACCACAUUAUCAUACUCUAAUACCAUUUUAUAAUUUCUCGUACUUAGGAGGUAUAGAGCGAGUCAAUGACAUUACAUAAUAUAUAAUUGUUCAUAUAAUGGGGCAACUAACGUGAUCAACAAGUUGUGGUGAUUAAUUUAACAUAAUAAAAAAUAUACCAUUUACUUGAGUGAUGUAACAAUUUGUUCUUUUAAAUUGGAUUGCCAUCACUUUAAUAUGUUAUGUUUCUUAUUAUAGUCUCCCAUGUUAAGUGCUUCAGCAUUGUUUGUGGUGUGUACACAAAUUUUCUUAUAAAAUGUUUUAAUGCUUCUCACAUGUAUAUCAGAUAUAGACAGUUGAUGUGACUUAGAAAUCAAAUUGUCAAUAAAACAAAAAAAUAUAAUUGGUGAUCGAGGUCCAAUUUAAUAGAAAAUAGUCUUAACUUGCAUAUUAAAGGUCUUAUAUUCGAAUCCUCACUGCAUUAUUGUUGUAUGCGUACACAAGAAAUUCUCUUCCCCAAUAAUUUAGACUAUCACUUAUACUAAAAAUAUAUAUAUAUAAUGACUUUUACGAAUGCAAACAUAAAAUUACAUCAAACAAUAAUCACUACUACAAAAAAGCAAAAAGACGACGGUAAAUCACCGUCGUGUAUUGGGGUUUUCAAUGGUCGUGGAAUCCACCGUCAUCUUUUCCCUCAUAAACCACGACGCUAAAUAACCGUCGUUGUUAAAAUAUACAACGUCAUCAACAAAUACAAAACGACGUCUUUGUACUGCAAAAAGAUCUAAAAAAAGCAAUCGAGGAUGAUAAUAGACGACCAACUCUCUAAAAAAACCGUCGUUAAAAAGAAAAAAUAUGACACAUAUUAAGAGAACAAGGCCGCAAGAUAGACAUACAACGACGAAAAUAAAAAUACGACGACGUUAAAUAUAAUUUUCACGACAAUAAAAAAUAUGACGUCUUUAAAUACAUUAGAAGACGACGUUAUUGAUACAUACUACGUCGCAUAUAUAAAAACAACCGUCGUAAAAUUAAUUUUCCACUUCGAUUUUUCGAUAAAAGAUGACGUGGAAAUAGUUGUCAGUGUCAUUAUUUACGACGUAUGUGUUUAUAGAUUAGACGUUGAAAAACUAAACAACGUCGGUUACAAAUAUAUGAGAGUCGUAUUACAAAAUUUAUACGUCCUAUUUUCAGAAACAAACAACGACGAUAAAUAUUAGACGUUGUUAAACAAAACAACGUCGGAAAAAUAAAAACAGACGUGUUUAGUCUGCUAAAGUUCUAGAAAAUAGUCGAGGAUGAGAAUAGACAACCAACUCAAAAAAAUCACCGUCGUUAAAAAGGAAAAAUCUGACACAUAUUAAAAGAACAAGGCCGCAAGAUAUACAUACAACGACGACAACUAAAAUACUACGCCGUUAAAUAUAAUUUACACGACAAGAAAAAAUAUGACGUCUUUAAAUACAUGAGAAGACGACGUUAUUGAAAUCUACUACGUCUCUUAUUUACAAAAAACCGUCGUGAAAUAAAUUUUCCACUUCGAUUUUUCUAAAAAAGAUGACGUGGAAAUAGUUGUCAGUGUCAUUAUUUACGACGUACACAUUUAUAUAGUCGACGUUGUAUUUAUAUGUAUUCAUUACUCACGACGCACUUAAUAAUAUAGACGACGUUGAACUUCUAAACAACGUCGGUUCCAAAUAAAUGAGAGCCGUAUUACAGAACAUAUAGACGGCGUAGAUUAUGAUGAGAGCCGUAUUACAAAUAACGUCGUUUAAUUGUUAUUAGACGGCGGUUAUAAUGAAUUUCCGUCGGAAUUCAUUUCGUUCCUCUUCGUUUAUAAAAGAACUUGCGACGUGGAAAAUGUAUGAUGACGUCGUAUUUUUUAACGUUCAGAUUAUAUAUCUCGUUUUUAGACGUCGGUAUUAUGGGAUUGGAGUCGUGUUAUUUUGAAUUACAUGGCGGUUCUUAAUCCUUCACCGACGUGAUAUCCUGAAUAAUUGCUUCACAAUAGCGUCGUGGUUCUUCAUUGUUACGUUGCUUUAAGACGUCGGUAAAUAUGCUGAAUAACUGAUUCACAAUAACGUCGUGUUUUAUUUGAACGUAGAAAGUGAAGAAAUCACAUUACAAUAUAUUACAAAAUUAAUGUCAUACACUGCCAAUUACAUAAGCAUCAUUCAAUCCAUAUAUCUUCACACCCAUCUCGAAUAUUUUGACCGCCUAACUCACCCACCAGUUCAUCAAAUGUGUCAACAUUUGGCAUCCCUCUAGUAAAUGGCUCACACUCAAUUAUCACAUCACCUAAGACUUCAUCACCAAUAACAUCAUUAUAUUCUCUAUUAGGCAUUGAUAACACUACCGACCAACCACGAUGCAUCGGGUCGUCAACAAAAAAUAUUUGUUUGACUUGAGAAGCCAAAACAAAUUGGUCAUUCCUAUGUCCAAUUUUACUCAAAUCUACAAGGGUAAAUCCAAGUUCGUCGACUACAAGACCAGAACUAUCUAUCCAAUCACACCUAAAGACUGGGAUUGUAAACUUUUGGUAGUCAAGGUCCCAAAUUUCUUGAAUGACACCAUAGAAACCCAUAUUUGAGAGAAUUGGGUUUUUAUCCUUGGCACUAGCAACUUGCAUGGUAUGUGCAAGUAAAUAAACUCCACUAUUUUGAGUUGUCCGCACAUCAUCUUGUGCCUUGAUAUUGAAUUUAAUACCUUUAAUAAGAUAGCUCCUAUAUAAUGGCACUGACAUGUUUGGACCAGCUGCUAGCCACCUUAAAUUUUCUGAUACGCCAUGAUUGUCUUCCUCAAGUUCACUUUGAACCUGCAAAUUAAUCAUAUCUUAAUUCAAUCUAACAUAUAAAUAAGAAGAAAAUUAAAAGAGAAAUAUGUUAUUCAACAACAUAUACCUUGAAGCGUAGCCAUUGAAUGAAAGUGCUAUUGUGCUUAUCCUGCAGCCACUUUGUUCUCUUUCUAAAUUUUGGAUAAGCAGUCUUGAUGUGGAUCAUAUGUUGCCCACAUGACACGAAAAAUUCAAGCAUUACGAUCCUAAAUAUAGAAGAUAAACAUAAGAAAUAAUUUAAAAUGGAAACUUAAAGAAUAAAGCUCAUACGUACUCGAUAUAAGGUAGGACUUCCUCCGUAUUCUCCAAGACAUAUAGAUGUGCUUGAUUCAACAGGUCCUGAUCAACUACGCUCACUGUGCAACCUGAUAAUGGCUUUGAAAGCCCCAUCUUUUGGCUUGAAGGCACUCCAACUGUACUAACAUCAGAUAAAUGCUGAGUACAACACUCUACCGCUUCUUCAGCUAUAUACCGCUCAGCAAUGCAACCUUCGGGACGAGUACGAUUCUGAACAUACCCCUUCAGCACUUUCAUAUAUCUUUCAAACGGAUACAUCCACCGAAAAUAUACUGGCCCACAUAGACGAACUUCUCUGACAAGAUGUACUACUAGAUGAACCAUGAUAUCAAAGAAUGAAGGGGGAAAGUACUUCUCAAGCAAACACAGAGUAACUACUACAUCUUCUUCCAACUUAUCUAGCUUGGAAACAUCAACAGUCUUUGCACAUAUAGCAUUGAAGAAGAAGCACAAACGAGUUAUUGCAUACCUUGCAGGCUUCUCCAAAACAGAACGAAUUGCCACAGGGAGCAAUUGUUGCAUUAAGGUAUGACAAUCAUGUGAUUUAAGGCCAAGAAGUCUUGAAUCUUGUAAAGAUACAAGAUUUUUAAUAUUUGAAGAAUAACCUUCAGGGACCUUCAUACCAUAGAAAGAAUUGCAAACCUCUCUCUUCUCUACUCUUGACAAAUUCCAAGGCCCAGGAGGCAAACGAGUACGUCUUUCUCCAUACUCGGGUUGCAAAUCAGUUUUGACCCCCAUGUUCAAUAAAUCUAAUCGAGCAGCAAUCCCAUCUUUAUUUUUUCCAGGGAUCUCCAGCAAUGUACCAAUGAUACUAUCACAAACAUUCUUCUCAAUGUGCAUAACAUCUAGGGCAUGCCUUACAGGAAGGUAUUUCCAAUACUCGAGAUCAAAGAAUAUUGAUUUCUUCUUCCAACAAACUCUGUCACCAUUUUCAACCAUAUGCAGCACUUCUUCUCCGGUUAAUGGCUCGGGAGGUAUGCCAUAUUCAGGUUUCCCAUUAAAAGCUGCACGUUGCCUCCUAUAUGGAUGAUUGAUUGGUAACCAUUUUCUAUGCCCAAUGUAACAAAUUUUGUGGCCAUUUUUCAACCUGUGACUAGGUGUAUCAUCGCCGCAUAUUGGACAAGCUUUAUAUCCUUUAACAACACAACCAGAUAAGUUUCCAUAGGCGGGGAAAUCAUUAAUUGUCCACAUUAAUGCAGCUCUGAGUGUAAAGUAUUCUCCAUUAUGUGCAUCAUACACUCCUCUAAUCCCAUCCCACAAAGAUUUUAAAUCAUCAAUCAAAGGCUCCAAGUAGACGUCUAUAUCAUUUCCGGGUUGUUUAGGACCGAAAAUCAAUAAGGUUAACAUCAUGAACUUUCGUUUCAUGCACAGCCAUGGAGGGAGAUUAUAUGUAACUAAGAUAACCGGCCAACAACUAUAUCUGCUACUUAGAGAACUGUGGGGAUUGAAUCCAUCAGAUGAAAGAGCCAAUCUCAAGUUUCUCGGCUCAUUACCAAACUCAGGCCAUUUAUCAUCAAGAAGUUUCCAAGACGGGGAAUCCGCCGGAUGAGACAUCUGACCGUCAAUUGAUUUUCUAGGAGCAUGCCAAGUCAAACUCUUAGCUGUCUCAUGUGAUUGAAACAUCCUUUUAAACCUUGGAAUUGGAGGAAAAUACCACACCACCUUCGCUGGCACACCCUCUUUCAAGAUUGAAUCUUUGCCUUCCUUCCACCUUGAGAUACCACAAGUAGGACAAUUAGUUGAAUCCUCAUACUCCUUCCUAUACAAGAUGCAAUCAUUGGGGCAUGCGUGCAUUUUCUCAUAACUCAGCCCCAAUGCACACAAAGUCUUUUUAGCCUCAUACAUAGAGGUUGGUAUUGUAUUUCCUUAUGGAAGCAAAUCGCCUUGAAGUAUCAAUAAUUCUGUAAAACAGACAUCACUCAUCCCAUGUUUUGCCUUCAAAUUAUACAACUUCACUAAUGCCGAUAACUUCGUGUACUUUCUACAACCAGGGUACACUGGUUGAUCUCCAUCCCCAAUCACAUUGGCAAACUCAUACGGAUCGGAACCAAAAUCAUUAUCAUCCAUAUCAAUUUCUUCAGACACAAAACUGUACCUACUAUGGCCAUCAUCUUCUUCAACAUUUCUACUAGCAUUAGUAGUUGCUUCCCAAGGUUCUCCGUGAAAUGUCCAAUUCUUAUAGCUUUGGUCAAUUCCAUUAAAGUAUAAGUGAUCCCUUAUAAUUCCAACCCCAAACAACUUCAAAUUAACACAUUUAACACAUGGACAACGGAUAUGUGUUGUAGUUAGAAGAUUUUCUACAGCAAAGUUCAAAAAUGCUUCCACCCCAAACUCAUAUGCCUUCGAUCUUCUAUCCGAGUGCAUCAUUGACUUAUCCAUCUCCGACACUAUAACCUAUUAUCUAUAAUAAAGUGAAAAUACAGGCAAUGACCAUCACUAUAGCAGAUUAUACAAAGAUCUAAUAGCAAGUAAUACACAACAAAGACGACGGGUUUUAAACAAAAACAGACGUAUUUGGCAUAUAUAGACGACGGAUUUUCAACAGACGUCGUCUAAUAUAAGUAAUACAAACGACGGUUUAUGAAAAAACCGUCGUGUAUAAGUAAUACAACGACGGUUUUUUCAUAAACCGUCGUGUAAUCGUCGGCGUAUGCCUAAAAAGGCGUCGUGUCUCAGUUUAUUUUCAAGAACCCAAAACCCAUUAAGAACACAACAUAUAUAUGAAACCAAGCAAGAAAACAACAUAUACAUGAAACCAAGCAUGAAAACAAUAAAUCCAUUCCCAAUUCAACAUAACAUAGGGUGAUUAAAAGAUCCGACAAAAUUAAAUCCAUUCCCAAUUCAACAUAACAGAUAAUGUAAUCCAUGAACCCAUUAAACAGAAAAUCCAUGAACCCAUACUUAUAAGCACAUUAUUAACAGAUCGCAAAGCAUAUACCUAAAACCCUUUAACAAAACAACCUAAUAUCAUUCAAUGAAUUUACAAGGGGAAGAUAGGGUUUGUACUUACAGGUUGGACGAGCUCACAGAUUCGACGGAGCAGAAGUGAGAGAGCAACUUUUAAUUAGAGCAGAAGUGAGAGAGCGAAAUGUUAUGUUGCGCGAAAUCUGAAAAUUUUAGGGUUCAGGGUUAGAAGAAUAAGAAUAAGAGCCAAAUAUAAAAAAAUUUAGGACGCGUGAAAAUUUUUAGAGCGCGCGCUCUUUAAAACUUCGAAAGAAAAACCAUGGCGAAAGUUCUACAAGAACCGACAUAAAUGUAAUAUUCCACGACGGAAACACUGAACGUAACGCCGUUUAUUUUGACGCUUCAUUUUUCGGAUUAAUUUUAAAUUUAUUUUCAAUAUUUUGAUAUAAAGACGACUGAAAAACCACGUCGGGGUUAAGAAAUUGAAAACGUUGUAAAUUAUAAUAGACGACUUACAUAUUAAAAUGACGUCGUUUAAAGUAGAAACUAUGUCGGAUAAUUUACUGCACGACGUAACAUAUGUAUUCCACGACUCAACCACCGUCGUUAACAAUUAAUACCCUAAACCCUUAAAACUAAAUUAUAUAAUUUUAAAAAUUAACUUUAUAAAAGGGUUUAUGGUUUUACAGCCUAAUAUAUACCCUAGACUACCCAAAAAUUAUACUUUAAAAAUAAACCCCAAUAAAUAACAACCCUAAUCUCUAAACCCUAGACUCUAAACCCUAAACCAUAAAACUAGAAGUGAUUUUAUGACUCAUCAAAACAAUUUUGUUUUGGAUGUUCAUUUUAAAUUUUUGUAAUUCAAAAUGAAUUUUUUCAAGGUUUAGGGGGAAGAAAAUAUAUCAAUGACUUCAUAGGAGUUGACUUUGCAUUUUUCUGAUUUAUUUUAAAUUUAUUUUGAAUAUUUUGAUAUAAAAAUAAUAAAAUAUUCUUAUCACAACAACAAACCACGUCGGUGUUGAUAAAUUGUAGACGUUGUAAAUUGUAAUAGACGACUAAGUUGUUAAAAUGACGUCGUUUAAAUGAGAAACGAUGGCGGAUAUUUAACUAUCCGACGUAAAAUAUAUAUUCCUCGACUUAACCACUGUCGUUACAAAGUACUACCCUGAACCCUUAAGAAAUUGAAGACGUUGUAAACCAUAAACGACUCCAUUGUUCAAAGAACGUCGUCUAAAUAUCCUUUUACGCCGGAUUUGUUUAAAACGAAACCACAAAAAACGACGGCUUUUGACUUUAUUACGUCGUUGGAAAAUUAUUACACGUCGGUUACGCAUUUUGUAUGUUUGUUUUUGUUUUUACUUUAAGAAAACCUCAACAAAUUUUUACAUUAUAUAUUAUAGACAAAAUUUGUACAUUAUACAUAAAUAUCAAGUGUUCAAUAAUUCCCCUAUUCCAGUUGAAUGCAAACAAACUCUGCCCAUUCAUUCCGGACUUCAUCAAUUGCUUCUUGGGGGUAUGGCUCUUCCUGUUUUCCCUUCGCAUACUGCAUAAAAACAAUGACUAUUAGGGUUUAUAAAUAAAAGGAAAUUCAAUCACAGACGACCAUAACCGACGUAGUAUAUCUAUUCAACGACGGUAAUUUUACAUGACCGUCGUUGAUAAUACAAAAAACGACGUAAAAUGUUUGAAGGUUAUUUCUUCUUACCUUCUUCUCAAACCCCAAGGAAGGAUCCAUGAUGAUGUCCUUCAUGAAGCGCAUCACGUAAUACCCGCAUUCGACAUUGCUGGGUUGCUUUGGUGUGCCUGACAGGGUUUUCCAAAUGACUGCCUUACGGCCUGAUCUGGCUAUGUGGGAAUUAUAAAUUUUUAUGGCACUGUUCACGAUGUCUUUGGCCUCUUCAUCGACCACACGAUUUCCUGGCAGAGGAUCCAGAAAAUAGACUGUUUCCCUCUUUGCUCUUACAAUCAGCAAGAUCCAAUGACGGCUGCACAAAAUUAAUAUAAAAACGACGGUUAUUUACAAAAACGACGUAUUAUAAUAUUUCACACGACGAAAUAAAGUAGCAAUCGACGACAUUAUAUAUUUAUAACGACGAUAAAUAACUACCGACGUGGUUAGUCGUUUCAAACGACUCAAUAAAAUAAAACACCGACGUGGUUAGUUUAUACGCUGUCAUUUAUUGAAAAUCAUAAAAACAAAAUCCUGUUAAGGAGACUAACCCUGGAUUGUAAGGCAUGAGGAAAAUCUGUUCACCGUCAGUCUUCUGAAGUCGUGAUGCUACAAGCCGUGAUCUGUCAGCUAUUGUGCCAGAGCUGGCACUAACUGUAGCAGGGUCGAUAAAGCCAACCAUUGUGCACAUAUUUGCUUGUUUUAAAACAUCGUGUAAGUACCUAAAUAUAUAAAAUAAUAUAAACAAGUCAGCGCAAAAAAAACACACGACGGUUAUGUAUAACAAAACGACGUAUUAUAAGGUUUCACACGACGUACUGAAAUAGACAACGACGUUAUAAUAAAUUUAUCACGACGGUACAUACUAACGACGUGGUUAGUUAGUUAAGACGACGCAAUAAAUAAACCAACGACGUAUUAUUUUAGAAUGACAAACCUCAUAUAUACAGCAAUGACUGUAGCUCCUAUUUCCUCCAUGCCUGCAAAUUGUGUAAUAUCUUCAGGCAGGAGGAAGGUAUCGCGCUCUAGACCAAACACCUCCUUAUCAAUUGUAAAGUGCAGGGUCUUAUCUUGAGUUACGAGUGUCGUUUCCACAUAACGACAAAGGGUUUGUAAAGAAGAUGGCGCCUCCAUAUUUGAAUAAUCAACAACUUUAGUAACCUGUUUAAAGAAAUAAAAAAAUGACGUGGUAAUUCAAUAAAAACGACGGUUUAAGGAAUAAAAUGUCGUUUGAAAACAAUUUAAACGACGGUGAAAAAACCGUCGUGGUGAAUUAUUUAUUACGUCUUAGAAAACAAUUCCGCCGUCUAAGUUGUAAACAAACGACGGUUUAAAGAAAAAUAUCGACGUCUGGAAUUUUGAAAACAAAUAAAAAAGGUAAAGUUAUGUGAACAUACCUGGUCGUCAUCUUCUUUCUCCUUUUCAUCUUGUUUUUCUUCCUUAUUCUCUUCAUAUAUGACGUCGGGAAUGAUUAACUCCGUCAUCUAAAAACCACAAAGUUUUAAAAAUAACGACGUUUAAUGGCGUGUAAAACAAGUAAACUAAAUACGACGUGGUAUUGAAAUACAAACGACGGUUUAUUUUUAAAAUCGUCGUGGUAUGUAUUUCAAACGACGGUUUUAUUAAAAAUAACGACGUCUAAUGGUUUUUAAAAAAACAGAGAAUUCAAAGUUCAGAUAUGUUACCUUUUCUUCCUGAUGUUUCCCAUUUUUGGCAGUAUCAUCCUCAAAAUGCUGGGAUCUCACAUCACCUCCAGAGCAGCUUGCUUUGUCAGACAUUGGAUUUUUGGGACUUUGGCUAAUUCUGGGUUUAAGCAUGCUUGGAUCAAAAUUGGGAAUUAAUUGGGAAAGCUGACUCAGGAAAUGCUCCCUCUCAGCCUCUACCAAUUGUUUCGUUCUAGCCUCCAUUCUUAAAGCCUCUUCCCUUGCCUUAGCCUCCAUCUUUUUAGUCUCUUCUUGAAGGAGAACUCUUAAACUGUCCUUCAAACGGUCGUCAAAGCUCACUCUCUGUGGUUUGGGUAAAUUGAAAUAUUGCUUUGGUGAGAUCCCAGCACCUACUCCUCUGACUCUGCCUGGAUGCUCGGGGCCCAAAGCCAUGGUCAGCACAUCAUUGCUGCCAGAGACGGUGACUUUGCCUUCCGAGACUUGUUUUUGCAAAUCAUCCUAAAACAAAGAUAUAUAAAAAAGUAAGAACAAAAACACACGACGGUUAUUUAUAUACAAACGACGUAUUAUAUAAUUUCACACGACUCAAUAACAUAUAAAUCGACGUUAUUAUAAUUUAUCACGACGGUAGUUAUACCGACGUGGUUAGUUCUUUAAAACGACGAAAUUAAUAAACCACCAACGUCUUAUGUAACAGAGGGAUGAUUCAAUAUUCACACCUUUAACGACGUUGUUUAAAACAUUUCGACGUAGUAAUUUAAUACAGACGACGCGAAAUUGAACCACCGACAUCUUAUGCUAUAAUUACAGAAAACAGAGUUCUGAUUCCUAUUUAGACCUUUAACGACGUGUUUUAAAAAAUGUCGACGUGGUAAUAUCAUUCACACGACGCAAAAUAUAACAUAAGACGUAAUAAGAAUUAUUCACAGUUUAAUAAAAAUUUAAAACAGAGUGAGUAGGCUUACAAUUAAUUUUGCUUUCUCUGCCACCUUUGGAUCAGGGAUGUUACCAUGUUUGUCAUGUCUAGCUCUCUUCCAUAAGGUAGAUCGAUCAAUUUCUACCCCAGGCAUGGUUUCCUCUAAUUGAUCCUCCAAACCGGCAUAUCCUUUUCGAGACAAUCGAUGAUUGUACUCGAGUUUCUCCCUAAUCUGUGCAUGUUGAGAAUGCACAGACUCAAAAUCUUUGGAUAGCCUUGAAGCUACAAAGGCAUCCCAUUGUGCUUUCUCUAUGAAUUUAUAUGUUUCAGGGGGUUGGCUUAAUCUCUCCCUGUCAUUGGUGUAUGGAAGGAUAUAAUGCCUCGUUAGUGUAGACUUGAAAUCCUUCCAUUUCUUGGCAGCAGAAGCUAAGACAGAGUUCUUGCCCCCUUGACCUACUACAAAAGCAAUGUCAACUGCUUCCCAAAUCUGCUCCUUUAUAUCCUUGGGGAUUUGAGCCCAUUUCAAGUCCACAAGUGGAACUCUGGAGCGUGCCAACACACCAAUAUAGGACUGCAUCUCACUAUGAGCUUGGCCAAUUCCUUUCCCCCUUUUAUUGUACUCAACAAUUGGCCUCAGUUUCUGCAGUUUUCUCUUCACAACACGAGGCAUUGUGCUCAUACCUCGACCAGCCUUUGAAUCAUCAGAUAUUGUUGUCCCGCUGGUUGGUUCUGUAUCAGCAGAUGAUGAAGCAAACUUCAUCUUCUUCGAAGACUUCAUUAUCUUCGAAGACUUCUCUUGAGGAGGUACUUGCUCCUCACCUCCAUUUUUCUUGGAGCCAGAAUCCUUACUUUAGUCUUGUUGAGAAACCAUUUUUACAGACAAAACUGCAAGUGAAAAUAUUUCAAGAAAAGAUUAAGAACACAAACGACGGUUAUUAAUAAAAUACGACGUAUGAUAUGAUUUUAAACGACGCAAUGAAAUAAUAUCAGACGUAAUAAAUUUUUAAAACGAAGGUAAUUAAACAACGACGAAAUAAUUGACUACAAACGACGAGAUAAUUAACUAUAAACGACGGAAUAUUUAUAUAACGUCGUGGUAUUGAUGUUCACACGACGUCAGUAGUAAUAUACCGUCGUCUAUAUAAGGAUCCAAAACCCUUCUUUCUUUCUCUGUGAAUGUUUGAUUGCAGAUUUGAUUUUUCUGAACCAUGGUUUUUGUUUUCUAAUUUGAUAAAAUACAAGGCCAAGAAAGAAAGUUUUGGAAUCUUAUAUAGACGACGGUAUUUUAAUAUGACGUCGUGGUAUUAACAUUCACACGACGUAAAACAAUAAGAUACUGUCGUCUAUAUUAGAUACCAACCCUAAUUUCUUUUUCUUUAUAUUUUAUCAAAUUAGGGAAAAACAAAAACCAUUGUUCAGAAAAAUCAAACCUGCAAUUAAACAAGCAAAUAAAAAAAAGACUAAAAUUUUAAAAACAACUUUGUCAAUUUUCAGACGACGCUAGAACGACUGACGAACCGUCGUGGUCUACAUAUUUAACCACGUAAAUAAGAAGCUACCGUCGUCUUAUUUAGUUAAGGUAGUUGUCUUCAAAGUUGGAAACUUUCCCUCUUUGUCUGUAUAUUUUAUCGAACUUGGAAAGAAGUAAAAUGAUUUUGGCCAGAAAAAAGGUAAAAAGAUUUUUCAAACAAAAAACGUAUGAGCAUGCAAAACAGCAACCAAAAUAGUGAAAAUGAAAGCUUACCUUUUGUGUGCAAUGAAAGCAAGAGGAAGACGAUCGAUGUUUAAAUUCAGAGACGACGAAGAAGACGAGAGGAAGACGAUGAGAUACUCUGAAAGUGCUCUGACAAGGAAAAAAGUCUAAAAGUUUUCUCUGGGAGAUUGAAAUUUUUAAUCGGGUUUGGAAAAAGUGCAUGUGUAAGUCAGGUAGACGAAAAGUUGCUUAUAUAUAAAACCAUUUCAAAAAAAUAAUACGGCGGUUACAUAUAACUACGACGUAUAAAUUACAAAAUACGACAGUACGUUUAACUUCGGACGUGGUAAAUAAUUACGACAGUAGUGUUAUAGGUACCGUCGUAGUAAACUCAAAAUUAAAGUACAUAAGUAAUAACUCGCGUCAUGGUAGAUCAUUUAACACGUCGGUUUUAUUAAUGUACCGACGUGGAUUUAUGUAAUAUACGUCGGUAAUACCGACGUUGAUUUUACAAUUUAAACGGCGGUUUUUUUGUAAGGACCGCCGUUGGUUUUAAAAAUUUAUUCUAUAAAUUUGUUGCUUUCAUUCAUUUUCGGUUUACAUUUAGGGUUCCAAGUUCUUCCUCUCUCAGAGACACUAUCUCUCACAUCUCAAAGACAGUAAUUUGGAUGUCUUUCUCAAAGAGAAAUUGAGCUUACUCGCAUCAAAUCUAUGUCCACAAGAAGAAGCUUGUCAACUAGCCUUCUCACUUCCUUGAUCAAGCCUGAUAGGACACUUAGUGCUUCUGAAUACUCCUUGCUUUCCAUCAAAAGAGAUGCAAGCCUGGCCUCCACUCGCUGUCGAAGGAAAGUUCGCUUCUCAGGGAAAUCUGAAGAUCAGAUGUGCCUGAUCCUCUGCUUGAUUUUCUUGGCUAAGAAGAUCCGUCAGAUUUGUGAUAGCCUCUUCCUUUAUCCGUAGAGCUUCAGAAGAAGAAGAUGGGUUUCAAGAAUGCGAUAAAGAAUAGAAAUGGCUUCAGAUGGCCUCUAAAGCAUGAGCAAUCGAAUCAGUGCUUUGAACUAUACUUUGAACUAUACAAGUCAAUGCUUUGAACUAUACAAGUCCUGCAGAAAGAUAAAGGACCAAACUAUUAAAGAAACCCCAAACUAACACGACGCAAUAUUUGUUUUGCGACGUGGAAUCUUUUCAUUUAACGUCGUUAGGUUUAAUAUAACCGACGUGGAUUUGAAUUUUUAAAUUAUGAAUAGCAUUUUUUUUCCCGUGACCUUUCAGUUUAUUUUUCAAUUACAGUGCGUUAUAAAUAGAGUUUUUUUUCCGGAGGAAAUUUAAAAUGAAGGAAAUUAAUGUUCUGGAAUAUGUAAAAUUUCUUUUUUGGAUGACAGAUUUAAAUAAAAUAAGAAUAUAAAAACAACGACUGUUUUUGUAUUACUGUCGUCGUUUUUCGUCGUCUUAAGUAAGACUAAGACAACGUAAUAUAUUUGUUGAGCGACGUUGAUUUGUGUUUUAAACGUCCUUAGGUAUAAUAUAACCGUCGUUGAAAAUUGUCUCUCUGAUUGCAAAUUUGCAACGACGUUAGGUAUAAUAUUUGUAGAUACACAAACGCACACACAUCAUCAACUUCCAAAAAAUUGUCUCUCUGAUUGCAAAUCUGUGUCAUCUGUUAAGAUUAUGAUGUGGAACAAAGUUCCAUUUGGUAAGAUUUCGUAACCCUUGGGAUCUCAGAAAAAUCUGAUUAUGUCGGCGAUUUUCUAUAUAAACCGUCGUGGUUAUUUCAAUUCUUGUCAUUAAGUAGAUCUACCGACGUAGGAUAAGAAAAUCAAAGAAAAAAAUUGUUAACAAAAAUUCUUAUUAAGACGACGGUUUAAAUUAAAGGUAAGACGUAUAAAAUGAAUAAAUACGACGUUAAAUUUUAUAGUACGAUUUAAAGAUAACGUCGUAGAACUAUACCAGAAUGACGUCGAUAUAUUUAUAUUUUUCGUCGUUGUACAUUAAUUUAAUACGGCGAUAUUUUGUAUUUUAAAGUCGUGGAUUUGUUUGUAAUUAUACAGCGUCUUAUACGAAAACCUCGUCGUGUUAUUUUAUGAGUAAAAACGGCGGCUUUUAUUGAAAUCGUCGUCUUUACUUUCUACGUCGGUUGAUUCAUAACUUCUGUCGUUCUUUGUUGGCUUUGAUUUUACACUGCGGAAAUCUGUUUCAAAUAGACGUCGGUUGUUUAAUUAAGUACGUCGUUGUUUUUGAACAGCCAUUUGAAUCUCCAUUUUUUAGUUGUCUAAGGUGGUAUUACACGACGGUGUUUUUAGAACCGUCGUCUUUUUAAAAACCACGACGGUUUUCACUGAGACCGUCGUUGUUUUCUGGUCGUCUUUUUCACUUUUUGUAGUAGUGAAUGGAAUAGAAUGAUGGAAGUUAUUUUUUUUUUUUCCUACGUCUAAAGUAUACUUUAUAUAUAUAUAUAUAUAUUUAUAUUUAUUAUGGAAGUUAUAACCGUUUAAUUUUCAGUUUUUAUUUUCUAUUUAUUGUUUUAAUUUUUAUAGUUUAAUGUGUAUGGAGAUUUCAAGUAUUGGAUGUUUAUAAAGGGUCACUCCUCCUUCACAUCUGAAACAAACCACCAUCUCAUUUCUGUAUUUUCAUACUUUCAUAUAUUUUCUACUUUCCAGAUUAUUAUUUUUGGGCAACGGUUCUGUGACUUGGAGAUUUCUAUCCGAUUAUUAACAUGCUCAUAGCGGACCUUGAGCUUGCGUAUUGAGGAUAGUAUCUUGGAGCCUUGUAGACCUUUAUUACCUGCAUGUAGGGAGGCUAUAAAUGCUUUAAGUCAGCGUCUUUGACGUGCUUUUGCUUUCUUUUUUUUACUUAUUUCUUCGUUACUUUAUUUUUACUUUACUUUUAAAUCUUUAUUUUAUGUAUUAUUUAUAUUUAAAAAUUUUGAAUAAGAGUUUUACAGAAAAGGAAAAACACAAUUUCAAAUAACACAAAUUUCUCGUUUUUUGUUCUUAAAAAAGAAGAAGCAUUGAUUGGGGAGUUAUGGUAAACUCAGUUUCAAUGGUUGCGAUGAGAGGCGGUGGCGGCGAGGAGAGGACGAAGGCUUUGCUGCCGACGGGGUGGUGUGGGUGGGUGGAGACCUCGGCUGGCUGCUUGGUCCUGGGUUCUCCUUUAAUUCUCUGUUUUCUUUUUUCAUAUUUUUCUUUUUCUCUUAGAGUUAUUGAUGUUAAGUGAAUGGACAGAUGCCAAGAGAAGAUGUGAACCCAAUUAUAUACAGCUGAUUACAUAAAGUAACAAAUUAAUUAAUACUUGAGUGGAGGACAGGCUCGAGUGGAAGAAUUGAUUAAGGCUUGAGUGGAAGACAAACUUCAGUGGAGGAAAGUACAGAUAAGGAAAGCAUGCCACGUUUAACGGCUUUAUCUCAACAAAUUAGGAAUGCUGGUUUUGUUUCCUCGGUGGUUGAAAGGUGGUGCCUUGGCUCGGACAUCUCCCUAGUAAUUAAUCGAAGGUGGAAUCUUACAAGACAUUCAGCUGCUCAUUAGCUGAAUAUCUCGCUCUCUUUAAAGAGAUCGAAGCAAACUGCAAUUUGCAAUUUGUGUGAUUCAAGCAUGAAUAUCUGACAUAGUAACUAUACCAUUUGUUGGUUUGAUGAGAAAAGUUUGGUUAGCGAGGAUGAAACCAUAAAGUUCCCCAAAACACACAAAGAGCACGGACAAUUGCUAAGUUUAUCUUUGAGUUCACGCAUAUUUGCACAAAUGAGAUUACUCCAAGUAUGACUAUACCAUUUGUUGGUUUGAUGUGAAAAAUAUGGGCAACGAGGGUAAAACUAUACAAACACACACAAAGAAAGUGGACAAUUACUAAGUUUAUCUUUGCGUUAUUCAUCCGACCUAACUGUAAAAUAAAAAAGAUGAAAAUAUAUAAUGUUCACUACUUAGAUCUAUGAGCACUAAAGUCCUCCUUUUGGAAUUGCACAAAACGUCACUUUUGGUCUUUGACAAAUUUUUAAAAUAAAUGAAUUUUUUACUUAUUUGUGGACUGAAAUGCCUCAAAAAAAAUAAUGAUAAUUUGAAGAAUUUGAUAGAAAUUAAAAAAUAUCCUCAAAUUACUUGGAAUUGAAGACCACAUAGGCAAAAACACCACUUUGGACAAAGGCUGGUGAUAAUAGUCGAUAUCAUCUUUUGUCGGUCCGACCUAAAAAGAAGAAAAAGUUGAAAGCAUCUUGUUACCAUUUUUGCCAAUGUGGGUCCAGACAAUUUGAAGAAGUCCACCGACAAUUUCUCAAAAGCUAUUGUGUGAGUGUUUUGAAGCUAAACCAAUAUUAUUUUGCACAUACGACCCCACAUCCCCAUGUGAGGCUACAGAAGUGUUUCCAAAACGAAACAUGAUAUUUCAAAACAAAGCUAUGUAUAGAAUAGAGUCAUUUGUAUUUGCUUUCACAAUAACAUUUUAUUUGUGAAAGCAUUUUAUAUUUUUACAUUAUGAUGUUCUAACAAAUAAAUUGACUAUAUUUGGCCAACAGGGUUUAACCGAGUAAAAAAGUCCUUAUUUAUAAACUACUGGUUUCAUAUUUGAACUCUAUGACAUUCUCUUUACCCUUAAAGUUUAGACUAUCGCAUGUAUUAUAAAUAAAAAAAAACAAUUGGCUUAAUUUGAUAUAUUUCAUUUUAUGCUGGGUGCCGUUAUUAAGUUUUAUCCUUGUUUCUUGUUGAAAAAAAAUUGAUAAAAAAUAAGAAUUCCUAUAGCUAGCAACUUCUCCACCUUCCCUUCUUCGCAACUAGGGAUGCCAUUGCAAGGUCACCAUCUCAGAUUAAGUCCUCCUUUUAAAAUUGUGUUGUUAUUCAAAAUUGGAAUAUGCUGGUCAUUCUUGAUAUAAUCUGUUCCACAAAAAGAAAAAGAAAAAAGUUGAUAGCAUCUUUUACCACUUUGGCCACUUUUGAAGAUAUUCACCGACAAUUUCUCAAAAGCUAUUAAGCUGUACGUCCACAAUAUUAUUGCAUCCAACUUUGCAUAUACGACCCCAUCCCCAUGUGAGGCUACAAUAUUGUUAAAAAAAUAUGCUAACAUUGUCAUUCAGUAUGCUAACAUUGUCACUAUGUUUGCGAAUUGCAUAUUAUCUAGAACAUAAAGGCUUUGGUGUUUUGUAGAUCCUCAGGGAGCCAAACCCGUCUUUAUAAAAAUGGUCCUUAUGAUACUACUUUAACAACAAUAAAGUAUAAUAAACUAGGCCUUUGUAGUCACUGAACGAAUGUUUUGUCAUAUAUAUGACUAUUUAAAUGUAAUUACGGGAUUAAAACAUUAUAAUAAAUUGGAGUGAACCAUAACAUUAUAUAUGAUCCAAUCCUUUGCAUAUAUUUUUGUUCAAGACUUUGUUUUAGAAUGCUCUAUUACUAAUUUGGUACAGGUCUCUAAAAUCUAUGCCUUUAUGAGGCAACGUCUUUAUUUCUUUGGUUAUUCCAGUUUAGAAUAUUUGCACAAAUGAGAUGACUCCCAGCAUAAAGUCACAUUCAACCAAAAAGCAUGAAGUCACACACAAAAAGAAUACGGACAAUUGCUAAGUUUAUCUUGUAUCCUUAUUUUAUUGAUCCAACCCAAUUGAAAAAUUAAAAAGAUGAUAUAAUAUACUGUUCACUGCUUACAUCCAUGAGUAAAGUCCUCCAUUUGAAAUUGCGUGAUGAUAUAAAAUUGGAAUGAAAAAAGAAAAUCCUACAGCUAAAUUUGAUAUAUUUCCUUUUCAUUUUAUGCUGGGUGUUAAGUUUUCUUAUUUCUUGUUGAAAAGAAAAAUGAAAAGAAAUAAAUAAAUUCCACAGCUAGCCACUUAUCCACCUUCCCUUCUUCCCAUGUAGUGACAACAAGGGAGGCCUUCAAUCCAAAAUAAAGACAAGGGAUGCCAGAUCAGCAUCUCAGAUAAGUAUCCCAACCAAAACCAAUCAAAUAAUGACAUAUGUAUCUCUUUUUGUGUUUUGUUCUAUUUCUCUUUGAAUUAACUGCAUAGUUUCAUAAGCGUGUCCUCCUUUUGAAAUUGUGUAUUAUUCAAAAUUGGAAUUUGCUGAUCAUACUUGAUAUCAGCUAAAAAAGUUUCCAACAUCUUGUACCAUUUUUUUCCAGUGUGGGUCAUAACUUGAAGAAGCCCACCGACAAUUUCUCAAAAGCUAUUACCAUCCAACUUUGAAAAAUAAAAGUUUUCAAAAGUUACCCCAAACAACAGUCCUUGAAAGAGAGAGUUUUCCAAGGCUAAAGAUUACAAGGAUGUUAUUUACAGUCUCGACAACGACAAGCUUCAUAUUUGUUUACAAACCUGUAUUUUCAAGUUGUGCUAGCCUAGCUACUUGCAAAAAAUAUCCAGUUGGCACAUGCAUUAACGUGUGACAAGAAGUUAGUUAUAUUUGUAAAGUAAAAGAACGAAGUACAUAGCAUGUAAGUUGAUGCUAAAUAUUUGAUCAACAGAGUUAAACAUAAAACCACUGACAAUAUAACGUUGUUCACCAAAAAUUGCAUUUCGUUGAGGGUCAGUAGUGUAGGUUUCAAGAUACGAUUUAUUUUGUUAAAGAAUAUUCUGAUAUUCUAACAAUAAAAUUGGCUCAAUUUGAUAUGUUUCUCUCUCUUUUUUUGUUUCUGUUUUCCCUUUCAUUUGAUGCUUUGUUGUGCUAUUGCUAAGUUUAUCUUAGAGACCAGGGAUGCUUAGCAAGUUUCUUCACCUGCCCUUCUUCCCAUGUACUAACUAGGGAUACCAUGUCAGAAUCUUAGAUAAGAAUCCCAUGCUUUGUUGUGCUAUUGCUAAGUUUAUCUUAGAGACCAGGGAUGCUUAGCAAGUUUCUUCACCUGCCCUUCUUCCCAUGUACUAACUAGGGAUACCAUGUCAGAAUCUUAGAUAAGAAUCCCAACCCAAUCAAACUAUGACAUCUGUAAGUAUUCAAAAUUGGAAUUUGCAUUGUGAUAGUUGAGUGGAAGAAUCGAUUAAGGCUUGAGUGGAAGACAAACUUCAGUGGAGGAAAGUAAUUAAUUAGACCAUUAUUUGUUGGUUUGAUGAGAAAAGUUUGCUGGUGAUAGUCCAUAAUCUUUGUCCGACCAGAAAAUAAGAAAAGUUGUCUUGUACCAUUUCUGCCAGUGUGGGUCCCACCCACCCCAUGCGAGUAAUUUGAAGAAGUCCACCGACAAUUUCCCAAAAGCUUUGGCGUCCAACUUUGCCGACCCCAUCCCCAUGUGAGGCCAUAGAAAAGUUUUCAGCCACAAUCAAAUAAGGAACAGUCCUUGAAAAGAGAGGGUUUUCCAAGGCCAAGAUUACAAGUUCAUGUUAUUUACAGUCUCAAAAAGCUUCCAUACUUGUUUACAAACCUGUAUUUUCAAGUUGUGCUAGCCUAGCUAUUUGCAAAUCUUGGAAUAUUUUACUUCAUCCAAAUCCCUUGAAGUCUGCAGAGAAGAUAAAAGACAUGGCUUUGAUUGGAGAGGCUCUUAUCUCUGCUUCCGUCCAGGUGUUGUGCGACAGAAUUACUUCACCCGAGUUCGUUGACUUAUUUCGGCACAAGAAACUCGAUGAGCCACUCCUCAGGAAGCUGAGGACGACACUGUUGGCCUUGAACUUGGUGCUCAAUGAUGCAGAGGAGAAGCAACUUGUGAACCGAGAUGUGAAAAAGUGGCUUGACGAGCUCAAACAUGCUGUCUUUGAUGCGGAGGACUUACUGGAUGAGAUUGACACUGAAGCUUUGAGAUGCAAGCUGGAAGAAGGUGAAGAUCAAACUCACAAAUUUACCAAUAAGGUGCGGAACUUGCUCUUUUCUUCUCGUAGUCAUUUUUAUCAGAGCAUGAAUGAUAAGAUAAAAGAGUUACUAGCAAGGUUAGAAAACUUUGUACAACUGAAAAGUGCUCUUGGUCUGGGAGAAGUUGCUGGGAGGAAGGUUUCGCAAAGAACUCAAACAACCUCCUUGGUUCUUGAACCUUAUGUAUAUGGUAGAGAUGAAGUCAAAGAAAAGUUAUCAAAAGUUUUGCUAUCUGAUGAAGCAGGCAAGGAUCCUGUGUCUUUCCUCACCAUUGUUGGAAUGGGUGGGGUUGGCAAGACAACCCUUGCUCGAAUGCUUUACAAUGACGAUAAGGUGAAAGGGCAUUUUAAACUUAAAGCUUGGGCUUGUGUUUCAGACUACGAUGAUUAUAUUAAAAUUACUAAAACUCUCCUUGAGGCAGUCACUUCAAAGCCUUGUAACACGGCAAAUCUGAAUUUGCUUCAAGAAGAUCUAAGAGAGCAAUUGAAGGGAAGGAAAUUUUUAUUUGUGUUGGAUGACCUAUGGAAUGAGAAUAAUGAGGAUUUGAACUACCUUAGAGCUCUUUUUAUUACUUUAGGAACAAUGGGAAGUAAAGUCAUUGUAACAACACGGAGCAAAAAUGCAGCAUCUGUCAUGCAAAAUGUUCAUAUUCAAUACUUAGAACCAUUGUCGCAGGAGGACUGCUGGUUAUUACUUGCAAAACAUGCAUUUGGAAAUGUAAAGUGUAGUGCACAUUCAAACUUGGAAGAUAUUGGAAACCAAAUUGCACGCAAGUGCAAAGGGUUGCCUUUAGCUGCACAAACACUUGGGAGUUUGUUACGUUGCAAUAUGAAUUUCGAGUACUGGAAUAGAAUACUAAAUGAUAGUUUUUGGGACCACCCCUAUGAUAAAACUAACAUUCUUCCGGCUCUAGGGUUGAGUUACCAUUAUCUUCCUACUCAGUUGAAACGAUGCUUUGCUUAUUGUUCAAUUUUUCCAAAGGAUUAUGAGUUUGAAAAGGAAGAUAUAGUUCAAUUAUGGAUUGCAGAAGGUAUAAUUCCACAAGCUGAGAAUGGAAAUAGGAUGGAAGCAUUGGCUAGAAUAUACUUUGAUGAGCUGUUAUCACGAUCGUUGUUUCAAAAGUCAAGUAAAUUCAGCUUCAUUAUGCAUGAUCUCAUUAAUGACUUGGCUAUGUUCAUGUCUCAGGGGUUUUGCCUUAGGCUCGAAUAUGGGGUAUCCCAUGAAGUUAAAAGAGCUCGUCAUUUGUCAUAUGCUAGGGGAGCAUUUGAUGCUGCUCCAAGAUUUGAACCAUUAUAUGAGGCUAAAUGUUUGCGGACCUUCCUACCUACCUCUUUAAAUCCAUAUAGAUUUUAUGAAAGAUUUUUUGUAAGUAAAAAAGUUCUACAAGAUUUGUUGCCAUCACUAAGAUGUUUACGGGUGUUAUCAUUGUCACGUUAUCAAAAUGUUACUGUGUUACCUGAUUCUAUUGCAAACCUCAUUCACUUGCACUACUUGGAUCUUUCCCAUACCGCAAUUAAAAGGUUACCUGGGGUACUUUGCAAUCUCUUCAACUUGCAGACAUUACUAUUGUCAAAUUGUUCCUCACUCCAUGAAUUGCCUGCAGACAUUAGAAAAUUGAUUAAUUUACAGAAAUUGACAUUGGGCGGUUGUAGUUCUCUUAAUAAAUUGCCUGCAGGCAUGAAGGAGUUGACUAAUUUGCAUCAUCUUGAUGUCAGUGGAACUGAAAUAGUAGAGAUGCCGGUGCAAAUGGGUAGACUGAAAAAUUUGAGAACAUUGACUGCAUUUGUUGUGGGCAAAUCUACUGGGUCAGGCAUAAGAGAACUGAGCGAGUUCCCGCAACUUCAAGGAAAACUAUCAAUUUUGAAGCUACAAAAUGUAGUUGAUGCGAGGGAUGCACUGCACGCCAAUAUGAAGCUCAAGACAGAUCUCAAGGAGUUAGAGUUUUCAUGGGGUGCGCAGGAUGCUGAUGAUUCCCAAAAGGAGAAAGAUGUACUUGACAAGCUCCAGCCUUGCGUGAAUUUGGAGAAAUUAACCAUUGGAUUCUAUGGUGGAACCAAUUUUCCGAAUUGGUUAGGAGACUCGUCUUUUUCUAACAUACAAGUCAUGCAUCUCAGUGACUGUAGUUAUUGUUGGUCGCUCCCACCAGUUGGACGGCUGUCGGCACUCAAAGAGCUCUGUAUAAAAAGAAUGAAGUCUUUGAGGACGAUUGGCGUUGAAUUCUAUGGCAGAGAUGGAGCUUAUCUGACUCAGCCAUUUCGAUCUCUGGAGAAGCUAGAGUUUAUAGAGAUGCCGGAGUGGGAGGAAUGGGUACCAAGUGGAAGUGCAAGUGGUAGUGAAUAUGGUCCAGACUUUCCUCAUCUCCAGGAGCUGAUUCUAAACGAGUGUCCGAAGCUAAGAGGAAGUUUGCCUUGUGAGUUGCCUUGCUUGAAGAAGCUUACGGUGUAUGGGUGUAAGGUUUUACAUGAUGGAAGGGCCGCUACCGCAACUACCAAUAGUCUUAACUAUAAAUCUCUGGAAGAAUUGGAUAUAAGGGGUGGAUGCCAAACUCUGUUAUCAUUAUUAGAGACAAAGCUCCUGUCCCGACUUAAGAUUGAAAAUGUUGACGUACAGUGCUUGCCCAACUGCAAUCGUCUUCAACGUUUGACUCUUUUGAAUUGUCCAACGCUGUCGUCAUUCCCUAAAGAUGGCCUACCCACUACAUUGACAUCACUUACUAUACUCAAUUGUAGGAGAUUAGAAUUCCUACCUCAUGAGAUGUUGGCCAAAUUAACAUCGCUUGACUAUUUGGGCAUACAAAGUAGCUGUGAUUCAAUGAGGUCCUUACCGUUGGGCAUUUUUCCCAAAUUGACGACGCUUCAAAUUCUUGGUUGUGAGAAUCUGGAAUCUUUUUCCUUGAUUGAAGAAGAAGGAGCUGUUGAGAAUCUCAGCCAUCUCAAUUCCUUGCAAGUCAUUAACUGUCCAAAAAUGGUGUGUUUUCACGAGGGAGAAUUGCCCUUUCCCAACCUGAGUCACUUUGUAGUCAUUGACUGCGAGAAUUUGAAGUCAUUGCCCGAACGCCUUCACACCCUCACUGCCCUUCGAUCUUUGAAUAUAUGGAAUCUUCCGAAUCUGGAGUCAUUUGCAGAAGAUGGGGGUUUGCCUCCCAACCUCCGAUCUUUUAUCAUUAGGAAUUGUAAGAGACUGAGGGCACUUGACUCAGUGGGUUUGCAAGCACUUGUCUACCUUCAGAUCGAUGGAAGUGACCAUGUCUUGGAGACGUUGCUGCUCCCUACCACUCUUCACACUCUCUGCAUCUCUGAUCUAUCAACUCUGAAAUCUUUGGACGGAAAGGGUCUUGGACACCUCACUUCUCUUCAAACUCUAAAAAUUUACAGCUGUCCAAGUCUUCAAUGCCUGCCAGAAGAGGGUUUGCCGCCAUCUCUUUCUCAUCUGAGUAUCCGCUGUUGUCCUACCCUGGAGGAAAGGUAUAAGAAUAAAACGGGACAAGAUUGGGCAAAGAUAUCUCACAUUCCUUGCAUCGAGAUAGGGGAAGAAGUGAUCAUAUAAUAUGAGCUAUUCCAUAUUUCACGCUCAACCCUCAACUCUCAAAUCAAAGUCAGGUGAGGUAUGUGCCUUCUCUUACUUUAAAAAACUGCUUCUCUUCUUCUAAUUGAAUACAAAAACCAAAACACAUAUUCUCUUUCUCUUCCAAAAACCCAAAUACAUGUUGGACAUAGCCCAACGCUGUACUUUCAUAGGUACUGCAUGUAUAUUAUCUUAGUAUCAACAGGUGGUCUUAUGUGGACGAGAGAGAACAUUGAGGAAUUACAAAAUCUUCUUAGUGAAUUAAGCUUGCUUCAGCUCUGUUUGUCAUCCCUCUCAUUUUCUUUGUUAAGCCUUGGUUUUUUAUUAGGAGAUGAAUGCUUUUAUAUAUUGAUGUCGUAGUCAGUCUUCAACCACACUCCGUUUUUAGAAUUCGUUUAUGUUACUAGUGGAGUGCUGCUGUAUUUUAUAUUUCGUUCCUGUAAUGUUUGAUGUUUAGUUUGAGUAGUCUAGCUUAUCCAGUAGAUAACUCGUCCCCUGUUUUGUAAUGUUUUUGUUUCCUCUAAUGAAAGCAGGUUUUACUUAUCUUAAACUUUUAUUUUUAUUUUUAAAUAUCAGUAAUAACUGGGAAAGCUUGCAUCUCCUUAAAUUGCUCAUUCUUACAUCUUUUAUAGUUUGUCGAUCUUGGGCAAGUGGAGAGAGAGGCGUCAAGUGAUACACAACAACCAUUUUCUGUGAGCUAAUUUGAUAAUGAUAAAUGGUAUGCUUUCUUGUCUUAAGCUGUGUGUUCUGCAAUUAUUUAAAACAAAGAGUGCCGCGCUUCAAGUUCGAGGAAAACAGGUAUUUUAGGUUAGCUGUAUAAUUCGUGGUAAAUGCCUUUUUCUAAGGUUCAUUUAGACUCCUAUUACGAUUAAUUUGUUGUUUCUAAUUUGGACUUGUAGGAACAGACCAAAUAUGUUCACACGUGGCAUCGCUCAAGUCAUCAUCAUUUCCGACAGAAAAUCAGCCUUCAAGUGUCUGCUGAGUCAAUGAACCUUUCUAGAUAUAUCAAGUGCAAUGGAAAUUCAUGAGUUACAUAGAGAUUUGUAAACAUUUUGAAGAUUGCAACACCUGCAAGUGAGAUAGGUGGUGACGAAAUCAGAGCUGAUCUUGAAGCCUCUGAUGCCCCGGUUGUUGCAAGUUGCACCUGAGAACAUGUUUUUUUGGGGUAAAAAACUGGCAACAUGUUCGGAGCUGGCAAUUCAGUCAGUGAUGAAGUUGAGAAGCAAAGCUCCAGUAAGGAAAUUGGUCGAGGUCGCCACAGGGAUGAUUGAUGGUGAAAUGGAUGCUAUUUCUUAUUGCAGCCUGUUCUCAAAGUUCUUGUUGGCAAAUGCAAGAAAUGGAGUAUUUUGAUUGGAAGGAGAGAUAAUGACAUGUCUUGACAAUUCUAGAACAGCCCAUCUGAGUUCUUUUGUCAGGCUGCAUCAUUCAAUCCCGGCAAAUAUCCAGUUUCUGCUAAACAAUCACUUAUGGCAAGGCCAACUCUGGUAAACAAUUACAUUUUUUCUUUUGAGGAAUUUCACUUUGUCAUCAAACAGUAUUCUAAUGCAUUAUGGUAGCACUACACGCUUUUGUUGUAACAAAUUACAAUGAGGAAUUUGGAUUGAGGAAUUUGGAUUGAGUUUCUUUUAUGCUUUGUUUAGAUUAAAAAUAUCAGUUUCCUGUGUUAAUAACAUUACAGUUUUAUGGAAUGGUUUAUCUUGUUUUUCUGGACAAAAAUAUUUAGAGAAAUUUUCAGUAUAGCUUGUCCUUUAGAUUAAUUUCUCCUGUAGGGUGUUAAAGUUUGAUCUUUUUUUUUGUUUUUUGUUUUUUGUUUUUUGUUUUUGUUUUUUUUUGGUAAAUAAGUUUGAUCUAUUUAAAUUGAAUAGGGUGUGCAUGAGACAUUUUUCUUGGAAUAAUUUUUUAAUUGCAGUGGCAAAAAAAGGAAAAUAGUAGUCUUCAAAACGAAUCUUAAAUCCAGUUUCCUCUUCUUGGUCGUCACUCUUAGAAAUUGCUAACCAUAUAUAGCCUGGAGUAAGCACUGCACAAAACGGCAUACCAUCACAAAUCCUAAUUCCAUACAAUCUGUUGAAGGAAAAUGUGAUCCUCCUAAUAUAAUUUCACCACCACUAAUUAAAUAACGGGGUUUUAUUAUUUUAGGUUCGACCCAUUCGAGACGCAAGUCUCUUAAUUACAAUCCCUUGCUUCAAGGGAACACCCUUUGAUUCCAUCAUAAAGAAACAGAACGUUUGUGUUUGAUUUUGCAACUGCUCCCAAGUCCAACCUCAGGAUGCCUACGUAUCCCUUGCGGGAAUCAAGCCACUCGUAGUUCAAAGAAUCGCAAUGAAUAAAUGACUCAUUGCGAGGGAAAUUUGAUUUGAAUUGUACUGAGAAGUGUUUGAGUGAAUUUAGCUGAAUAAACCAGGGAUUCGAUAUGGGAUUGCAUUUGGGAUGGUUGCAUCUAGAUUGAAUCUCUAGAUUGCCUACGUACCCUUUCAAAGGGAUCAAACCAACGUAGUUCGGAAUUUGGAAAUCAACGGGCAAGUGUGGCCCACUAAUUGAGAAUUUCUGUUUAAGAGACUUGGAUUUAAUCUCAUUAGAGUUUUCAUGGGUAGAUGACCCAUGGAAAAUUGGAUGGUUUUGUACCACUUUCGUUGUUGUCCAUGUCCAAGAAAAAUAAUGAGUAAUUUUAAUUAUCCCAUUAAUUUUUCCUAAACAUUGACAAUUGCGUUUGGGGAUUUCCAUAGGUAGAUGACCUAUGGGAAAAUUUGGAAAUUAAUGGAUAAGUGUGGCCCACUAAUUAAGAAUUUGUAUUUGAGAGAUUUAGAAUUAAUCUCAAUGAAAUUUUGCAUGGGUAGAUGACCCAUGGGAAAUAUUAGAAAUUAAUGGGUAAGUGUAGCCCACUAAUUGAGAACUUGAAUUUGAGAGAUUUGAAUUUAAUCUCAAUGAAAUUUGUAUGGGUAGAUGACCCAUGAAAAAUUGAAUGGUUUUGUACCAUUUUUCUGGUUGUCAAUGUCCAAGAAAAAUAAUGAGUAAUUUUGAUUAUCCCAUUAAUUUUCCCUAAAAAAUUGACAAUUGCACUUGGGAAAGUGUUUUUUUUUGGCGAAAUCUGGUUAAGAUAAGCCAGAGAUUUAUACUUGAUUGCGGUUGCGUCUAUUGGGAUGUUAGACUGCCUACGUACCCUUGACGGGAUCAAACCGACGUAGUUCCAAAUUUAGGAAGUUAAUGGGUAACUGUGGCCCACUAAUUGAGAAUUUGUGUCUUUGGGACAAUUUGGAGAUUUUCAUAGGUAGAUGACCUAUGGAAAAAAUUGGAAAUUAACGGGUAAGUGUAGCCCACUAAUUAAGAAUUUGUGUUUGAGAUAUUUGAAUUUAAUCUCAUUUGGAAUUUGCAUGGGUAGAUGACCCAUGGAGAAAAUUGGAUGGUUUUAUACCAUUUUUCUUUUUGUCAAUGUCCAAGGAAAAUAAUGAGCAAUUUUGAUGAACCCACUAAUUCUCUACAAUUGACAUUUGCAUUUGUAUCCAUGCAUGAUUUGGAGGAUUUGAGAUUAAUGGGCUUUUUUGAUCAACAAAACCCAUUAAUCCAUAUUGAUGCUCCUUUAAAAUCUUUUGGGAGUUGAGCUUAAUGCUCCGCGUGUGACAAAUAAUUUAUUUGGACUGGAGUCACCGUCACAGCAUGGUUGAGUCACUUGGCACUCUUUUCUGAAUCGCUUCUUUGCCACAAUGGUUGAUUCCCACAUUUCUUAGUGUGGCUUUUGAAGUGGUUUUGUACCCCUUGACAUCUGGUGUGGUUUUGUACUACUUGAGUCUUCACUUGACGUUGAGUCUUCACUUGACGAUUUGAGAAUUAAUGGGCAUUUUUGGAAUUUAAGCCCAUAAUCCAUCAUUUGCGGACUUCAGGAAUUGGAGACUCAAAGGAAAUCUCAAACAAAGUGGCUGACGCCAUUUGACUUUUCUUCCCUUAUUUCGGUGCGAGUCUUCCUCUUCGUUUAUUUGUUGUUGCCAUGUGCAGCACCAAGCCAAUCCCUCUUUCGUCUUUCUUUGGUUUUGACUUGUUUUUUUUUUCUUUGUUUUUGGUUUGCUGCACAACACCAAGCUGCCAACAAGACGUGGCUAUCCUUUUUUCUUCAUUUUGUUUGUUUGUUGUUGCUAUGUGCAACAACACCAAGUUGCCAAAACGUGGCUGUCUUCAAUAACUUUUUUUUUUUUAGUUCACGUGUCUGUAUGGCAACAUCAGUGGUUUGAACAAGUUGGUUGUCUUGAGCCUUUCCUCCACCCCAUAUGACGAGCAGCAUUUCUUGACUUCCACAAGUCUGCAAAGGGAACUAGCCUUUUUCUUGAUGGUGGAUCAUUGUUAUCACAAAAAAAAUGAUAUUUGUGUGCCUUAUCCAGCUGGUUCUUUUCGGCUUGGUGCCAAAAGUAAAUGUCUUUUAAUUUGAUCAAGACACCCAAGGGAUAGAAAUUCUUCUCCAAGUGAAGUAUGGAUUAAACUCCUUAUUGAUUUGGAGCUGGUGGAUCAUCCAGUGAAGUAAACUUCUUGUCCACAUAGGAUUGGGUUGUCUUCCUUAUAAAAAGGAAAACAUGUGUGCACCAGCAAACAGCCACAAAACGAAAGUCUUAACAUUAUUCUUCGUUUGCUUCUCCAGACCAGCCCAUAGCUUUGCUCAAGCCACCUGUUGCACCAUCAAACAGAAGAGGAUUUCACGUGGUAACCCACAUGCCAUUCCUUAGUUCUUCUCUUUUAUUUUAUUUAUUGAUUGAACUAACUAGGAUUUUUUUGGCAUGGGCAGCAAUAGCUGUAGCAAUUGAAGAGCCUCCAAUUAAUUGGAUGCUUCCAGGCUGACUUGGAACCAAAAGAGACAAUUUCUCUUAUUGUCCUUUGUGUGCUGUAACCUUCCCAAGGUCAAUAACCCAAGACAAAGGGAAAGAGAAAUCAUCUUGCGUUUCACGUGGUAACCCACCCCUUGACAAAUGUCUUUUUUCUUUUGUCUGUUUCCAUGUUUCUGACCUCUUGUCUUCUCUUUUGUAUGUAGAGGCUGUGCUGCCAGCUUGAAGGCUUUGGAGUUUGGUGGAGGAAACCAUCUGUCAUUUUGCUUCAGAAACCCAAGAAAGAACUUGUGGUACUUGCUUUGCCAGCUCCUCUUUUUUUUUGUUUGCUAUUGCUGUACUUUUACCACUGCUCAUAUCCAUUUCUUUUACUCAAUUUCCAGUCAAAGAAACAUUCAAGAGGGGGAGGAGGGGCUGUGCGAUACAGCCCCCCUUUUUUUUUUAUUCCAUCACCUUUUUUUAUGUCCCUUGUUUUGUCUCUUUGCAUACAAAACACAAGAACAAAGUCAGCCACCAUUUUUUUACUCCAUUAUUUCUUCUUCCUUACUCCUUUUUUUCAAUCAAAGCAGACCAAUGGAACUAAUCUUUUUACCUUGAAAUGGCUCUUUCCUUUCUCAAGGCUGCUUGCUAAUUUUUCUUCUUGCUAUGACUGUUCUCCUUUCUGCUCUUUUUCUGUCCUCCUGCUGUUCUCCUCCCUUUCUUCCUUCUUUUUUUUUUCUCCUGCUGUUCUCCUCCCUGCGUUUUUUCUUUUUUUUUUUUUGUCCUCCCCUCGUGUCAUGCCUCUUAUAGAGGCUAUCUUAUGAUGAGUUUUAAUUCCAGCUGAUGACCACUUCUCAACUGAGAUACUUAUCUCUUGUUGUUUCAAAACCACUGAAAUACAUCUAUUUUAUUUUUAACUGUUUUUCUUGAUAAGAUUGCAGGGACAAAACAAAUUCAAUCCUAAACCAAGUCAAACUCUUGGCUAAUUAUUUUUUGUGAAAAUUUUCCGUUCAACAGAUGCCUUCUCAAGCGUUGUGCAUGAAAUGACUUUUUAUGUGCAACGCUUGAUAGCUUUUCCUUUGAACUGCGCAUCCCCUGACUUUUCUUGUAUUAAUUAAUUUUUUUUUUGGUUGAAAAAUUCAGGAAAUGGACGCGCAAGGUCGAUUCGGGUUUGAGCGAGUCUUUGAUUCGCAUGGUAGGGAAUUUGUCUCUGGCCCCCAAUAUGCGAGAUCACUGCCUUUGAGAUCUGUGAAGCUUAAUGUACCCCCUGAAGGCCGUGCAACCUGGUAUACCACCGCCUCCGUAAAUUCGGGGUAUCUUGAAUUCAAACCCCACGCAGAAGAUAAGGUGAUUUCAGUAUGCCAAACGCAUCGUGCUGUGUUUACCGCCCAUUGUUUGGAGGAUGUGAAUAAUGAAGUGGAUGGAGACAUGAAAUUCCAAAUCAAAGAUCUUCCCACACGUGAUGAUUUUUACCCCGCUUUGCAUAGAAUGAUCAAGAGUAAGUUGGAGUGGGGGCCCCAGUAUCAGUUCUAUGGCCGAGCCACUUUUGAAAUUGGCGUUGCGGAGUGGACAAAAUGCGUUAUGAGUGACUUUGGAGACAUAUUGCAUAAGGCAAAAAUAUAUUGUGCCGUAGCAAUUUCCCGAUAUCCUUACGAGUGUUGCCCAAAUAUAUGGAGAGCAUUUUGUGAAUUAUGGGGGCCCUUGUGCAACACCUUUCAUCAUGGCAAUGGUGAGAUGGGGAUUUCUCUCUAUGACAUGAAAGUCAUUUGUGGGUUGCCAAUCUUGGGAGAUGUCCAGUAUGAGGAAUUUAUUCCCCAAAAUAAAGACUUGCAACAAAAUGGAGCAUAUCCUCCGACUAUCACUGAACUUUUGAAGAUCCACUCCCAAUUAUGUAUUUAUCAUAAUCAGUCUACCGUCAGCUGGGCCCAAUGGAUUGGGCACUUUUAUCGGGCGAAGAUUAUUUAUAAGGCCUUUGGGAAUGGCAAGAGGAAACCUCAAGAUCAACUUUUAAGGGCUCCCGAAAUCACUUUACGUAUUUCAAAGGAAGGGGGGUUGGCUGCAUUCUUGGCACUUUGGUUGAGUAGAUUUGUGUUACCUUCCGUGGAUCGCAACGUCAGACCUGAAACUUUUCAUAUGGCAUGUUUGAUGGCACAAGGGGUCAGAGUUUCACUUGCACCACCUGUUUUGGGGUAUAUUUACCAUGGUCUUGGAGAAAUUGCCACUCACCCAGAAGGUCCCAGCUUGUCAAGUGCUUCCUUCCCAAUUCAUUAUGUUAUCGGUUGGUUAGGCGAACAUAUUCCAGGAUUGUACCUACCACAAACUGACAAGGAAUUUGUCAAAGACUACCCUUUUUUGGUGAGGUACGCGGGUGUUAAGCCAAAAGGUUUUAGGCUUAAUCAUGCCAGAAUUAUAUUCCGUAGUGACAAAGAAUUAAUCUAUCGCCCAACCACGUUUACUGAAGAUGAAGGCCGUUCCUUUGUUGACAAGAAGGCUCUAUCAGACAGAAAAUUUGAAUUUCUAGUUUGCACACGUUAUGCGCUUUUGCCGGUGAGGGUGAACAACAAUCUUUGGUUGGAACCAUACUACCCGAAUAGAUUCGCGCGUCAAUUUGGUUUUGACCAAGGUGUCCCUUCGAACAAGCUUUCCUUUAGCGUUCGUGACAGGUGCAAGUGUGGCAUGGAGGAUUUGGCCAUAGCACAAAUCACUUUACUUAGAAGAGAUACCACAGCUGGAUUUUAUAUCCCACGCUAUACUCGUGUUGGAGUUUGCACUUGGUGGUAUUGCAAAUGGUGGAUGGGGUCAUCAGCACCAUAUAUGGGAUUAUCUGUAGCUAGAAUUUUCUUGCCUUCUAGAAAACACCUCGAAAGGCACGAUAAUAUUUUUAUUGUUAGGCCGGAGAAUCAAGGCCCCACAAGUUGUCAAAAAGAGGUCUCCAACAAACGUCAUUCUUCGCGUAGUGACAACAACAAGAGUCCAAAACGAAUUCGAAGCCAGAAUCUUGACCAUCCAGUUGAUGAGGGAGUCAGUUCCUCCCAUGCCGAUGCUGCUACUCUUAUCAGAGACUUGGUUUUCCCCAUGAAUGACGGGCCAUCCGAACAAGGUAGUACCACGAACUUCCCAAGUGAAGCAGAUGAUGCUCAAGAAGUGAGCAAUGAACUGAAUGCUACAGUCGUUGCUCCUGAUGUGAGUAAUGAUCCAAAUGAGACAGACGAUAUUGUUGAAGAUGACUGCCCCUUGCCAUUGGUAGAAUACUUGCCCUCCUCACCUUAUGUGAAGAAUUUCAUUCACCGCAUUCUUGGUCCAAGUGUGGCUCCACGUAGGCGAAGGUUCAUUGCUGAGGAAAUGCAAGACAUCUUUGAUAGAAUUUCUUCUUCCAAAUCACCUAUAGACCUACUAGCUCACCGUGAUCAUAUUUUGGGGGCACUUGGUCUCUUGCGACCUAUGAUUAAUACCCUUGAAUCAGGCCAGGAUGAGUUUCAGGAAUUUGAAACGACUAUCCAACACAUUUUCGAGUUGGUCACUUCAUUUUCCAAGAACGUUGCCUUUGUGGGAGAACAUGCCCAUCUAGAUGUUGACCGCAUCAAUGCUUUGAUCACCCAAUAUGAGCAGUGCUUCGCUGCCAUAAAAACCAUGAGCGUGCAUCUAAUAGAACUUAAUAGUGAGCUUGCUGAUGUGAAUGCCACAGUGGUUGAUGUUGAAAAGGCAGAGAAGGAAGCUGAAGAGGCAGCAAGACGAGCUCAUGAAAUGCGACAACAGUUUGAAUCGAAGACAAGUGCCCUUAAAGAACGUGCAAACGAUUUGCAGCAAUCUUUAGACCAACAAUUCGAAAAGGAAAUUGGGCUUCGACAAGCUAGAAUUGAUGCCAAUGAAGCAAUGCUCCCAAAACUCAUAGAGGCACGGAACUUAGGCUUCACGCAAGAGAAAGAAAUUCGCCAGUUAGUUAGCUCAUUGAUUUCCCUUUGCAGUAGAGUGGAGUAGACUCCUUUUUCCAUUUUCUUUUCUUCUUCUUUUUUCCUUACCUCUUAGUUAUUGUAAACUCAUUCGUCCACCUUAACUAGUAUUGAAUGAAAAUUUUUUUAUUUUUUUAUUUUUUUAUUUUUUUAUUUUUUUAUUUUUUGUAUACAUACUCAUGCUAAUUUUUUGAGCACUUACAUCAUUUAGCAAAUUUGCCGCAUACAAAACUUGACUGGAUGAUAGGGUUUUUUUGGUGGUUUACGACUGCACUCAGCUUUUUUUACUUUUAAAAAAAAAGCUAAGUUGCCUACGUACCCUAUAAAGGGAUCAAGCCAUACGUAGUUCACCCCUUGAUUCUCAGGGGAAGAAAGGGACAAAUGGAUUUUGUGGCCGCAUCUAGUGGCAAGACUAGACUGCCUACGUACCCCUUUUGAGGGAUCAAGCCGCCGUAGUUCCUUUCCUUGGACUGCCCUCUCGGGUUUUCAGCCCACGAAGGUUUUUUUUUUUUUUUUUUUUUUUAGCUCUAACUUUUGCUUGGACCGCCCUUUUGGGUUUUCAGUCCAACGAGCCUUUUUUUUUUUUUUCUCCAUCAGGCAUAAAACUUCUUGACGAAUUUCCCAUUCACACAAGGGUAUACGCACUUGCCUUCGGCGUUUGACAACUCAUAGGCACCCCUGGAGAAAACCUUAGUAAUGACGUAGGGCCCCUCCCACUUGGGUUCAAACUUACCGUGCAUUUUCCUGGUAAUGACAAAUGGUCUUCGGACAGUUAAAACUAAAUCUCCAAUUGAGAAAGAUCUGAACUUAACUUUUCUAUUGAAUGCCCCUGCAACCUGAGCUUGAUAUAUUUCGAGCUUUUGUUGAGCUGCCAGUCUUUUCUCAUCGAGGGCUUCCAGCUCUGCCAGUCUCACAUAUGCGUUUUCGUCAGGUGUACAUCCUUAACGAUGGCAAUUGGACUUCUAACGGUAGAACAGCCUCGGAGCCAAACACCAAAUUGUAGGGUGUACAUCCUGUUGAAUUGCGUAUGGUCGUCCUAUAAGCCCAUAAUGCUUCAGGGAGGCGCUCAUGCCAGUCUCUUUUAUUUCCUGAGACCGCCUUCUUUAGGAUGUUGCACAGUACCUUAUUGAAAGCUUCAGCUUGACCGUUUGACGACGGAUUGUAACUCGCGGAAAACGAGUGUUGAAAUCUAUACUUCUCGCACAACUUGGUCAUGGACUUGCACUUGAAAUAUAAUGCAUUGUCGGAUAUUAUCUUCGAUGGAACCCCAUAACGGUAGAUGAUAUGAUUUCUUAUGAAGUUUGUGACAUCGUCUGCUCGUACCUCCUUUAAAGGAAUCGCUUCAGCCCAUUUAGAGAAGUAAUCGGUCGCGGCCAAGAUGUACUGAUGUUGACGUGAUGACUUAGGCUUUAUCAUGCCAAUAACAUCUAAUCCCCAAGCUUCAAAUGGCCAAGACAAAGUAGUCGGAUGUAAUUGUUGGGGUGGCUGGUGAAUAAAGUCUCCAUGUAACUGGCAAUCUUUGCAUGUGGUUGCAAAUUUUAUUGAGUCUUGGACCAUUGUUGGCCAGUAAUAACCCAAUCUCUUCAGUUGGUUUGAGAGUUUUGGACCAGCUUGAUGAGCACCGCAAGUGCCAGCAUGAGUAUCAUGAAAGGCCUUAGUUGAGUCUUGUUUCGACAGACACCUUAACAACAUACCAUCAAAUGAUCUUUUGUACAAGGUGUCAUUUAGGUACAGAAAUUGAGUGGCUCUGCGUCGGACUUCAGCCUUUUUCCUUGAGUCAUUUGGCAACUUGCCUUGUCGGAGAUACUCGAUUAUGGGAUGGCGCCAAUCAAGAUCAUCUGGUUCCCCCUCACAUUCGGAAGCCGUAAUGACGUUUGAAUCAACAACUUCCUCAAUUCUCUCUAUAGCUGGGAGUAGUAAGUGACGUUCCCCAACAGUGAUUUGGAUAUCCCUUUCAUCAGGUAGUGUUAACGAUGCAGCCAAAUUAGCUAGUGCAUCAGCUUUAUCAUUUUCCGACCUCGGGAUGUGACUAACAUGGAUGUCUUGGAACUGCGACAUGAGAUACUUUGCCCUUUCAUGGUAUGGGACGAGAGUAGUAUUCCUGACAGCGUAUUGGCCAUUCAACUGUCUAACGACUAACUGUGAAUCACCGUAUGCUUGCAAAUAAUCAAUAUGCAUCUCGAGAGCAAUUUCAAGGCCAAUGAUGAGUGCCUCGUAUUCUGCCACAUUAUUUGAACAUAAAGCUAGUAAAGAGAAUGAGUAUGGGAUUAAGCCCCCAGACGGCGUGAUGAAUACUACUCCUGCCCCAGCUCCUUUUCCUCUUGCUGCCCCAUCAAAAUAUAACUGCCAUAUAAGUGCUUCUGUCGUGAACACCUCUUCGUCGGGCAAAUCAUUAGAUAACUCCAUGUUGUCAGGAGUAGGAUGAGCAGCCAAGAAAUCAGCAAGAGCCUGCCCUUUGAUUGCCUUUUGUGGCACAAACUUUAUCUCGAACUCGGAGAGAAGGAGAGACCACUUGGCUAUUCGCCCAGAGAGCACAGGCUUGGACAUUAAAUAUCGGAGUGGAUCUGCCUUGGAAAUCAAAAUGACUCUAUGAGAGAGGAUGUAGUGUCGUAGUUUCUGUACAGCGAACACCAAAGCGAGGCAGACCUUUUCGAUCGGGGUGUAAUUUUGUUCUGCCCCUACGAGAGUUCUACUCAAGUAAUAUAACGCAUUUUCCUUUCCAUCCUCGUUGUGUUGGGCGAGCAAUGCACCUAAUGAGCGUUCUAAUGCCGCAAUGUAUAGGAUUAAAGGCUUCCCUUUGAUUGGCGCCAUUAGAACUGGCGGAUUUAACAGGUAUUGUUUAAUGCUUUCCAAAGCAUUUUGGCAUGCUUGAUCCCAUAUAAACGGAACAUCCUUCUUCAUUAGCCUUGAGAAUGGUUGACACCUUCCAGAGAGAUUUGAGAUGAAUCAUCGUAUGUAAGCUAGUCUUCCUUGCAGCCCCCGCAGCUCCCUUAAAUUUCGAGGGGGAGGCAUCUCACGGAUUGCCUUGAUUUUUGAGGGAUCAAUUUCAAUUCCACGAUGUCGGACGAUAAAGCCAAGGAAUCUACCAGAACUUACCCCAAAUGCACAUUUUAAGGGGUUCAUUUUCAACUGGUGCUUUCGGAGUCUAUCAAAAACUCGUUUUAAGUCCCUCAAAUGAUGUUCUCUUUUUCUGGUUUUGACAACCAAAUCAUCAACGUAGCAUUCAAUGGUAUUGUGAAGCAUGUCAUUGAAAAUUACCGUCAUGGCUCUUUGGUAAGUCGCCCCUGCAUUUUUCAACCCAAAAGGCAUCACAGUGUAGCAAUAUAUUCCUUUUGGAGUGCGGAAGGCAGUUUUCUCUUGAUCCUCUGGAGCCAUUUUUAUUUGGUUGUAACCUGAGAAUCCAUCCAUAAAUGAUAGAGCACCGAAACCGGUUGUUGCGUCUACCAAUAAUUCUGUAAUUGGGAGUGGAAACUCAUCUUUUGGGCAUGCAUCAUUGACGUCUCUAUAGUCCACACAUAUGCGUAGUGCCCCAGUUUUUUUGAGGACUGGGACGAUAUUGGACAACCAGGUGGGAUAUUGGACCUCUCUGAUAAAACCCGCGGCAAUAAGCUUGUCAAUCUCGAUUUCUAUUUGGAUUGUUAGCUCUGGCCGAAAACGGCGUGGAGCUUGCUUCACCCAUCGAGCCUCAUCCGGUAUCCCAAGUUUGUGAACUGCAACGUUUGGGUCUAAACCUGGCAUGUCUUGAUAACCCCAUGCAAAUACAUCUCGGUACUCUUGUAACAGUUGUGUGUAUUCUUCUAACUCUUGCGGUGUUAACAAAGCACUGACAAAGAUAGGCUUUGGGUUGUCAACCGUACCGAGAUUAAUUUCUUGCAGAUCAUCAAUUGUGGCUUGACCUCCCUCCUCCAUUUGUGGUGGAGCUGGUUGGACUAUGUCGAUGAAUUCCUCAAUAUCUUGAGGACUAUCAUCUUGGUCCACUGUUUCUUCGCAAGAGGUGCAAUUGACCUGGACAAGGUCAUCCUUUAUUUUCACCCUUUUGAUCGUUUCGAUCACAGCUUUCUCUUGACUCUUAACUUUCCAUUUCCUUUUAUUAUGGACCUUUCCUUGUUGAGAACUGGAAGGGUUCUCCAAGCGUUGAAAGACUGAGAUGCGGGGUGGUUGUCUGCCCCCUAGGCGUUUGAACACGGAGAUGCGAAUCGGCUUUAUAUUCACCUCAUCUUCUCUAAACAUGGCUUGUUCCAUAUUAGUGAGUAUCUCAGGCUCGGAGGCUUCUAGAUGUGGCCUUCGAAGAGCCACUUUGAGUCCACUACUCUCAUUUUGAACUGUGAGGCCAACAUUGCUUUUCUUUGCUUUUCGGCCUUUAAGUUCUAUCUUUAAUGGAGCAGAUGUUGUUUCUGACAAUGAUGCCUUUUUGUGAAAAACUACACGUUUACUUGGGCCAUCGUUUUUGCCAAAAGUAGUCUAAAUGACCAAACUGCCCCCAGGGAUAGACUGAUUGAUCUUACGAAGAGGACGAGUGUAACUUGCUGUUAUCAGUGACUCCAUUGUUUGUUUCAAUGAGCUUGUUUCCUUUUCACUAGGCUCCUUUUUUGAAGUCUUCACAAUUAUCUUUGGCUUGGGAGCCCUUGCAGUCGGGACUUCUCCCACUUUUGAGGAUGACGCACCACGAGGUUUUAGCUUCACUCGGAUUACUUUUGAAGGUUUAGAUACUUCUACAUUUUGGGCUUUUCCUGUUUCAACAGUCGCUCUUUUCUCUUUAUCAACCUUUGAUGGCUGUGUAAAUGAGAGACCAAGUGGGCUGUAAAACUUCGCAUCAGAGUAAUUUACCUCUUCCCCUUUGAACGGGUCCAUGUCAGCUGAAACACUCUUGACUUCCCCAUCCACCAAGUAUUUAAAGCACUGGUGAAGUGUAGAAGGGACUACGCCAUAUGUAUGGAGCCAUGGACGUCCUAGCAGGACGUUGUAUGAAGUAUCAGCCUCGAUCACAUGGAAUAGGGCGUCUGAAUAUAAGUCUCCUAUUUCCAUUUGCAAUGCGAUAGAGCCCAUGGCCUUUUGCCCAAGUUGAUUGAACCCUUGAAUAGUCAACAUAGAGGGAGACAACUGUCGGGCACUCAUCCCUAUAGCAUGGAGCGUCUUUAAUGGGAUAAUAUUCACGGCCGAACCACAAUCUAACAAGAUUCGAUUAAUGGUUGUGCCUCCAACUUCGCCAGUGACAUACAGAGGUCGAUUAUGGAAUUUGGACCCAAGUAAAAAGUCAUCUUCACCAAAGGUAAUUGCUGCCAGACAUGAUGCACAAAACUUCGAUGUUUCAGUUGUGUGGACAUCUGCUGAUUUGAAACAUGACUUAUACAAAUCUGGGUUCAUUAAAGCCAUUACAAGUGCCUCCCUAAGUUCCCUCGACAUUUGUAAAGCGUCGUAGACACUUAGAGGAGCGGGGAUGCGCUUAAGAUGAGCUAGAAUAUCAUACUUAACUAUAUGUGAUUGUGAUGGCUCCUUUGCUUUACUAGUAUCGGGCUUAGAAUCCUUUGCUUUUGGAGAGGAAGGUGGAACUUCCCCUGCAACAGUUUUUCCUGACAAGAAGACCUUAAUCUCUUUCGCCUUUGGCUUCUUCUCGGUUUUAGAGGGAUCAACUUCCUCAUUUUGUUGUGCUUUAUCAGCAGAUGGGAUGCUUCGACCGGAGCGGAGAUUAACCUCAUCAACUUCUGUGUCGACCUCAUAUUCCUCCAAAGAAACCAUGUUGCAUUGAAUGAUUUCUUCCUCACCUUCAGAUUCACUCGAGAAAAACUCAACUGGCAAAAACUCAGUGAGUGUGACAGGGACCCUUGCGGGUUGCUCAUAUUCAUCUUCUUGGGUGAUUUGAACUUUCUUUUGCACUCUCUUCUUCCUCCUCUUAUUUUUCAAGGGUGGCAUGCCUCGAAUCUUGACACCCGGACGAGUCGUAAAUCUGUGAUUGGGUGGGAGAUAUUUAGCCAUGUGCUUGGCCCUUUUAACAAAUGUCGUCCACCCCUCAGCAAAUUCGUCGGUUGAAGAAUCUUCCCAUAUUUCUAGACUAGGGGCAGCCACGAGCUCAUGAAGAGUAGGAAUUUGAAGAUCAUUAGACCAUGGUGCCUUCGGACAAGUAUGUACGAUUGUACCCCGAUGGUCGGUACUAAUACCUGCAAUUUUCGCUCCAUCUAGUAAUGCAGUGAUGGGUGUGAGCUUUUCUUCUAUCAUAUUUGCCGUAGCUGAAUGAUGUCGGGAAGAGGAGUCUAUCUCCAAGCCGCCAUUGUUGAGGAGCUCUUGGAUUUUAUCCUUCAGGAUAUAACAAUCCUUGAGCGUAUGACUGACAAGGCGAUGAUAUCGACAAUACCUAGGGUCAUCUGUCUUGUUGGCCUCAGCAGGACGUUUUGAUUCUGGCAGAGCAAUAGCAUUGGAGGCCAGAAGUUGGUCAAAGAUUGCUUCUACAUCAUCAUCAUCAAAAGAAUAUUUGACCUCUUUGCGUUCUUUAAGAGUUAGCCUUUUAGGUGGGUCUUUGUUUUGGCCUUUGUCAUUUUUCUUUUCAGUUUUGACGAAAGUGGCCAACGACUCUCCUUUCAUGGACUUCUUGUCAUUUUUCUUUUCCCCAAAUUGAAUUUUUUGGGACGCGGACUUUUGGCGAGCAAUUUGUCUUUCAACAUUGCUCGCCUUUGACACCAAAGCGUCAAAUGAUUAGGGUUCAGCAGUGGCGACAAAAGUCGCAAUGUCUGGCAUGAGGUUAUUGUAGCACAUUUGCACUGCUGAUAGCUCAGUAAUUUUCUCAGGGCAUUGAAGAUUGAGACUCCUCCAUCUCAUAAUAAAGUCAUUAGCACUUUCCCCUGGCUUUUGGGCAGUUUGAGCUAGGUCCAUGAUCGAGACCUUCUUUUUAGAACUGACAAAUUGUGCCAAAAAUGCUUUUUGCAUGUCGUCCCACGUCAAGAUAGAGCCUGGCGGUAGCUGUGUAUACCAAGUGAAAGCUGAUCCUUUUAGGGAUUGGACAAAUUGACGCACCAGGAGAGCGUCUGACUGAGAUGUCUCGCCACAUGCUAAGUAAAAAUGUGCCAGAUGUUCAUGGGGUGAGCUAUUUAUGCCAUCAAAUUUAUCAAAUAUGGGCCGUUGAUAACCCUUCGGGAAUGGUAUGGCGUCAUAGUGAGAAGGGAAGGGUUUUCGGUACCCUUGAACAGGAAGCGCUAUGGACAAUUGGAACUCACGAAUCCCCUCAGCAAUUAAUGCCUUCAUGUCGUUUGGGGAAAUUGUGCUUGUAGAGCUCUCUGCUUUUUCCUCUUUUGUUUGUUGUUCAUGGGUCAUCGAUUCAUUUGUUUUGCCCCUGUCUUGCUCUCCUAUGACGGCUUUCCCUUUCAACUUAGCUGAUAGUAACGCUAUUUCCGCGUCUUUCUCUGCUAACUUCUGCUGCAUUUCCUUUCGCAAGUCUUGCAUCAUCUCUUGGAUUAAGGGCAACUGGUCCUCAGUAUUAGAAGUACCAGUCAUCAUGACUUGCAUGCUUUCCACCCCGUCAUGAAGUUUGGCCCCUUGGGAUACUACACAAUCAUUCUCUUGAUUUUGAGAUACAGGAUCAUCAUAAAGAGGAUUCCAUUGCAAAUAAUCGUCCAAACGGGUUGAGUUUGGAGCGGAUAACUCGGGAAUAGUCAUCCCCAUCAUGUCUCGGGAUUUGGAACGAGUCAAUGGACCCAUGUAGGGCCUUGACAGCUCUUGAGAUUUCGGGACUCCCCCUUGUGAUACGGGAUUUUGAUCCCUUGAAGCAUCAGUUGUCGUCACCUUUUGCAUACGCCUUCUUUGUGGAUGAGGUAUAUUCACCACCUUCUUCUCCAUGAUGAUGGCUUUGUUUUUACCCUUAGAAGAGCACGGGUAAACCUCUUGUGAUAUGGAUUCCACAGCGUGGGUUUUUGGACUUGACGGAGGUUCGGCCCCCUGGGCCUCAGCGUUCUCCACAGAGUCGUCCUUUUGACCUUUCUCACUAGUUUCAUUGGUGGAAGUCAUCAGAACAGAAUCUGUAGGAUAUAGGUCGACCGGGAUUGAUCCAAUCAUGAUUUGGACCAAUUGGGUAGCAUUUGUCCUCUUGGAAGUCGGCACAGCCAGGGUGCUCGAGGUGUUCUUGCCUUCAGUCACAAACGGGCUUGUCCCCGAAAGCUCAACCAAAACUGCCUCAAUAGACUCCCUCUUUGCUUCUUUCUUUCCUAAAGCACGCGCAGCCCUCUUUCUUGCAUUUCGGAGAGCGUUCUUGGAAGGUGCUUUCUUCAAUUGGGUCUUGACAACCUUAGGAGUGACCUGAGGCUUGACCCUCUGAAUGGGCUUUGGAACGGCGCACUUGAUGAGGCUCUCACCAACAAUGAAAGUCUUUUUGAACCCCACUCGUUUGGUGCACGCAUUCCAGGUAGCUUCGAUCUUGUGGAAGAAAAUUGUAACUUGUGGUGCCAUCGAAUAUGGUUUUGUUAACCUGUGGCAUACACAAAAAUAAAAACAUUAGUCACUUUAUGAUUGGAGAUGAAAAGGUAAAUGGAUCCCACCGGGCGUGCCAAAAAUUAUGUUGAAGGAAAAUGUGAUCCUCCUAAUAUAAUUUCACCACCACUAAUUAAAUAACGGGGUUUUAUUAUUUUAGGUUCGACCCAUUCGAGACGCAAGUCUCUUAAUUACAAUCCCUUGCUUCAAGGGAACACCCUUUGAUUCCAUCAUAAAGAAACAGAACGUUUGUGUUUGAUUUUGCAACUGCUCCCAAGUCCAACCUCAGGAUGCCUACGUAUCCCUUGCGGGAAUCAAGCCACUCGUAGUUCAAAGAAUCGCAAUGAAUAAAUGACUCAUUGCGAGGGAAAUUUGAUUUGAAUUGUACUGAGAAGUGUUUGAGUGAAUUUAGCUGAAUAAACCAGGGAUUCGAUAUGGGAUUGCAUUUGGGAUGGUUGCAUCUAGAUUGAAUCUCUAGAUUGCCUACGUACCCUUUCAAAGGGAUCAAACCAACGUAGUUCGGAAUUUGGAAAUCAACGGGCAAGUGUGGCCCACUAAUUGAGAAUUUCUGUUUAAGAGACUUGGAUUUAAUCUCAUUAGAGUUUUCAUGGGUAGAUGACCCAUGGAAAAUUGGAUGGUUUUGUACCACUUUCGUUGUUGUCCAUGUCCAAGAAAAAUAAUGAGUAAUUUUAAUUAUCCCAUUAAUUUUUCCUAAACAUUGACAAUUGCGUUUGGGGAUUUCCAUAGGUAGAUGACCUAUGGGAAAAUUUGGAAAUUAAUGGAUAAGUGUGGCCCACUAAUUAAGAAUUUGUAUUUGAGAGAUUUAGAAUUACUCUCAAUGAAAUUUUGCAUGGGUAGAUGACCCAUGGGAAAUAUUAGAAAUUAAUGGGUAAGUGUAGCCCACUAAUUGAGAACUUGAAUUUGAGAGAUUUGAAUUUAAUCUCAAUGAAAUUUGUAUGGGUAGAUGACCCAUGAAAAAUUGAAUGGUUUUGUACCAUUUUUCUGGUUGUCAAUGUCCAAGAAAAAUAAUGAGUAAUUUUGAUUAUCCCAUUAAUUUUCCCUAAAAAAUUGACAAUUGCACUUGGGAAAGUGUUUUUUUUUGGCGAAAUCUGGUUAAGAUAAGCCAGAGAUUUAUACUUGAUUGCGGUUGCGUCUAUUGGGAUGUUAGACUGCCUACGUACCCUUGACGGGAUCAAACCGACGUAGUUCCAAAUUUAGGAAGUUAAUGGGUAACUGUGGCCCACUAAUUGAGAAUUUGUGUCUUUGGGACAAUUUGGAGAUUUUCAUAGGUAGAUGACCUAUGGAAAAAAUUGGAAAUUAACGGGUAAGUGUAGCCCACUAAUUAAGAAUUUGUGUUUGAGAUAUUUGAAUUUAAUCUCAUUUGGAAUUUGCAUGGGUAGAUGACCCAUGGAGAAAAUUGGAUGGUUUUAUACCAUUUUUCUUUUUGUCAAUGUCCAAGGAAAAUAAUGAGCAAUUUUGAUGAACCCACUAAUUCUCUACAAUUGACAUUUGCAUUUGUAUCCAUGCAUGAUUUGGAGGAUUUGAGAUUAAUGGGCUUUUUUGAUCAACAAAACCCAUUAAUCCAUAUUGAUGCUCCUUUAAAAUCUUUUGGGAGUUGAGCUUAAUGCUCCGCGUGUGACAAAUAAUUUAUUUGGACUGGAGUCACCGUCACAGCAUGGUUGAGUCACUUGGCACUCUUUUCUGAAUCGCUUCUUUGCCACAAUGGUUGAUUCCCACAUUUCUUAGUGUGGCUUUUGAAGUGGUUUUGUACCCCUUGACAUCUGGUGUGGUUUUGUACUACUUGAGUCUUCACUUGACGUUGAGUCUUCACUUGACGAUUUGAGAAUUAAUGGGCAUUUUUGGAAUUUAAGCCCAUAAUCCAUCAUUUGCGGACUUCAGGAAUUGGAGACUCAAAGGAAAUCUCAAACAAAGUGGCUGACGCCAUUUGACUUUUCUUCCCUUAUUUCGGUGCGAGUCUUCCUCUUCGUUUAUUUGUUGUUGCCAUGUGCAGCACCAAGCCAAUCCCUCUUUCGUCUUUCUUUGGUUUUGACUUGUUUUUUUUUUCUUUGUUUUUGGUUUGCUGCACAACACCAAGCUGCCAACAAGACGUGGCUAUCCUUUUUUCUUCAUUUUGUUUGUUUGUUGUUGCUAUGUGCAACAACACCAAGUUGCCAAAACGUGGCUGUCUUCAAUAACUUUUUUUUUUUUAGUUCACGUGUCUGUAUGGCAACAUCAGUGGUUUGAACAAGUUGGUUGUCUUGAGCCUUUCCUCCACCCCAUAUGACGAGCAGCAUUUCUUGACUUCCACAAGUCUGCAAAGGGAACUAGCCUUUUUCUUGAUGGUGGAUCAUUGUUAUCACAAAAAAAAUGAUAUUUGUGUGCCUUAUCCAGCUGGUUCUUUUCGGCUUGGUGCCAAAAGUAAAUGUCUUUUAAUUUGAUCAAGACACCCAAGGGAUAGAAAUUCUUCUCCAAGUGAAGUAUGGAUUAAACUCCUUAUUGAUUUGGAGCUGGUGGAUCAUCCAGUGAAGUAAACUUCUUGUCCACAUAGGAUUGGGUUGUCUUCCUUAUAAAAAGGAAAACAUGUGUGCACCAGCAAACAGCCACAAAACGAAAGUCUUAACAUUAUUCUUCGUUUGCUUCUCCAGACCAGCCCAUAGCUUUGCUCAAGCCACUUGUUGCACCAUCAAACAGAAGAGGAUUUCACGUGGUAACCCACAUGCCAUUCCUUAGUUCUUCUCUUUUAUUUUAUUUAUUGAUUGAACUAACUAGGAUUUUUUUGGCAUGGGCAGCAAUAGCUGUAGCAAUUGAAGAGCCUCCAAUUAAUUGGAUGCUUCCGGGCUGACUUGGAACCAAAAGAGACAAUUUCUCUUAUUGUCCUUUGUGUGCUGUAACCUUCCCAAGGUCAAUAACCCAAGACAAAGGGAAAGAGAAAUCAUCUUGCCUUUCACGUGGUAACCCACCCCUUGACAAAUGUCUUUUUUCUUUUGUCUGUUUCCAUGUUUCUGACCUCUUGUCUUCUCUUUUGUAUGUAGAGGCUGUGCUGCCAGCUUGAAGGCUUUGGAGUUUGGUGGAGGAAACCAUCUGUCAUUUUGCUUCAGAAACCCAAGAAAGAACUUGUGGUACUUGCUUUGCCAGCUCCUCUUUUUUUUUGUUUGCUAUUGCUGUACUUUUACCACUGCUCAUAUCCAUUUCUUUUACUCAAUUUCCAGUCAAAGAAACAUUCAAGAGGGGGAGGAGGGGCUGUGCGAUACAGCCCCCCUUUUUUUUUAUUCCAUCACCUUUUUUUAUGUCCCUUGUUUUGUCUCUUUGCAAACAAAACACAAGAACAAAGUCAGCCACCAUUUUUUUACUCCAUUAUUUCUUCUUCCUUACUCCUUUUUUUCAAUCAAAGCAGACCAACAGAGGGAGGGAGGGCUGUGCGUCACAGCCCCCCUUUUAUUUAUUUUUUUUUUCAACUCCUCUUUGCAGCAAAACACAAGAAGCAAACCCACCAUUUUCUUUUGCUCCAUUACCUCUCCCUCCGCUGGCUCUCUUCUCCUUCUCUUUUUGUCUUUUUUUCCUUCUUUGUUGACUUGCUGGCGGCAGCUGCCCAUAGGGAGGCAAUUCAAUUGCCGUGCGCCCCUUUUGGUUUCGGAUGCUUCAUACAAGCCUUCUCUCUUUUGAUUUUGAUCCCAUGGUGGGUUCAUCUCUACAUCCAUGAUUUGAGGGAUUCUUUGCUCCUGGAAGAGCUUAUUUGAUGGUGCAUGAUGGAAUAGACUAUGCCAUAAAACAUGAUGAUUGAAAUCAUCAUGUAAGGCAAACUUGAAAACACUGCUGGAGUUCUUUGAGCGGAGCCAAGCCUCGGAGAGAUUCUUCCUUGGUUAUGAUGAUUUCAAUCAUCAUAGCCAAGAAUUUAUGUGGACCUUUUUAUGAUGAUAGAAAUCAUCAUGGUCAGGAACCCUUGAGUUGAAUGGAACCUGAAAUCUUGAGCAAAAAAUCAGAACAUGGUGCCAUGGAACUAAUCUUUUUACCUUGAAAUGGCUCUUUCCUUUCUCAAGGCUGCUUGCUAAUUUUUCUUCUUGCUAUGACUGUUCUCCUUUCUGCUCUUUUUCUGUCCUCCUGCUGUUCUCCUCCCUUUCUUCCUUCUUUUUUUUUUCUCCUGCUGUUCUCCUCCCUGCGUUUUUUCUUUUUUUUUUUUUGUCCUCCCCUCGUGUCAUGCCUCUUAUAGAGGCUAUCUUAUGAUGAGUUUUAAUUCCAGCUGAUGACCACUUCUCAACUGAGAUACUUAUCUCUUGUUGUUUCAAAACCACUGAAAUACAUCUAUUUUAUUUUUAAAUGUUUUUCUUGAUAAGAUUGCAGGGACAAAACAAAUUCAAUCCUAAACCAAGUCAAACUCUUGGCUAAUUGUUUUUUGUGAAAAUUUUCCGUUCAACAGAUGCCUUCUCAAGCGUUGUGCAUGAAAUGACUUUUUAUGUGCAACGCUUGAUAGCUUUUCCUUUGAACUGCGCAUCCCCUGACUUUUCUUGUAUUAAUUAAUUUUUUUUUUGGUUGAAAAAUUCAGGAAAUGGACGCGCAAGGUCGAUUCGGGUUUGAGCGAGUCUUUGAUUCGCAUGGUAGGGAAUUUGUCUCUGGCCCCCAAUAUGCGAGAUCACUGCCUUUGAGAUCUGUGAAGCUUAAUGUACCCCCUGAAGGCCGUGCAACCUGGUAUACCACCGCCUCCGUAAAUUCGGGGUAUCUUGAAUUCAAACCCCACGCAGAAGAUAAGGUGAUUUCAGUAUGCCAAACGCAUCGUGCUGUGUUUACCGCCCAUUGUUUGGAGGAUGUGAAUAAUGAAGUGGAUGGAGACAUGAAAUUCCAAAUCAAAGAUCUUCCCACACGUGAUGAUUUUUACCCCGCUUUGCAUAGAAUGAUCAAGAGUAAGUUGGAGUGGGGGCCCCAGUAUCAGUUCUAUGGCCGAGCCACUUUUGAAAUUGGCGUUGCGGAGUGGACAAAAUGCGUUAUGAGUGACUUUGGAGACAUAUUGCAUAAGGCAAAAAUAUAUUGUGCCGUAGCAAUUUCCCGAUAUCCUUACGAGUGUUGCCCAAAUAUAUGGAGAGCAUUUUGUGAAUUAUGGGGGCCCUUGUGCAACACCUUUCAUCAUGGCAAUGGUGAGAUGGGGAUUUCUCUCUAUGACAUGAAAGUCAUUUGUGGGUUGCCAAUCUUGGGAGAUGUCCAGUAUGAGGAAUUUAUUCCCCAAAAUAAAGACUUGCAACAAAAUGGAGCAUAUCCUCCGACUAUCACUGAACUUUUGAAGAUCCACUCCCAAUUAUGUAUUUAUCAUAAUCAGUCUACCGUCAGCUGGGCCCAAUGGAUUGGGCACUUUUAUCGGGCGAAGAUUAUUUAUAAGGCCUUUGGGAAUGGCAAGAGGAAACCUCAAGAUCAACUUUUAAGGGCUCCCGAAAUCACUUUACGUAUUUCAAAGGAAGGGGGGUUGGCUGCAUUCUUGGCACUUUGGUUGAGUAGAUUUGUGUUACCUUCCGUGGAUCGCAACGUCAGACCUGAAACUUUUCAUAUGGCAUGUUUGAUGGCACAAGGGGUCAGAGUUUCACUUGCACCACCUGUUUUGGGGUAUAUUUACCAUGGUCUUGGAGAAAUUGCCACUCACCCAGAAGGUCCCAGCUUGUCAAGUGCUUCCUUCCCAAUUCAUUAUGUUAUCGGUUGGUUAGGCGAACAUAUUCCAGGAUUGUACCUACCACAAACUGACAAGGAAUUUGUCAAAGACUACCCUUUUUUGGUGAGGUACGCGGGUGUUAAGCCAAAAGGUUUUAGGCUUAAUCAUGCCAGAAUUAUAUUCCGUAGUGACAAAGAAUUAAUCUAUCGCCCAACCACGUUUACUGAAGAUGAAGGCCGUUCCUUUGUUGACAAGAAGGCUCUAUCAGACAGAAAAUUUGAAUUUCUAGUUUGCACACGUUAUGCGCUUUUGCCGGUGAGGGUGAACAACAAUCUUUGGUUGGAACCAUACUACCCGAAUAGAUUCGCGCGUCAAUUUGGUUUUGACCAAGGUGUCCCUUCGAACAAGCUUUCCUUUAGCGUUCGUGACAGGUGCAAGUGUGGCAUGGAGGAUUUGGCCAUAGCACAAAUCACUUUACUUAGAAGAGAUACCACAGCUGGAUUUUAUAUCCCACGCUAUACUCGUGUUGGAGUUUGCACUUGGUGGUAUUGCAAAUGGUGGAUGGGGUCAUCAGCACUAUAUAUGGGAUUAUCUGUAGCUAGAAUUUUCUUGCCUUCUAGAAAACACCUCGAAAGGCACGAUAAUAUUUUUAUUGUUAGGCCGGAGAAUCAAGGCCCCACAAGUUGUCAAAAAGAGGUCUCCAACAAACGUCAUUCUUCGCGUAGUGACAACAACAAGAGUCCAAAACGAAUUCGAAGCCAGAAUCUUGACCAUCCAGUUGAUGAGGGAGUCAGUUCCUCCCAUGCCGAUGCUGCUACUCUUAUCAGAGACUUGGUUUUCCCCAUGAAUGACGGGCCAUCCGAACAAGGUAGUACCACGAACUUCCCAAGUGAAGCAGAUGAUGCUCAAGAAGUGAGCAAUGAACUGAAUGCUACAGUCGUUGCUCCUGAUGUGAGUAAUGAUCCAAAUGAGACAGACGAUAUUGUUGAAGAUGACUGCCCCUUGCCAUUGGUAGAAUACUUGCCCUCCUCACCUUAUGUGAAGAAUUUCAUUCACCGCAUUCUUGGUCCAAGUGUGGCUCCACGUAGGCGAAGGUUCAUUGCUGAGGAAAUGCAAGACAUCUUUGAUAGAAUUUCUUCUUCCAAAUCACCUAUAGACCUACUAGCUCACCGUGAUCAUAUUUUGGGGGCACUUGGUCUCUUGCGACCUAUGAUUAAUACCCUUGAAUCAGGCCAGGAUGAGUUUCAGGAAUUUGAAACGACUAUCCAACACAUUUUCGAGUUGGUCACUUCAUUUUCCAAGAACGUUGCCUUUGUGGGAGAACAUGCCCAUCUAGAUGUUGACCGCAUCAAUGCUUUGAUCACCCAAUAUGAGCAGUGCUUCGCUGCCAUAAAAACCAUGAGCGUGCAUCUAAUAGAACUUAAUAGUGAGCUUGCUGAUGUGAAUGCCACAGUGGUUGAUGUUGAAAAGGCAGAGAAGGAAGCUGAAGAGGCAGCAAGACGAGCUCAUGAAAUGCGACAACAGUUUGAAUCGAAGACAAGUGCCCUUAAAGAACGUGCAAACGAUUUGCAGCAAUCUUUAGACCAACAAUUCGAAAAGGAAAUUGGGCUUCGACAAUAGUCGCAUUUUCUUAGAAUCCAAACGGAGCCAAAAUUAAAAGAAAAUCAAACAAAAACAAAAAUUAGGAGGAUGAUGACUGACUUGUUGAGGAGGCGCAUACUCGGACUGGUACUCUUCCUCGUUUCUGAGGAUUCUGAGGAUGUUAGCUUCCAUGGGCGACUUGGGAAGUGUCUCAGACGCGUAAGGUCUGUUUUGGAAGAAAAAGGCUGAGAUUGCUUUCCGCAGUUGCAGCGGAGGAUUUCGGUGGUGUUGAAUGCCAUUGGUUUCCUUUAACAAAUGGGUAAGUUUCUGAUUUUGUGCAGAGUUUGGUUCCCUAUCACCAAAAGAUCAACAUUCAAAGUCAAUCUCCCACCAUCUGCCACUGUCAUCCUUCCCUAAAUUAUCAUUCACUCCACCACCAACAAUGCCUUCAAUUUCCUCCUCUUCGCUUUCACCAUCAAUCUCAUCAUCCCAGUUAUGCACACUUUGGUCCUCAUCUGGCUUGUACGUCUACUCCAAUCUCUUCAACACAUCACGGUCUUUCCAUUUCCCCACAACCGACACUGCCUCCUUCUUCGCCUUCCCAAUUAGAAUUUCGUUCCAAGAAAACCCCGAAUCCGCAACCUUCUUCAGAGCCCCGUCGCCAAAUCCCCCAUAACCACCGUCUUGAGGCAUCUCAGCUUGGCCUCCAUCACAACAUCCACGAAAUCCAAAUCAUCCGACACAAGCAUCAAACACUCAGCUCUCCUGUGAUCCAUCAUAUCCACAAUGUGAUUCCUCAAUGCAGCAUCCGCCCUCUGAGGUUUAUCCACCACGCUCCGAACCCAAAACCAGCCCGCUUCACCUCAUCCGCCAAACCCCUCCCUGCCUUGGGUGUCAAAACAUCCCUUGCAGCAUUCUUAUACUUUUCCAUCUUCAUUGAAUACUUACCAACCAGCUUCACCCUCCUGCUCCCUCUAGCAGACUCAAUCUGGCUCAACCUCUUCAUAUGCUCUUUUUCAUGAAUCUUAAAGUGGUUCAAAAGCUUCUCAUUAGUAUAAAAUCUCCUCCCGCAAACCCUACAAACGUUCAGUUCACCAUCCCUAAUCACAACCCUGUUCCUCUCUUUCCUUUCCCUAACAACCUGUGGAACAUAAUCAAGUGCAUGGCGGUUUGCAUAUGCUAUCAUAUGCCGAACAAGCCUGAAAGACGAAGCUGCCGUCUUGAGCUUAACGGCAGCUUCGUAGGGCGAGACUGAUUUGGGUGGUUUGGUAUCCAAAUCCCAGAAAAUCGCAAUUUCUGGAAUUUUUUCGGGUGGCAAACACGAUGUUGGGCUCGAAGAAUUAAAACCCGGUUCUGAUUGGAAAUGGCAAUAUCUAAUCAACAGGGUAAAUGGGUUUAGGGUUUCUGACCUUUUGGAUUGAACUGUACAGAAAAUGUGGUGAAAUUUGAGAUGUUUAAGCAUUUCCACGGGUUUCAAGGUCGGUGUUUUUUAUUUUCGAUGAACUGCAAAAAGAAACAAGAGACCAAUAAACGAUAAUAGAGAAACCAGAGGAAACAGAGAGCCUUGUGAACUUGAAGCUUACGAGUAAGCAUUGAGUUUUCGCCGAGUUCGGCUCGUAUGAAUGUGACUUGGUUUUUUAGCGGGUUUUUCCUUUUUCUCGUAAAUUCGUUUUAAAACCCGAUUUUACAAAUUCGCUAAUUUUUCCUUCCUCUAUAAACUCAAAAUGGAAAAACAAUUUCACUAAACUCAACCAAAAAAAAAAAGAAGAAUUUAUCUUGCCUAUCCUCUCUCUAGAAUGCUAGGUAUGAUGAAUAUGGCUUUUUUUAUCUUUUUAAUUCUUUAAGUUUUAGUAACGAUUGUGAUGAAAAUUAUACUUAAAAAAUAGUAAAAGAUAACAGUGAACAAAGCCAAACAAUCCAAAUAGUAAUAUAAACCCAAAUAUUAAAUUGCACUGAAAUUUCGUACCUGGAGGCAACUGAGGAAUGGGAUCAGGCAGAGAGAAAGGUUCAGGCUCUGGAUCAGGCAAAAAUCAAAGCUUUUUACUCUGAAGGCGCUCACGAAGGCCAGAUACGCCGUGAGAGAAGGAGACUUGGGGCAAUUCCUUCAAAUUGUACACAUGUUUUCUUUGAGAAGCAAAGCUCUAGUAAUAAGGAAGUUGGUCGAGGUCGUGACAGGGAUGAUUGAUGGUGUGAAAUGGAUGCUAUUUCUUAUGGCAAGGCCAACUCUAUAAAUGAAAUUUGCUAUCCCUUCAAAUUGUACACAUGUUUUCUCUUUGAGGAAUCAAACAGUAUUCUGAUGACAUUAUUUACAAUGAGGAAUUUGGAAUUAGUUUCUAGAAUAAAUUGUUUGGUUGGUCAUUAAAAAUAUUAAUUUCUUGUGUUAAGAAAAUUACACUUUAUAUGUAAUGGUGGGGUUGGGGAAAAGAAAGAAAUCUGCAAAUAAUAACACACAUAACACAAGUCAUGUAGAUAUUAUGUUGAAGUUUUGAAGAAGCUCAUCUAUAUACUGAUUAUAAUAUAAAAAAAGUUAAACAUUCAAAAUUCCACAAAUUGUCGUAGUUAAUGAAAAUGUUAAAGGAGAAUGCAAUUCAUUAAUUAAGAUAAAAUAAUACAUUCACAAUGUGUUUAAAUUGAAAUAAAUAAAUAAAGAACACAAGAAAAGUUGCUCAUAAAACUAAGAGAUAAUCACUUUCAAAACUUUACACUAUUUUGGAUAAAUUUUAUUUAAAAAGUUAUAAACUCAAUUUUUAACAAUUAAAAAAACAAAAUAAUAAAAAUAAAAAAUAUCCAAUUGGCACACACUAAUGCGUGUGGCAAGGAGCUAGUUAUAUUUAUACGAUGAAACAACGAAGUACAUAACAUGUUGAUGUCAAAAUUUGAUCAACGAGACUAAAACCAUAAAGCCAUAAAAACACACGAAAAAACACUCACAAUAUAACGUUGUUCACUCAAAUUCAUGUUUCGUUUAGGAUCACUAGUGUAGGUUUCACCAUACAGUUUAUUUUGUUAAGGAAUAUUAUAGGUUCUUAUAUUCUUACAAUAAAAAAGAAUAUUAGGUUCUGAUAUUCUUACCAUAAAAUUGGCUCAAAUUGAUAUGUUCCCUCUUUUUUUUGUUUCUCUCUUUUCCUUUUCAUUUUAUGCUUUGCUGUGCUAUUGCUAAGUUGAUCCGACAGCUAGCAAUAACUUCCCCACCUUUCAUUUUAUGCUUUAUUGGUGACCAGGGAUGCUUAGCAACUUUCUUCAUCCGCCCUUCUUCCCAUGUACUAACCGGUGAUAGGUCAGCAUCUUAGAUAAGAAUCCCAACCCAAUCAAACAGUGACAUCUGUAAAUAUUCAAAAUUGGAAUUUGCUGGUGAUAGUUGAUGAUUGCAUCUUUGUCCGACCAAAAAUAAAAAGAAAAAAAAAAUUGGAAUUUUGCUGGAGUUGCUUCCUUGACUUUUCCACCUUUGUAUGCAGUCCAUUUUACACAAGGAGCCACGUUUGAGAGAUAGCAAUAAACAUGUAGAGAUGGAUAAAUAGAGAGGGAGAAAGAGAGGGAGCGAGCUUUCUGUAUUUACACCGUUCAGGGGAAAAGAAAAAAAACUAUUUCAUGCCAAACUAACUACGGAUUCUUUAAUUGAAAAAAUAACCACAUAUUAAUCAUCCUUUGGAACAUAAAUGCCCCGGUAAUUGGCACUAAAGUAUCUAAAGUUUACGAAAUUAAGGAUUUUGAUGCAAACCUAAAUUUGGAAAAGAGGGCACCAAUUCAUGUAAAAUAUGGUGUACUUAGUAUUAGGGUAUUGUGUGAUAGAGUGCAUUAAGGUAUUUUUUGUAUACCAUAAGGUGUACUUAGUUAAUUUUACAUUUUGAUUUAAAUAUUAGGGUGUAUCUAUAUCAUAAGGUGUACUUAGUUAAUUUUAGAUUUCGUUUAACAACAACAACCACUACUACAUUUUAGUAUUUGCGCGACGAAUCCAAUUUCGUCGCGUAGACUAACUUCUAGUCGCACGAAUGCAAGCGCGACAUAAAAAUCGUCGCGCGUUAUCUGUCGCGCAAAGAUCGUGAAGAAAGACUUUGAGCGACCGAUUCUACGACUCGUCGCGCAAUUUUGUGCGACGGUUAUCCUUCGUUACACAAAAGGUUCAGAGACGACGAAAACGUUCGUCGCACAAAAUUACGCGCGACGAAAGUAGAUUCGUCGCCACAACAAUGCACGGCGAAUAAUUUUCAUCGCGCAAUACGUCUCGUAGACAUUUGCGGCACCAAGAGUUCAUCGUCGCGCAAUUCGGUACACGUAUUGCGCGACGAAACAAUCACUACAAGGAAAAUCCCUUUUAGCGACGAAACAGGAUGGUCGCUAUAACACCAAAUUUCGUCGCCAAAGAAAAAUAGCGACGAAUAUUUUUGGUUGCCAAGGUCGUCGUGGAAAGCUCGUGGCUAAAAGAUACAAUGCGACGAAAUAGGAUUUCGUCGCUAAAAGAUUUUGGCGACCAAAUGUGUCGUCGCUAAACAGCUCUAAGUUGGUCGCCUAUAGAAAGGGAGUUGCCACCAAUACCAAAAAUUCCCGCGAACAUGGAAUUAUUUGGCGACGAAAUAAAUAUUUGGUCGCCUGAAUAUUUCAGCGACGAAUUUUUUGGUCGUGAAAGAUGUAGUUUAUUUGUAGCAUAUGUUAGUUGGUUUGGUUAUUUUCAUAAUGAGCGACGAAACUGAUUGGUCGCCAAAACUAUAGGUAUUGGUAUUAUCAGAUGGAGCGACGAAAACUAAUUCGUCGCCAAGAUGUGUAUUUAUUUAUUUAUUCUAUAUAAUUAUUUAUAUUUCAAUCUUUGUAACAGAAUAUUAAUUAGUCCAUAAAGAUUUUGAAAAACAGUAAAUAGAUGAAAUUAAUAGAAAUAGGAUAAUUACUAUUCAAAAAGAUACUAGUUGUUUAAGCACACAUCAGUGUAUUCUAGAUACAAAAGUCCCCAAGGUAUGUAUGCUAGAUACAAAAACCAUCAAGUAGCUGGAUACAGAAGCCCCAUAGAACCCCCAAGGAAGGCUAGAUACAAAAACCAUCAAGUAUGUAGAUGUACACACAACCUAAUGACUAUUUCCAAUAUCAUCAAGAUCUUCAUAAACAUUACGUGAACCACCACUAUUACCUUGAUCAUCAUGACAAGGAUAAUCACCAACAUGCUGGGACGGAACUAAAUGUGAGGGUAGAGGACCAUCAUGGGUUCGCAUCCACUCAAUGACAUCCAAAAGUUUACCCACUGUGCCCUGAAGCUCACUUACUGUGCCUUUCAACUCACCAACUGUGCUUUGAAGUUCCUCAACCUUUUGCUCUGUAGCACAAGAAGAGGCAAAUCCACCACUAUGCGAACUCUCCACUCGGAGACUAGAACCCAAGCCUCGAAUCCUCUUGCCCUUUGCAACCCCAAGUUCUACAGUCAUGAUCUCUAACUGUUGUGGGAUAGGGAGUAUGACUUGAUCUAGUGGAGUUCCUGAACUCUCUGCCACUUGUUGCUUGGCUUUCUCAUACUCUUCAUUCAUCUUCUUCUACAAAAAGAAGCAAAAUAUAGAUAUGUCAAUAUAUAUAAAUGCAUAAAAAGAAUGAAGUAAAUGGGAUGCCAGUAUGAUCAAUUGUGUUCAUAAACUAGCAAUGCCAAUUAUCCUAAUCAAACAGUCACAAUUAAAAAAAAAAAAUUCAACUUGAAGCAAAUAAUAAAAGGAAAAGGCACAUAAAAAAUGGAAUAGAUCUCUUCGGAUAUGCAGAUUACAGAAAGUUUGAAAAUACUCACAGAUCUUAUAAGAUCUUUUUGAGCAUCUCCUGAAAGCAACAACAAUACAAACAAGAAAAUUCCAAAAACAGGGAUUAUAAAUAUUUGCCCAGCAACAUGGCCCCCUUAUAAUUGGGUCUAUUUUAACUUCUAAGAGCACAACGGGUUAUUAGAACUGAAUAUGUUUAAUAGGUGUUUGGAAUUGGGCCUCCAAAGAGGAAGAGAAGUACAACUGCAGCAGCUCUGUUUCAAAACGAUCUUAGCAUGCACUUUUUUUGGUUGUCAAUAUAUAAGAUCAUGAAAAAUUUAGAAAACUCAAGACACAUAUCUUCAUUGUGUUUCUAAUUAAUUAGUUCUAUUUGCAAUGGAUAAAGCCUUUAUAUGAUGCUAAAACCAAAGUACACAAUUAGCAUCUAAAAUAAUGGGCCGUCAAAAACUUGCAUGACCAGUUGGCUGAUCUUUUGGAUUGCAGAUUAUGCAAGUCAAUAGUUAAUUGUUAGCAGGUUUAUGUAUGCCUUACCCCUUUAAUUUCAGCAGCCUCGUUGAUCCACAUGCUCUUACCCUUAAGCAUAUGCAUGUUGUUCCAAUUGCUAAUGUAUGUAGGAUUUUCACCCUUCUACAUUUUCCCAACAAAAAGAAAAUUAGAAAUACUUGAAAUUAUUACAAUAUAAUAAAUAAAGAAAGAUUUAAAGUGACCAAAAAUUAUAAACCUCUCUAGCAGCUUCCAUAUGUUUUAGGAAAGGACGUGACCCCCCUGUAUGAUCGAACUCUUUCUUUUUUCUGUUCUCAGCAUUGGUCUUGCAGCGUUGCUGUUUUGAUUAAAUACAUGAAUUGUUUUUUUUUUCUUUUUUCUAUUUGAUACUUAGAAUAAGUUCCCAAUCAAAAAAAAUGAAAACAGCAGAUGUUAUGAUACAUUAAAUACCUGAUAUUGCUCAUUUGUGUACAACGUAUCAACCAAAUAAUGCCACUCUUCUAGAGUCCUUCGAGUACCAAAGAUCUUUUCAGGGGGAGGUGUUUCUCGUGCAAGAGCAGGGUCAGAAGCAUAUUGCUUAUAGUGUCUGUGGAGCUUUGCUUUCCAUUCUUUAUAAGUUGAGUGCAUAUGGUCAUUAAUAAAUUUCCAUAUAUCCGGAUCCAUUAAGUCCACAUCAAACAUGAACUAAUAUCAAUUAACCAUAAACAAAACAAGUAUUAGUUAUAAUUUUGCAAUGCAAAUAGAAACAUUGAAGGACAAAUUUUUCAGUUCCCCCUAGAAUACAAUGAAGAAUUGAAAUAAAAAGAGAGCUAAAUGAACAAAAUUAAAUUAUAAUCAACGAAGAAUUAGAUAAGAUUACCUGCAAUCCCAGUGCCAUAUCUUUCUUCAUCUCCAAGCUCACUUUUUUCAUCCCUAAAACAUUCAAUGGAGCUUUAUUGCGAGUGAUUAACCCAAUCUCAGAGACGAACAGUUUCUGAGCCUCAAUAGUCGCCACCAAUUUCUGGGAUGGAUCCAUCCGUAUUGGAAUCAAACUCUUCCUUUUUUUCACAACAUCACAAGUGCCAGCCCCCACAGUUCGGCCACGAGUGUUCUUCCUCUGUGGAGAAGUUUGAGUAUGCGUUCCCUCAUCUAGAGACCCAAAAAAAAAAAACAAAAAACAGUAACUAGAGUGCACCAAAUAAAGGUAUAAAAAUUAAAUGCACAAAAUAUGGUAUCAGUUACCCUGUUGGUGGGAACCCCCUCCUGAGGCUGAUGAAGUACCUUGUUGUGGCUGAGUUGAUUGUUGUUGUGGCAGCUGACAUGGUUGCUCAAGUGGUUGUGGUGGUAGUAGAGUUGAAGUUUUCUUCCUAUUGUUAUUGUUGCUUAAGGUAGCAGCCCUCGUAAGUGUCAUUCUACAAUUACAGACACAUAAACAAAGAGAGAAUACAACAAUAUACUACCAGAUCAUUCCUUGAAAAAAUAAACAUAAAUUAUUGAACAUCAUACUUCAGCUGUAAUGAAUUGAUUCUCAUCACAAACAUGCUUGAGAUAAAUGAAUUAUUCAUCUAAAAAUAAUUGAACAUAAUAUUUUAUCAAUAGGAAAGAAAAAUAACAUGCACAUGCAUUUCAUUACAUGGGGGAGGACACAUGCAAACCUUAUCCGAAGAUAUUUCUUCAAUAUACAGACCUUACCCCUUAAAACAGAUUAAGAAAAACAUAUAGUAACUUGAAGAUAAUUAAGAAACAUAUAGUGCCUAAACAAAAGACAGCCUAACACUUCAAUCCCAAAUCACUAUAAUCAUCACUGUGAACACUGCCUUCAUCAUCACCCGAAUGUAUUUCUUCAAUAUCAUCAUCAUCAAUAAAAUCUUCAUCCUCCAUAUCAGUUGGGACAUGUUCAAAAUUAAUAUCUUCGACAACAAUUUCAGGUUCAACAUACUCUCUACGAAGUGAUGGACUGAGUAGAACAUUAUCUUCUGGUGCAUGUCUGACACUAAUAUGUGCAAUUUGGUCCACAUCAUCGUUGUAUAGUGUUUCUGCCUCGUGAGCCACCUCAUUCUCAAGAACAUCCCACACAUGUCUAUGUGGAAUUUUUUGAAUUACCUUCCAACCAUGACCCAAGGAUGGGUCAUCAAGGAAAAAGAUUUGCUGUGCUUGUUUUGCUAGCACAUAAGGAUCAUCUUUGUACCAUAAAUUCAUUGAGUUCACUGACGUGAGAUGGUAAUCAUGAACAAGCCUAACAAUCUUUUUCUUUCGCUUCACAUCUGUACUUGUAUUGUACCACUCACACUUAAAAAGGAUAACAUGAUAGCCAUAUGUGAAUCCUAUUUUAACAACACUAACUAAUCUACCAUAAAAAUUACUUUCCUGAUCAGCAUGAGUUCCUGGUACCAUGACCCCACUAUUUUGAGUUGUGCGAGUUUCUUCUAUAUCUUUGACAUGCCACCGAAUUCCGUUCACAACACAUCCUGUAUACGUACAAACUCUUUCAUCAGGACCAUAUGAUAAUGCAUACACUUCUUUAGUCACCAAUGUUGAUUCCUCACUAUACAAUGCUUUGACAUGAUGCUUGAACCAUUGGGGAAACGACUGCCUAUGUCUAUGUUCUAUGUUAAACAAGCUUUCACGCUCUAAUAUUUGACGAUGCUCACUGAAAAAAUAAAUAGAAAGUUAAAUCAAAGCAAUAAGAAAACAGAGUGAUAAAAAUAGAAUUAAUUACAUUUACAUACUUUCUAAAUGGUUCAAUUUCCUCGCAAUUGUCCAAGAUAUACCAAUAAAUUGGUUCCAUUUCUCCUUCAGACAAUUGAAGAAAUUUAUAGCCAUUAAAGGGCCGUGCAUUUUGAGAAAAUACUGAGAGCUUAACAUUGGCUUCGCCACCAUCAUCAUUUCGUUCAGGACGAGAGAAAACAGUCUCCACAUUACGAAAAUACAUUGAACAAAAAGUUAAUGCUUCAUUUGCAAUGUAUCCCUCAACAAUUGAACCUUCUGGUCUAGCUCUAUUACGUACAUAGCCCUUUAACUUUCCUAGCAUCCUGUUAAUCAUUGUAUAUUAAUAUUUUAAAUACAAAUGAAAGAGAAUCUAAUCAAAAUAAAUAUAAAAAGAUGAUGACUGAGUAUUACCUCUCUAUCGGGUACAUCCAACGAUAUCCUACAGGUCCCCCAAGCUUGGCCUCACGUGGUAAAUGAAAGGCCAAAUGAACCAUGACAUCAAAAAAGGCGGGUGGAAAUAUUUUCUCAAGUUUGCAUAAAAUGACCACAAUGUCAACCUCUAAUCUGUCCAAAUCUGCAACAUUCAACGUCUUUGCACAAAUUUGUUGGAAGAAACAUGCCAAUUCUACAAGUGGCGCGCACACUUCUUUUAUCAAGUAUGGCCGAAUUCCAAUAGGUAAAAUUCGUUGUAACAAAACAUGACAAUCAUGAGUCUUCAAACCUGAGAUCUUCCCAUCUUUGACAUUUCGUGAUAUAUUAGCAGCAUAACCAUCCGGAAAUUUUAUAGAUUUCAAAAAUUCACAAAAUGCUCGACGAUCAGCCGGUUCUAAUGUAUAUUCUGCAGCAUACUUCUUUAUCUUGCCAUUUUCAUCUUUAUCUAAAUGCAGAUUUCUUCGUAUAUUCAUGUCUUUCAAAUCCAAACGAGCAUUGGGUGUGUCUUUUGUUUUUCCUUCUAUGCUCAACAACGUUCCAACAAUGUUGUCGCAUAUAUUCUUCUCAAUAUGCAUUACGUCCAAGUUAUGUCUUAUUUUCAACUUGGACCAAUACUCCAAUUCGAAAAAAAUACUCUUAUUUGUCCAAUUUAACUCCAUAGGUGUCCGCUUUCUCUUUCUGUCCAAAUUAUCAGGAUGUUUACCAAGUUUACGAUGCACAAGGUGAUUAAACUGAAGUAAUAUGUCAUCACCAGAGAAUUCUCUUGGGGGAUCCCUCAUCUCAAUAGUUCCAUCAAAAUUUUCAGAAUCCUUACGCCAAGGGUGAUUCUUUUUCAAGUAGCGACGGUGCCCCAUAUAACAAAUUUUAUUUCUCAGCUUGGUAGAUGUUGUAUCCUCAAGACAUACGGGACAUGCCUUGUAACCUUUUGUACUCCAACCGGAUAAAUUCCCAUAAGCAGGAAAGUCAUUGAUUGUCCAUAUUACAGCUGCCCUCAUGUUAAACCUUGUAUCAGUAAACUUAUCAUAAGUUUCAAUACCUUGUUCCCAUAACUCUUUUAGCUCAUCAAUUAAAGGACGCAAAUACACAUCCAACUCCUUGCCUGGUGCCUUUGGGCCUGGAAUAAGCAAAGUCAUUAUUGAAUACUGUUGUUUCAUACACAUCCAAGGAGGUAGAUUGUAAGGAACCACCAUCACUGGCCACAUACUAUAAGAUGUGCUCAUAUUCCCGAAUGGGUUAAACCCAUCUGUUGCAAGGCCUAACCUUAUAUUUCGUGGCUCUUCUGCAAACUCAGGGUACAUCUUAUCAAACUCUUUCCAAGCAAUAGAAUCUGCUGGAUGCCUCAUAACACCUUCAUCAUCAACUCGUUUAUUCUUAUGCCACCGCAUGUGACCUGCUGUAUGUUCAGACAUAAACAACCUCUGUAAUCUUGGCUUUAAAGGAAUAUAUCGCAACACUUUUUGGGGCACCAUUUUUUUCUUUUUACUAGUACUAGGUUUAUACCUAGGCUCAUCACACACUGGACAUUUAUCUUUACUUUUAUGCUCUUUGUAAAACAAAGCACAGUCGUAAAUACAUGCAUCAAUUUUUUCAUGCCCCAAACCCAAAUCUUUCAACAUCUUAUUAGCGGCAUAGAAUGAUGGAGGAAUGCUAUGAGGCUGUGGACAAAUAGCACUGAGUAUUUGUAACAUUUGAUCAAAUGACUUGUUGCUCCAAUGAUGAAGUACCUUCGUAUGCAUGAAUUGUACCAUUGCUGUCAAAACUGAUGCAUUGCUACCGGGAAACAAUUGUCGUUGAGAUUCAGCAAUCAACUUCUCAUACUUAUCCAUCUCAACCCUAUGUACAUCGGUAUCAUCCCCCACAUCUUCAUUGUCCCCCAAUGUAUCAUCUACAACUCCCAAGUCUGGUGGGAAUGCAUCAUUCAAAAUAUUAUGCGUAUAAUCAUCAAGACGAGGUGCCUCUUGAGCAGUUGCAGGAGGUGAAGCUUGUCUUGUUAUCUCGAAUUGUUCCCCAUGGUAUAUCCAUGUGUGAUACACCACUGACAUCCCAUACUGCCAUAAAUGUGCUUGGACAACCGGAAGAGAAUGGCAAUUCAUAUUCUGGCACUUCAUACACGGACAUGGAGUCUCAUUCUUCUCAUCCACAUGUUGGCUUGCAACUUCCAUAAAUGACUGAAUUCCAGCACGAUAUUGAUUACUCAACCUGUUUUUAUUAUGUAUCCAAUCCCUGUUCAUCUCUAACACACCUUGUCUCUGUCUUCUUAUACCUCCUAUAAUGGGCCUUAUCCAAUUCAAUCGGUGAUGACUUGAAGCAGUUCCAAAAUUUCAUAACAUGAUUAGAUCGAACACAUUUAUAGAUAUAAGCAAAUAACUCUUUCACAGAAUGACAAGCUAAUAACUCUUUCACAUGAAAAUUAUAAAAAGAGAGAUUCCAUAUUAAUUAUGCUUUUCAAGGGUAAGUAUCAUGGUGACAAAUUUUUUUUACAAUUAUUUCAACAUUAUUUUGCAUAAUUUAGUUGAACCCAUGAAAACAGUUUAAAAAAAAAUGAAGGCAGGCACAAGAUUUGUAGCUAUUCAUACCUCUAAAGCAAAUAUAGCCUCUUAAGCAAGUAUUCCAAACAACCUAUUGGAAAAAAAUAUAUAUAUUCAGUUAGACACAGUAAACCCAUGACACAAGUCAAAAAAAAGAAAAAAAGGCAGAUGCCAGAUUUUUAGCUAUCCACACCUCUUAAGCAAGUAAUUCAAACACCCUACUGCAAAAAAGAAAAAGAAAAAGAAAAUCUGUUAGACAAUGUAUCUUUGGAGGGCUUGAGUCCAAAUUAGUCUUCAAACUCAAAAUAGUAUAUGCCUUCGCCUCUAAGUUUAACCACUCAUCAUUAAACAAACAAAAACAUUAUUUUUCUGAGUUAACUCAAAACAGUAACGUAAUAAGACAUCACAGGAAGCACCAAAUAUCCAAGAUAAAAGUCUCAACAAAAAACCAAAUGGUUCAAAAUAAUAUUGUAAUCAACGCAUCCACUUUAUACAGUUAUAACAUGUACAAUGAAUAAAGUCAGGCUUAAGGUCACAUGUCUCUCAUGUAGUAUAUGAAUUAUCUGAAAUUAGUAAUUAGGCUCUUCAUCUCAAUUCCAUAACAAAUUAUAAUUCAUUACAGUUCUUAAUUAUUAUGCCUUAUAAAUUAUUAUAAAAACCAUUUCAAAUUAACAAAAAUUUACCCUUGAAGCUAAUUGAAUGACCUUCCAUAAUAUUCAAGCUACCAAUGAUCAUCAUAUAAAGCCAAAAUGGUUUGUUAAAAAAGAAAAAAAAAACGUAGCUGGAAGAGCUUGAAAAGGAUUUCCAAAACAAUCAAACCAACAUUGAAGGAUGAUACUCCAUCAGUUAAACUCUAUUGUCCAAUUAAGUGGUACUACACUCAGACACCAAUACUAAGGGAAAGAAAAAUAAUUCCUAAACUGACCAGUUAAUCUAUGGGACGAUGGCCCUGCAGCUAUAGCUUAUAUAUAAAAUAUAGAGACAACUUUGCAGCUAGUUUAUACCUAAACUAUAAAGAGAACUCAAUAAGCUACAUUGGCAAAAAAAUCAAUAACAAUAACAAAAAUAAAAAAAACAUAAGCUCACAGACAAAGGCAAACGAACCUUGAAACGAAUACACCCACAGACCAACUUCCAACUUCUAACUUUUUACUUCAAUUAUAUAAAUGAAUUGUUAUAUUCUUUCUUCCAAUAGAUAGUAAAGAAAUUCAGAAUUAAUCCAGAAGUAUCAAGCAAACAUUCAAGACUUGGAAAACAACCAAUCAGACUCAAAGCAUUAAAACAUAAAAAAAAUGAAAUAAUUAUUGGGUACGUGUGCAAGUGAAACAUCUCAAAUUUGAACAGAACCCACAUCAAAUGCAAAACAGGGCAUUCAUAUCAGACACAGAACCCUACUCAAAUUUGACAUAGAACCCACAAUAAUUAACUACUUGAAAAAGAAAAGUCAUUUUAUUCAGAAAACUUGGACUGUUGAAUGUUCAAGCAUUUAAGAUAUCAAAAAGGAAAAAUCAAGCACUGAAAUUCAGUUUCGAUUUAAAUUCCUGGGUAUCUAUUUUCGAUUUUCCUUGAUUAUUUUCUCAACAACCAAAUGGAAUCCACAACUGAAAAUCAGAGCUCAAAAGAAAAUGAAGGUAAGAGAGACAAGAUAGACUCACCAUAAGCUUUCCGUUGAAACACGUAGUGAGGAGGACUUCGGAGAUGGAGUUUUCAGAUGGCCGUCGAUUCCUGACCGUGGUAGGGAAAGGCGUGCGAGAUGGAGUAUCGCUUGCUGACGUUGGUGGAGGAUUGCUCUGCCGACGUCGGUGGAGGAUUCCUUUGCCGAUGUAAAACAGUGAAGAGUGGGUCUGAGAGGAAAUAACCAAUCGGGAACUUUUUAGUUCAUAUUUUUGUAUUUAAACUCUCCAGAUUAGCCCCAAAAACUAUUUGGUCGCCCAUAUGCUAAUAUACAUAAAACUACGUCGUUUUAUGGCUUACAUUUUUAAAAGCACAAUGAUCUGCGACGAAAACCAAAUAGUCGCUGGCCCCACGAAAUUUUUACGCGCCAAUUCUAACUUAGCGACAACACAUUAAAACUCAGCGACCCAAUAUUUUCGUCGCCAAAACUUUUGAAGUUUCGCGCGCACUCAAUUCCGCAAAUCGCGACCAAAUAUACGUUUGGUCGCCAAGUCCUUGCCUAACCACCAAAAACUUUCGUCGCCCUUAGUUGAUAAAUUAGUCGCUAUUUAGUUGACUCAAGUCAUCACGGAUGUCUAAAAAUCACAAAUCUUUUGGCGACCAACUGGAAAAAUUUUGUCACCGAUUCUCUUUUUGGCGACGCAAAUAUGGUGCGUCGCUAAAAAUUUCGUCGCAAAAGAGGUUUUUCCUUGUAGUGAAUGUUGUCGCGCAUAACCUUUUGCUCGACGGCAAAUUGGGUCGCGCGAUACGUGCCCACAAAAUUUGUGCGACGCAAUACUGUUGUCGCAGAAAUCCAUUUUAGCGACGAAAACGUUCAUCGCGCAAAAAUAAUUAUAUGUAUUUAAAAAAAAUGAAACAUUAUUUUUUCGGAAUAUAUAAAUUUGCGCGACGACAAAGCUUUCGUCGCGCAAAAUUAAUAUAUACAUUUAUUAUAUAAUUAUAAUAUUACUUUUGUUUUAUUUUAUAAAAAAAUAAAUUUGGUUUUCUUUUUUGGGUAAUAAAAUGAAAUUCCAAUAAUAAAAAAAUUGAAGUCAAUAACAAAUUUAUUAUAUAAAAUAAAUGUAUGCUACAAGAGAAAGAUUUAAAAAAUAAUUACGAAAAUAAAAAAACUAAUCGAAUAAUGUUCCAAAAUCUACAUUAUCGUCUGGCACAUGCGGUUCAGAGGUCUGGGGGUCUACAGGGGCCGGCGUCUGGUGGGGAUGCUCGGGAUGGACGGGCUCGGAGGUCGGCGCAUCAAAAUGCGGAACUGGAAUGCCGGACUGUGCGAGAGACUGCAGAAUGACCGACAUCUGACUCUGAAGAGUGGCCACCUAUGCUGUCAAAGCAGUGACCUGACUGUUUGACUGCUCUGAUGAACGGGGUUUGGGUUCCCUCCGCCUGGCAUUCCCUAUCCCUUGACAAUAUGUCCCCGGUCUCCUCCCUAGAGUCUGAUCCAAUGUCUCCGUCAAGAUCUGAAACCCAACAUCCUGUGCAGGAUCCACAGACUCGAUCGGAGUAUCGGGAGGAAGUUGGGAGGCGGACUCCUGAAGAACCAACUGGCUCCUCUCCACCAUCGUCGUCUGUUUAGCAUAACAUAAAAUAUAAAUUCAAACAUUCAUAUAAAAACCUUUAAAGUUGAAUGCGUAACAUAAGAAUUAAAAUUAAAUAAUACUUACAUGAAGGGACUCGGCCAACUCAUUCCCAGGUCGAACAUAAACGUCGCCAAAGAUGUCGAUAUCUGAGAAUUUGGACCCCCCCAAAAUUGAACAAAAGAAGAAAAAUAUUAGUACGAAAAAAUAAAUUAAGAAUAAUGAAAAAGUAAAAAUUAAAUAAAAAUUAUUUUAUUAUUACCUGACGCCGUGCAUCCAUCCUAUACGAGAAGGGCCUGGAACCCGAAUGAUGGAGAAGAGUCUUCUUCUUCCUAUUGCCCUUAUUGAUUUGGGCUUUAUUCUGUUAUACAAAAAAUAAAACGUAUUAGUUGAAAUUGAAAUUAAAUAUAAAAAAUUAAAAAAACAUUAGUAAGAAAAUAAAAUAAAAUAUAAAAAAUUACCACAAAAGCGGGCGCCUGAAAAUGAGCGCAGAGCCACGCCCAACUAUCCUCCCGGCCCUCAAGCUCUUUCGGACAACCCUCUUGAAGAGCGACUUGCGGAUCAUCAAACGCCUCAAAAUGGUGGUUCAAGUCGCUCUUCCACUGUUUGUACCUCUCAGAGAAGAGUCUGUUGACGUACGCCAAUGACUCUUCGUCAAGGUCCUCCAAGUUGUAGUUCGUCUGCAAUAAAUUAAUUACAUACAUUUAAAAAAUAUAAAUAUAACGUUUGAAAGAAAAAGAAUGAAAAGGCCUACAUACCGACAACUGGCCGCGAACCUCAGUCUUGGUCUCGUCAGGCAUCACCUUCCAAGACUUCCAUUGCAUCGGGCAAUAGCUCCGAAUGACAUGACCAAUGUCGUCGGCCAAGGAGCUAUGCAACUCCGCCGUCGGUGCAGCUCGAUGUCGCUCGUCGUAACCGAUGUUGAUACGACUGUUGGUCACUCGGGUGACCUUCGCCGUCUUCAACUGCCGACACGGCCCUCGGGUGUUCUUCUUGGCUGCAAAGAAAGAUGACAUGAAUGUUAAAUAAAUAACAAAUUUAACAAUAAAAUACACACACACACAAAAACAAAAACAAGAAAUAAAAAAGAAAAUUAACUGGAGAAAAAGGAAAGCUAUACCUGGCUGUGACCCCGAUGCAUCAGUGGAUGUGGUGUCGGUGGUGCUGGAGGGCCGAUGACGCCGCCUGGCGCUAACAGGCUGCGCCACUGAUGACGCUGAUGAGGCAGGCGCCUGGGACCCCGCAGGUCCAACUGCCAACUGGUCUAUCAAUGCUGGCGCAGUGGCAGCAGAUGUCGGCUGAGUCGGGGGCUCAGAACUCUGCGUGGUCGUCACCGCCCUACGACGUCUAAUCAGGUCUGACAUCUGCACAAUUUCAUUAAUACACAUACAAAUUAAUAAAAUAUACAAAUAUUUGAAAACACAUACAAUUUUAUUCAGAUUAUUGACCUAGGGUUUGCGAGUUCGGAGUAUCCGGGACUCCGAUCCACGAUCCGUCGAAUCCUAGACGAUCCAAGAAUACAAGGUACACCAUGCGUGAGUUUGAGUUCGAUCCAACGGUCUGAACAUAACAACCCCGGAAAUCGCACAAUAGGCAAAAUUCGUUCGAGACGCAAACAGUAACCAAAUUCCAAUCCGAAAACACCUACGCGCUCGUGACAACUACAGGAUUGCACUGGGACCUAAUUCAGGUGGCUACAGUAACCCACGCGCCGCCCCACGCGCCGGGAGCCGCGGGUGUCCAAAGCAAUACCAAUCGCUGGAAAAUUCUAAAAACUAAGGGCCAAGGUUCCUACCCUAGGUUCAAAACAUCAAUUGGAGCCACUUUUGUUCUCGGACAUACCCCGAAAAAUGGUCGGAAGUGGCCGGAAUUGAAAAUCAAAAACCGGCCCAAACUUAGGGUUUCAAAUUAACUGCCCUAUUACAACAAUUUCAGAAAUCCUACCCAACCAUCAGAUAAAGCAUCAAAAAUAGGACAGAAACCAUACCUCAGGUGUCGGAAUUGGUCGCCGGAGGAGAGAGAUCGACGGCGGCGCAGAUUCGAUGAAAAUCGAAGAAAUUGCGGCGGCUGGCUCGACGGUGAGGGCGGGGGAGCUCCGGGGUACCACCGUUGUGGCGGCCCGGUCCAAAUCCACCGGGGUAGGAGACGGAGCUGACGGCGGAGAGAGAGACGAAGAGGUUUAGAGUUUCUGCAAUCUGGGAAGAAUGAGGCCAUCGCGUGGUUUCUGAAAUUUUAUUCGUUUUUGCGCGACGAAGGUAAGCAAACGUCGCGCAAGAAAUUUUAAAUGACUAUUGCGUGACGAAACAGGUACGUGUUCCGUCGCGCAAUGUCGUUAAUCCGCCAAAAUUUGGUAAAAGGGUGGUUUUUGCCCGACGCACAACGCAGCUUGUCGUCGCGCAAUGUUGGCAGUCUGCCAAAAUUUGGGGUUUAGGGUUUAGCAGGCGAUAUUGAAAUCUUGCGCGACGCACAACGCAGCCUGUCGUCGCGCAAUGUUGGCAGUCCGCCAAAAUUUGAGAUUUAGGGUUUAGCGGGCGAGAUUGAAAUCUUGCGCGACGCACAACGCAGCCUGUCGUCGCGCAAUGUUUGCAGUCCGCCAAAAAUUGGGACCUAGGGUUUAGAACUUGCGCAACGUAUACGUGGACCGUCGCGCAAAAACUCGCAAAAAAAUGUAUGCUAACCGUCCAAGGCGAAAGACGGUGAAAAGGAGAAAGGGCUGGCUGAGAUUGCGCGACGAGUACGUACAGCGUCGCGCAAAAACUCGCAAAUUUUUUUGACUAAGUGUCCAAGGAGGAAGAGUGUGGAAGGUGAAAGUUCUGGCUGAUAUCGCGCGAUGAACAGCAUUGGUUUCGUCGCGCAAGACUCUUCCAUGCAGGCUAUGUGCGACCAAUUAUACUUUGUCGCGCGCUGUUGUAAUAACGGCAACAUUUUUGGUUUUAUUGUGGAGAGAUUGCGCGACAAAAAUGUAAACGUCGCGCAUGUCAGCUCUCUGUAAACGCGAAAAUAUUUGUAACCAAGUGUUGAAGGAGGAAGCGCGACGACGAGUCGUUUAUUCGUCGCGCAAGACCGUUGUUUGGAGGCUUUGUGCGACCAAAGAGAGUUAUUCGUCGCGCAAACCCUAAACCCUAAAGCGCAGAAACCCUAAACUCGGAACUAGUUUUCAUGAUCCAACCGGCAAACUUGUUUUUUUAUACUUCGAGAUCGUAUAUGCCGAAAAUCAAAAAAAACAAACAUUAAGAGAUCAAGUAACAGGACAAAACUUGUCGACGGUUCUAAAUGAAAAGUCAUGAUUUAACGUUUAUUUUUGCUCUGAUUUGUAUGAUUUUUUACAGCUACUUUUCUUUACCCUAUAUGAAUACAAUUACUAAAUUUGAUCUUCAAUUUCAGAUGUUUACACUAGGGUGAUACGACAUAAUGUUAUGUUAUAUUUAACGAAAGUAUAAGUAAACUAUUCAUUGUUGCUGAAUAUAUGGUUUUGAUGGCAAACGCAUUCUACGAAAAUAGGUUCAGCAAUCCAGCCGUCAAACUUGUUUAUUUGUACUUCGAGAUCUUAGACCCCAAAAAGCGAAAAAAUCAAACAUUCAGAGAUCAAGUAACGGGACAAAACUUUUGAACGGUUAUAAAUGAAAACUCAUGAUUUAACGAUUAUUAUAACUCCGAUUUUGAUGAAUUUUUACAGCUACACUCCAUGACCCUAUAUGAAUACAAUGAACUAACUCGAUCGUCAAUUUCAAAUAUAUAUGUGCAUAUAUAAUAUAUAUUAUAAAAUAAUAUAUAUUUGCGCGACGAACAUAUGUUUAUCGUCGCGCAAACUUUCAUCGCGUGACGGACGACACGUUGUCGCUCAAUUUUUUUACUUCACGCGACUAGUGUAUUUUGGGUCAUGCAAAAUUUGCACGACGAGGUUUACUUCGUCGUGCAAACAUGGCACGACGGGGUUUACUUCGUCGCGCAAGGGUUUUCAGUUUUGAAAAAUGUUUGUUGUCAAUAAUUUUCAAACUUUGUAUAAAAAUGUUUGGAUAUAUUUAUUUAUCAAUGUUUUAUAACAAAUUUUGUAUCAUUUUCAUUUUGUAAAUGUGUUUUGUCAAAAAAAAAAUUAAAAUUUAUUAUUAAUAGGGUUUCGAUAUAUUGAUUUACCAAUGUUUGAUAACUAAAUUUAUUUGAAUAAUGUUUCAGUUGUCCACAUAUAUAAGGUUUGGAUAUAACAACUACAUAUAUUCAAACAUUUGUAUUACACAAAGUCUGUACAGUAACAUAAUAAAAUUACAAAAAAUUUAAUUAUUCAUCAUCUGAACUAUAAUAACUUUCGUUAUCGUCGCUAUCAUCACUUUCGGUCUCCCAAUCCUCCUCCUCCUCCUCUACUAUAACUACAUCAUCUUCGCUGCUCGGGCCCACUACAACAUCGAAUCUUGGAAGAUCCCCGAGGUCAAUUGUAAUUGACUGAAUCGGUAUUUCGAUUGAAGACACUCCUUGUAUUUGAAACGGUUCUUGUAUAACAUGUGUAUCUCGAAGUGUUUCCGCAUCAUUUUCCAUUGAUGAUUCUAAACGUUGGUCAGCCACAUUGUCGACGUCGUUGUCAGUUAGGUCUAGUUCUGGUAUAGCAUACACGUUCCUAUGAUCCAUCUUCUGAACAACUUUCCAACUGCUCCCGGCUUUAGGGUCAUCUAGAUACACAAUUUGUGUUGCCAUGUUUGCCAAAAUGUAAGGGUCGUCAUCAUACCAAGUUCUGUUAAUGUUCACAGAUAGUAAGCCAUGGUCGAUUUUAACACUUCCCGGCCUAUUUGGGUUGCUAUCAAACCAUCGACACUUAAACAUGAUCAUUUGGUAUCGAUCUUUGUAAAGCAAUUGAACGACAUUUGUGAGUUUGCCAUAGAAAUUAAUGUUUGUACUUUCGCCUCCACCUGGGACAUGGACACCGCUGUUUUGCGUACACAACUUGUCAUCUCGUGCAGCCCCCAAAAAUUUAACGCCGUUAAUAUAACAACCCGAAAACAAUUCAGCGCGAAUCGGGCCGAAGGCCAAGUUAUAUAACUCAUCACUGUAAGUGGGGGAAUUCGAUGAUUUCAACUUAUUCACCUAAUAUAAUAGAAAACCAUUCACAUGUUAGUCUGAUAAAUUAAAUACUACAAUUUAUAUUUGUGAAAUACAAAACACUUAUAACUUACAGAUUCCAAAAACCAUUGUGGAAACAAUUCACAUUGUUUCUGGGCAACUAAAUGUGAUGGAUGUUCUCGCUUCAUCAUCUCUUCAUGCUCAUCUAAGUAUGCCAUUAUCUCGUCACAAUUGUUCAGUACGAACCAAUGCGCUACUUCCAUGUCAUUUCUAGAAAACGACUCUCCUCGUCCAGGAUCUCCAAAGGGCCGUGCGCUUUGGGCAAAAACAGAAAGUUUUUCCUUCUCAUACCUCCGUCGUUAUUACGCUGAGGACGAUUGAAAGCCGUCUCCACAUCUUUUAAAUACAUUCCACAGAAAGUAAGCGACUCAUAUUGAACCCAAGCCUCUAUAAUUGAUCCUUCGGGCUUCGCCCUGUUGCGUACACUUUUUUUCAGCUCUCCGAGAAGCCUGUCAAAAUAAAAAGAUAUGAUACAAAUUAGCAAGCCUGUGAUAAUGAUGCAUACACAAACGAAAAGGAUUAUAUACCUUUCUAUUGGAUACAUCCAGCGAUAGUUGACAGGACCAGCAAGCAAUGCCUCUUCUGGCAAGUGAACCAUCACGUGCAUCAUACUUGUGAAGAAAGCUGGAGGAAAUAUCAUCUCAAACUUGCAUAGGACUUGGACAAUGUCAUGGCGCAACUGCAAUAUGUCUGUCUUUCGCAAUGUUUUUGCCGUCAGUUGGGAAAAAAAUCUGGACAACAACAUAAUUGGCUUCACAACAUCUUUCGGCAAUAGAUGUCGAAUACCCACAGGAAGUAGGCGUUGCAUAAACACAUGGCAGUCAUGGCUCUUAAGUCCAGUAAAUUUACCCCCGUCAACAUUCACGCAACGUGCGAUAUUAGAAGCAUACCUAUCAGGAAACUUUACAGACGAUACAAACUUUAGAAACUCUUUUUUGUCAUUCGGUUUCAUAGAAAAGAAUGCAAGAUCCCUUCUUGCUUUAUCACUGUCCCUGUUCAUCCAUAAUCCCCUUCGUAUGCCCAUUCUUUCCAAAUCAAGACGGGCUUUGAUUGUGUCCUUUGUCUUGCCCUCGAUAUCUAGAAUCGUGCCCACCAAUGUGUCAAAUACAUUUUUCUCAACAUGCAUCACAUCUAGAUUGUGCCUCAAUUUGAGUUUCGACCAAUAUGGGAGCUCAAAAAGCAUAGGCUUGUGAGUCUAGUUCAUAUGUGUCGAAGGUCUGGUCCGGCUAACUGUUUUUUCGAACGGAGCAAAAUCCAAACGGUUAAGCUGUUCCAAGAUCUCAUCACCGGACCAUUCUCUAGGUCUGAGGCGACGCUCUGUGUUCCCGUCGAACUCUUUAUCUUUUUCCCGCCACUCGUGGUCCCAUGGCAACCAUCUCCGAUGACCAAGGUAACAAACUUUUCCCGCGUGCCAACCAGAAGUUACAUCUUCCUUGCAUACAGGACAUGCCAUAUAACCCUUUGUGCUCCACCCAGAAACCAUUGCAUAUACUGGAAAAUAAUUCACAGUCCACAUAACUGCUGCCCGCAAAGUGAACAUCUUCCCAGUUGAUUUAUCGUACGUGCGAACACCGUUUGUCCAUAAAUCCUUCAGCUCAUCAACCAGCGGCCUUAAGUAAACAUCGAUUGACCUCCCAGGAUCCUCAGUUAUCAAAACAGUCAUCAUCAUGUAUUCUUUUUUCAUGCAUUUCCAAUGCGGCAAAUUAUAUGGGAAUACGAAAAUCGGCCAAGUGCUGUGGUGUUGGUUUAGAACCCCAUACGGAUUGAAUCCGUCAGUGGCAAGUCCUAAUCUCACAUUUCGGGGAUCAGCAGCAAACUCGGGGAACGUUCGAUCGAACUAUUUUCAUGCCUCCCCAUCUGCAGGAUGCCGCAUUACAUCAUCGUCUACCCGUUUUUCCUUAUGCCAUCUCAUGUCUGUUGCAGUGUGCGUCGACAUAUACAAUCGCUGCAACCUAGGUUUCAGGGGCAGAUAACGCAUGACUUUUUGUGGGAUCUUAGUCGUUCUAUUCUGAGAUGUCAUUUUGAACCUCGACUCAUUGCAUAUAAGGCAUGUAUCCAACGUUUCGUGCUCCUUGUAGAAUAACAUGCAAUUAUUUUUGCAGGCAUGAAUUUUUUCAUAACCCAAUCCAAGACCAUUCAACACCUUCUGCGCGUGUUUAUGAUCUUUUGGCAAACAAUUGUCCGUCGGAAGCAUUCUCUUGAAAACCCCUAAAAAGUAAUCGAAACACAGGUUCGACAUACGAUACUUUAUUUUUCCGUGCAUUAGCUCUACAAUGGUCGUGAGAACGGAAAAGCUCUCGCACCCCGAGUAUAACUCUUGGUUUGCAUUUUUUAACAGUUUUUCAUAUUGUUCAAACUCCGCGCUGUCUAUUGGUGUUGGCACGUCAUCUUCCCUUUCGUGAUUGAUGUUGGUCGAUGCAAAUGGAAAAAUAUCCUCUAUAAUAUCCAUGACUUGAUCAUUAGGAUCCACAAUAUGUUCAACACUGUCCAUUCUUGUGGCAUUUGAAGACGAAGCAUAGUCUAAUUGUUCCCCAUGAAGGUUCCAAAUGCUAUAUGUCUCAAUCAUUCCAUUCCUUACUAAAUGAAAUCCAACAUUUUCAAUUGUCUCCCACAACGUGUUAUUACACCUCCUACAAGGACAUCGGAUUCUAGUUGCACCCGGGUUGUGUCUACGUGCAAACUCAAUAAAAUCCUCGAUUCCAUCCAAGUAUUCGUCUGAGCAUCUAUUUGGGUUCUAUAUCCACCUUCUGCUCAUAAUUCCUGAAACCAUAAUCACAACAUAACAAUCACAACAACUUCAUACGAAGUUAUAAUGUCACCUUAUGCCUCCGGUAAGGGCCCUAUCCCAUUCGGGAAUGCAUAGUUCUGUCACGUAACCUACGGCUACAUGAGAUUAGAUUUCGACAUGGAUGAAUUUCGGCAGCAUCUCGAUACAGUUCUUGAGGUGGGCAUAGGUAUUAAUACCUACGUACCACCCGAAGAACGUACCGAGAUGACACCGAAAUCUCCACAAUCGAAACCUAAUCCUGUAGCUGUGGAUUACGUGACAACACUAUGCAUUACCAAACUGUCCAAAUAGUGGGACAAUUCAAGAAUUAAUUGGACCGCAGUCAUGCUUUACGCAUCCAUGUACAAAAUCCAACUAAUCUCGAACGGGAAACUAAAUGUUACUAAACAUACAAAUAAAAGUACGAAGUUAAUUUCAAUUAACUUCGUACAUCACAACACAUUGUGCUACAUCACACACAAUUUAACAACAUAAUAUAAAUAUAACUUCAGAAAAAAAAAUGUACACAUAACAAACUAACUUUAACAUUUUUAAUAUAUAAAACGAAUAAAAUACCGUGUCAAUCGUUCUCCACCAAUCGCUAAUUAUAAAUAUCCCUAACGAGAAUAAAAUUAAUAGCGUUAGUACGAAUUUACAUUAAUACUUAUAAAGUAACGACAACAAAUACUUACCCGAUGAACGUACUGAAUUUCCAGCAGAGACAGCGGUAGAGAGGUUGAGAGAGAGGCAGAAAGGAAAUUUUUUUCCUUUCUGCCUCUGCAAUGGCAGAGUUCUGAUAUGAAGAAGAAGGACUUUACGCGACGAAUAAUAAAAUCCGUCGCGCAAAAUACCGUCGCCAAAAACCUUUUUUUCGUCGCACAAAACGAGUUUUUUCCGUCGCGUAAAAGCUUGUCGACAAAAAAACUUUUGCGCGACGUAAGAUGUCUGCGUCGCACAAGAUUCCGUCGCGCAAAUUCUUGUCCUCGUCGCCCAAAAACAAAAUUCCGUCGCGUAACAAUUAUUCUUCGUUGCGCAAGAAUGUACCGACAUCUGCUUUACGCGACGAAACAUAUUUCGUCGCGCAAAAUAAAAUAUCCCCCCUCAAUUAUUUUGGCGCCAAAUUAUAAAUAUCCUUCGUUUUCUUACGCGACGAUAAAUGGUUUCGUCGCGCAAAGUUGUCUUUUGCGACGAAACCUGUCGUCGCAAGAGUUUUCGCAGCCAAAUCACCUCGCUUUUACGCGACGAAGUAUACCAUCAUCGCGCUAUGUUUUCUUACGCAACGAUUGCUCUCGCCGCGCAAGUAUUUGGCGCCAACAGAAUACCCGGGUUUUUUUUUCCCCCCUUUGCGCGACGAAGUUGUUUUUAUGUCGCGCUAAGAUGUUUUGCGCUUCGAAAACUUUGGUCGCGCAAGUUGUAAAUUUUUUGCGCGACGAUGUAUUUUUUGCGUCGCUUUAUUGCGUUUUGCGUGACGAAUAUGUAUUCGUCGCGCAAACUUUUGUCGCGCAAAUAGUAAAACGUAGUAGUGAACACCCUUUUAUAUGUACAAAUUUUUUACAUUUUGAUUUUGUCUUUACAAUGUAUCCAUUAAUAAUUCUAAGAAUAUGAAAAAAUUUGCAACUCUUCUUUUGGUACGAUUGAGAAUUGACUUGGUGAACUCUUAUAUAGUGUUUGUGCAUAAAGGCCCUUGACAACUUUCUCUCGAGUAAUGAACUUCUAAUCUUUUUUUUUUUUUUUUUUUUUUUUUGUGUGGCUACAACUAAGUAGAUCCAACAUAUUUUUUUUAACAACCAAGGACAAUCAUCAUAUUUUUUUAAGAACCAAGGAUAGCUUACAUUCUAUAGUUUGUCCAUCAUGUCAACACAUUUAUAAUUAAAACUUUUUUUUUUUUUUGUGAGGUUUCAAUUUUGGUGUCACUGUAACAAGACCACAAUUGCCAUUCAGUAUGCUAACAUUGUCACUAUGUUUGCCAAUUGCAUAUUAUGUAGAAUAUGAAGGCUUUGGUGUUUUGUAGAUCCUCGGGGAGCCAAACCCGUCUUUAUAAAAAUGGUCCUUAUCAAGGGUGGAACCAGGAAUUUUUCAACGGGUGGGCUAGCUAAAGUUAUUAGCUUAAAAUUUAAUGAUUAUUUUUUUUUGGUACUUCCAAUUUCUAUAGUCUUUCUAGAAAUAAAAGUAAACAUUAAAUCAUAUAUACCAAGCUAGUUCAUAGCUCCAUAGACUAAUUUUCAAUAAGUUUUAACAUAAACUAAAUAGGGUUUAACACCAUAGUGGAUUGAACAUCUAAGGCUUUUUACCUAGAUUGACCUGAGAUUCCUUCAUGCAUUCAUAUCAUACAUGAAAAGUUGUUUUAUGUAAAAAUAUUGACUAAGUAUGAAAAAUGGAUUUUCGGAAUAAUCAUUUUUUCAAGAUAAUUUUUGGCGGCUUUUAUUCCUCACACAUCAAAUAAGAAAACUUGAUUUUAUGGAAUUUUUGUAUGAAAUAUAUAUUGACUUAAUGAGCCAUCAUUUUUAGCCUAAAUCAUAUUUUGCACUAAAACCGAUUUUUCAUAUUUUGAUUAUGUGGGAAUUUGAACUUGUAUCAUUUGAUGAUGCCAUGUGAAUCGCUAGAAACAUGUAAAGUGUAUGGCUAACCCAAUAACGAAAGUUUCGUAAGGGAACCGGAGUAGGCUACCAUGAGAACAAAACGGAUUCUUCCAAUGUAUAAAAUAAAAAUUCCAAUGGCUUUUGCUAUUAUAACCUUCCCGACCACGAUUUUUUCUUUUUUUCUAGGCAUUUCACCUAUAAAAAAAAAAUUGUAUUGAUACUAUUGGAACAAAAAGGGCGGGCCCGGCCUGGUCAGUACUUAGCCGGGCCGUGGAACUAAAAAGGCCCUUCGGAUCGGAUGAAAAAAAAUUAUUAGGGUUUUUUAAGCCUUACAAAUUCCAUUUAUGUAUGUACUCCCGGGAAACAUACAGUACUCUAUUCCACAUUCCACAGAUCGGGAGUAAUCUAUAGGAGUUCUUGAAAGUAAAGGAGCAAUAAAAAAUUUCUUGUUAUAUCAAGAGGUUUGUUAUUGCUCCUUUACUAUUUAGUAUUUUUUUUUAUUUACUACUUAACUUUACUAUAUUGUUCUAUAUUUUUUUUUAGUUAAUUUACUAUAAAAUUUAAUUUCCCCAGAUACCGUCAUUGCUUCUUCUCUGGGAAAAGAAGUUCACGACUCGUAGGCCUUCUACCUCCACGCAUCAUUGCUCCGUCAGGCUUUCGCCCAUUGAGGAAAAUUCCCCACUGGAUCAGAAUGAAGAAUCAAAAUAGAUUCUUAAAGUAGACAAACAAAAGGGGUUAGAGACCACUCAAUAAAUGAAAUACCUAAAAGGUUUCUUUUGAGUUAUUUGAGAGUUACUAGUAUUUUUAUUUUAAUCUAAAUGGGGGGUACUUCCUUAUUUAUAUUGUAAACUUGAGUAAAUAGAAUAAUAUAAAAAUAAAUAAAAGUAAAAUGACAAAACAAUAUGUACAGCGCCACUAACUGGCUAAUAUUGAAAAUAAGUUACAUAUAUAGGUUUUAUAUUUUUUUUUUCUUAAAAAAUCACACUAGGCUACAGCCCACUGUAGCCUUUAGUGUGGUUCUGCCCAUGGUCCUUAUGAUACUACUUUAACAACAACAAAAAAGUAUAAUAAACUAGGCCUUUGUAGUCAUUGAAAUGGAUGUUUUGUCAUGGAUAUGACUAUUUAAAUGUAAUUACGGGAUUAAAACAAUAUAAAUUGGAGUAAACUAUAACAUUAUAUAUGAUCCAAUCUUUUUCAUAUAUUUUUGUUCAAGACUUUGUUUUAGAAUGCUCUAUUACUAAUUUGGUAUAGGUCCCUAAAAUCUAUGCCUUUAUGAGGCAACGUCUUUAUUUCUUUGGUUAUUCCAGUUUAGAAUAUUUGGACAAAUGAGAUGACUCCCAACAUAAAGUCACAUUCAUCCAAAAAGCAUGAAAUCACACACAAAAAGAACACGGACAAUUACUAAGUUUAUCCUUGUAUUUUUAUUUUAUUGAUCCGACCCAAUUGAAAAAUAAAAAAAAGAUGAUAAAAUAUAUUGUUCAUUGCUUACAUCUGUGAGUAAAGUCCUCCAUUUGAAAUUGCGUCAUUACACAAAAUUGGAAUGAAAAAAAUAAAAUCCUACAGCUAAAUUUGAUAUAUUUCCUUUUCAUUUUAUGUUGGGUGUUUUAAGUUUUCCUUGUAUCUUGUUGAAAAGAAAAAUGAAAAUAAAUAAAUAAAUUCCACGGCUAGCAACUUCUCCACCUACCCUUCUUCCCAUGUACUAACAACAAGGGACGCCUUCGAUCCUUAAAAAGGACAAGGGAUGCCAGGUCAGCAUCUCAGAUAAGUAUCCCAACCAAAAUCAAUCAAAUAAUGACAUAUGUAUCUCUUUUUGUAUUUUGUUCUAUUUCUCUUUGAAUUAACUGCAGAUUUUCAUGAGCGUGUCCUCCUUUUGAAAUUGUGUAUUAUUCAAAAUUGGAAUUUGCUGGUCAUAUUUGAUAUCAACUAAAAAAGUUUCCAAUAUCUUGUACCCGUUUUUUCCAGUGUGGGUCAAAAUUUGAAGAAGUCCACCGACAAUUUCUCAAAAGCUAUUACCAUAUUAUUGCAUCCAACUUUGAAAAAUAGAAGUUUUCAAAAGUUACCCCAAACAACAGUCCUUGAAAGAGAGAGUUCUCCAAGGCUAAAGAUUACAAGGAUGUUAUUUACAGUCUCAACAAGCUUCAAAAUUGGAAUUUGCAUUGUGAUAGUUGAGUGGAGGACAGGCUUGAGUGGAAGAAUUGAUUAAUUAUGGAACAGAGCCAAUGUGGAGAUUGUUGAUUAGUGGCUCAUUUAGUAGUCAAAAGUGGAAAUCAGUUUCGGUGAUUUUGUUUACUAUCAUGAUAAGUGGCUUGUCUUUGCAUGGUAAGUGAGCUGCUAUCAUAAUUAUUGAGUGGAGCACUUGCCAAAGUGGAGUUGUUGUAGUUUAUUUUUCACUCACUGAUGGUUGACGCUUCCGCACAACAAAUGAAUCAUCCAUUCCAACUUUUGUUUCUUCUUUUUUAACUAAAUUUUGAAUUUCAACGAGUUUCGCACAUUAAUAUUUAAUAUUAAUUUAUGUACUUGUACAUACAUUGCAGUAAUAUAUAUUAACAUACAUAUAUGUUCAGAGUUUAACAAUAAUAUGUGCCUAUAAACAGGGACGGAGCCGGAAAAAAUAUUCAUUGGGGGUAUCUCCAAACAAUAAAGUAAGAGUAGAAAUUUCAACAACAUACUUAAAGACAAAGUUCAUACAUUAAUGCAUAAUGUUUUUCUUCUUCCAAUAAAAAAACCUUCACCCACGAAAUAAUUAGCACCUGCUUGUUCUCCUCCAAUAUUUGGUUUUAAAAGGUAGCAGCAAAGACAAAAUGCAGAAUCAGUUUCUAUACUAUAGUCCAACAAAGUAGAAAAAUCAUCAAACCAAGCAGGAUUAAUGUUUUUCCAAAUUGCUUGUAAGGGAAAUUAUGGACUCUAGGCUGACAUGGACCUUUUUGCAAAUAUGCUCUCCUAACUUGAUCACUAACAUUAGGAUUGUAAGGGAAAACCAAGUAAACUUACCUUACCACCUUGACAUUGAGAAAAGAAGAAAGACCAGCAAGCAACUGUUUAGAGGAGGAAGAGAAGAAAGAGUCGUGGGGGUGGGGGUGGGUGAUGUGGGAUUGGGUUUUGUAAAGGGAGCUGAUUUCCCCACUCUUAUUUUCUCACACUUACACUCCUUUUUGCUUUUUAAUACUUUUUAAUCACUUUUGUUCUUUCUAUUUCCUAGUCUAUUCUUACCCUACAUUAAUUUCUUUUUUUAUUUUACUACUAUAUUAUUUCUUUUUCUUUAUACUUAAUUUUCUAACUUAUACUCCAUUUUCAGUAAUAAAGGGAAAAAAAAAACUUAAUUUCUUACUUGAUUAAAGGAAAAAAAUAAAACUAAAAAUGGAGUGCAAGUUAGAAAAUUAAGUAUAAAUAAAAAUAACUAAUAUAAAAGUGAAGUAAAAAGAAAUUAAUGUAGGGUAAGGGUAAAAUAGGAAAGCGAAGGAACAAAAUUGAUUAAAAAAUAUUAAAAAGUAAAAAAGAGUGUAAGUAGAGAAAAAGGGAGUAGUGAAAUCAUAUCUCUUUGUAAAUUGUAAUGCUUUUUAGGGUAACUAAAGAAAAAAUUUGAGUGGGUUUGGGGAGUGUAAAAGGAAUGUUUUUAUCAGUUUAAAUGGGUUUGGGUGAAUGGUUUCACGUGGGUGAGUGGGGGCAUGUGCACCCAGUGGGCCUAUGCUGGCCCCGUAUAAUAUUGUAUUUACUCUAGCGUAUAAUAUUGUAUUUACUCGAGCUCAAUGUCCUAUGAGUGGGUGCAUGCAUUCAUGUGAAAUUUGUGGUUGGCAAAAGGGGGCUUGGCAUUUCGAGUUGAUGGACGUUUUUGGGUGUGUAACGGAAGACUACUUGUUGGCAUUUCGAGUUGCUAAGGAAUAUUGUAUACAGUUAUUUGUUAGCACCCAAAAUACACAAAGAACACAGACAAUUUGCUAAGUUUAUCUUUGUGUUCGCUGCUUAGAUCCAUGAGCAUUAAAGUCCUCCUUUUGAAAUUGUGUUAUUAUUCAAAAUUGGAAUUUGCUGGAGAUAGUUCAUUUUUACCUUGUAUCAUUUUUGCCAAGUAAUUUGAAGAACUCCACCGACAAUUUCUCAAAAGCUUUUGCGUCCAACUUUGCGUAUACAUGGGGACCCCAUCCCCAUGUGAGGCCACCGAAAAGCUAUUGUGUUGUACGUACACGAUAUUAUUGAAGCCACAGAAAAGUUUUCAGAAGUUGCCCCACAAACAAAGAAGAAAAGUCCUUGAAAGAGAGAGUUUUCCAAGGCCCAGAUUACAAGUUCAUGUUAUUUACAAUCUCAAAAAGCUUCCAUACAAGUUGUGCUAGCCUAGCUACUUGCAAAAUCUUGGAAUAUUUUACUUCAUCCAAAUCCCUUGCAGUCUGUCUGCAGAGAAGAGAAAAGAUGGCUUUGAUCGGAGAGGCUCUUAUCUCUGCUUCCGUCCAGGUGUUGUGUGACAGAAUUACUUCAAGCGAGUUCGUCGACUUAUUUCGGCAGAAGAAACUGGACGAACCACUCCUCAUGAACUUGAAGACGACACUGUUGACUUUGUUCGUGGUGCUCAAUGAUGCAGAGGAGAAGCAACUUGUGAACCCUGCUGUGAGAGAGUGGCUUAACGAGCUCAAGCAUGCUGUCUUUGAUGCAGAGGACUUACUGGAUGAGAUCGACACUGAAGCUUUGCGACGCAAGCUGAAAGGUGAGGAUCAAACCCACAAAUUAACCAAUAAGGUGUGGAACUUACUCCCUUCUUCUCGUAAUCAUUUUUAUCAAAGCAUGAAUGUUAAGGUACAAGAGUUGUUGCAAAGAUUAGAAAACUUUGUACAACAGAAAAUUGCUCUUGGUCUGGGAGAAGUUGCUAGGAGGAAGGUUUCACAUAGAACUCCAACAACUUCCUUGGUUCAUGAACCUUGUGUAUAUGGUAGAGAUGAAGUCCAAGAAAAUUUAUCAAAAGUGUUGCUAUCUGAUGAUGCAAGCAAGGAUGAUGUGUCUGUCCUCACCAUUGUUGGAAUGGGUGGGGUUGGCAAGACAACCCUUGCUCGAAUGCUCUACAACAACAAUAAGGUGGAAGGGCAUUUUACACUUAAAGCUUGGGCUUGUGUUUCAGAAGACUAUAAUGCUUUUAGAAUAACUAAAACUAUUCUUGAGUCAGUCACUUCAAAGCCUUGUAAUACGACGGAUCUGAAUUUGCUUCAAGUUGAAUUAAGAGAGCAGUUGAGGGGAAAGAAAUUUUUAUUUGUGUUGGAUGAUCUAUGGAAUGAAAAUUAUGGCGAUUGGGAGCGCCUCCAAACUCCUUUUAAUUCAGGGGCCAGGGGAAGCAAAGUCAUUAUAACAACACGGAACAAAAAUGUAGCAUCUUUAAUGAAAAAUGUUCCCAUUCAAUUCUUGGAACCAUUGUCGCAUCAAGACUGCUGGUUGUUACUUGCUAAACAUGCUUUUGGAAAUGAAAACUAUAGUGCAAAUUCAAACUUGGAAGACAUUGGCAAGCAAAUUGCACUCAAGUGCAAAGGGUUGCCUUUAGCUGCACAAACACUUGGGGGUUUGUUACGUUGCAAUAUAGAUUCUGAGGAGUGGAAUAGAAUACUAAAUAGUAAUAUUUGGUACCUACCCCAUGGUACAACUGACAUUCUUCCAUCUCUAUGGUUGAGUUAUCAUUAUCUCCCCGCUCAGUUAAAACGAUGCUUUGUUUAUUGUUCACUUUUUCCAAAGGAUUAUGAGUUUGAAAAGGAAGAUGUAGUUCAAUUAUGGAUGGCAGAAGGCUUAGUUACUCAAGUUGAUAAUGGGAUGAUUAUGGAAUCAAUGGCUAGAAAAUACUUUGACGAGCUAUUAUCUCGGUCACUGUUUCAAAAGUCAAGAGAACUCAGUUUCACAAUGCAUGACCUCAUUCAUGACUUGGCUAUGUUCAUCUCUAAGGGGUUUUGCCUUAGGCUGGAAGGGGUGGAAUCACGUGAAGUUAAAAGAGCUCGUCAUUUGUCAUAUGCUAGGGGAAGAUUUGAUGUUGCUCCAAGAUUUGAACCAUUAUAUGAGGCUAAAUGUUUGCGGACCUUCCUACCUACCUCUUUAAAUCCAUAUAGAUCUUAUGAGAGAUUUUUUGUAAGUAAAAAAGUUCUACAAGAUUUGUUGCCAUCACUAAGAUGUUUACGGGUGUUAUCAUUGUCACGUUAUCAAAAUGUCACUGUGUUACCUGAUUCUAUUGGAAACCUCAUUCACUUGCGCUACUUGGAUCUUUCCCAUACUGCAAUUGAAAGGUUACCUGGGGUACUUUGCAAUCUCUACAACUUGCAGACUUUAAUAUUGUCAUAUUGUUCCUCUCUCUUUGAAUUGCCUGCAGACAUCAGAAAAUUGAUUAAUUUACAGAAAUUGACAUUGGGCGGUUGUAGUUCUCUUAAUAAAUUGCCUGCAGGCAUGAAGGAGUUGACUAAUUUGCAUCAUCUUGAUGUCAGUGGAACUAAAAUUGAAGAGAUGCCGGUGCAAAUGGGUAGAUUGAAAAGUUUGAGAACAUUGACUGCAUUUGUUGUGGGCAAAUCUACUGGGUUAGGCAUAAGAGAACUGAAGGAGUUCCCACAACUUCGAGGAAAACUAUCAAUUUUGAAGCUACAAAAUGUAGUUGAUGCGAGCGAUGCACUGCACGCCAAUAUGAAGCACAAGAAAGAUCUCAAGGAGUUAAAGUUUUCAUGGGGCGCGGAGGAUGCUGAUGAUUCCCAAAAGGAGAAAGAUGUACUCGACCAAGCUCCAGCCUUGCGUGAAUUUGGAGAAAUUAACCAUCAAAUUCUAUGGUGGAACCAAUUUUCCGAAUUGGUUAGGAGACUCGUCUUUUUCUAACAUACAAGUCAUGCAUCUCAGUGACUGUAGUUAUUGUUGGUUGCUCCCACCAGUUGGACGGCUA
rnacentral:lncRNA from 1 species